AUUACUCACGGUAUUAGCAUCUAUAUAAAUCAAUACAAAAAUCUUGUCUUCACAACCUCAUGAUAGAGAUCGAAUUUUCAACUACCAGUCACUGUUGUUCAAGUUUCCACCACUUGCAACACUAAAUAGUUGCGUUCUCGCAAGGGAAUUGGAGUCCAGAAGCAUUCACUUUUAGUUCAAUGCCGUUAAAGAUAGAUCAUUAGUCAUGGUAUUAGCAUCUAUAUAGUUUGUUAGAGAGAGAUCUAAACCAAUACACAAAUGGGUGUACUUUCAUUUUUGUUCGUCUGUUGUAAGUUACUGGUUUUCUUGUCUGAAUCCUCUUUCGCUUCCGACACCAUUACUUCAUCUCAGUCCCUCAGCGAUGGCAGGACCUUAGUUUCGAAAGAAGGAAGCUUUGAGCUUGGUUUCUUCAGUCCUGGUAGUUCCAAGAAUCGUUACGUGGGAAUUUGGUACAAAAAUAUGCCUGUUAAAACUGUUGUUUGGGUUGCGAACCGAAUCAACCCCAUUAAUGACUCUUCUGGCUUGUUAGUUGUAAACCAGACGGGCAAUCUUGUUUUAACAAGCCAGAACAAGAGUGUAGUUUGGUCAGCAAACUUGAGCAAAGAAGUCCGGACUCCAGUUGUAUUGCAGCUACUAGAUUCAGGAAAUCUUGUCCUCAGAGGUGAACGAGAUGGUGGUUCUGAAACUUAUUUAUGGCAAAGCUUUGAUUAUCCUUCUGAUACAUUGCUGCCGGGAAUGAAGCUCGGAUGGGAUUUGAAGACUGGUCUUGAGCGGCGUAUAACAUCAUGGAAGAGCCCAGACGACCCGUCUCCUGGAAACUUUAUUUGGGCAGUUGAACGACAAGAUAAUCCUGAGUUAAUCAUGUGGAAGGGAUCAAGAAAGUUUCAAAGGAGUGGCCCAUGGAAUGGCCUUAAAUUCAGUGCUACAUCAUUAAGGCCAAACCCCAUUUUUAACUUCAGUUUUGUCUCUAAUGAGGAUGAGCUGUACUUCACCAUCGACUUGAUAGAUAAAGCUGUUUUCUCAAGGAUUGUUAUGAACCAAACACUCUAUUUACGUCAACGAUUCACAUGGGAUAAAGCAACUCAAAGUUGGGAAUUGUAUGCAAAUGUGCCAAGAGAUCUAUGUGACACUUAUGCCCUUUGUGGUGCCUAUGGCAUUUGCAUCAUUAGCGGUAUGCCUGUUUGCCAAUGUUUAAAAGGUUUUAAACCAAAGUCAAGGGGAUAUGUGGACUGGUCUCAAGGGUGUGUGCGUGAUAAGUCGUUAAACUACUCUAGACAAGAUGGCUUCAUCAAAUUCACUGCGAUGAAAUUGCCAGAUUCUACUUCCUCUUGGGUUAGCAAAAGUAUGAAUCUCAAUGAAUGCCGAGAGAAAUGCUUAGACAACUCUUCUUGUAUGGCAUACACAAAUUCAGAUAUCAGAGGAGAAGGCAGUGGCUGUGCCAUGUGGUUUGGUGAUCUGAUUGACAUCAGAUACUUCCAAGAUGGUGGGCAGGACUUGUAUAUUCGAAUGUCUGCUUCAGAGCUAGGUAUCCGUAUACUUAUUUAUGUCAUUCCAUAAUGAGAACUUAGGAGUACAACUCCAGUUAGACUAGUUCCACAUUUUUAUUGUGCAAUUUAGUAUUGAGUUCCGAUUGAGAAGCUCCUUUCGCAUAAAGCAGUUUCUGGGUAUAGCUUCUAUCCAUAGAAUUCUGCUGCUAUUUGAAUCAUUUGAUUAUUGACUUGCUUUGCUAUAUCUGAAUAUGCUGAUCAAGGAGCUAAAGGUGUGUCUAGGACGAAGAUAGUGGUGACAGUCAUUUCUACUGCUGCUCUGUUAGCUGUGGUGAUUGCAGCUGGCUAUUUGGUUCACAAAAGAAGGAGAAAUAUAGUAGGUAUAAUAUUGCUCCAUUUUCCUUCAAAAAUUUAUAGCCAUUUGCUUGCAUUUUUAUGAUAGCCGUUUCCUUUCAAUCAAUAUUUAUAUGAGUUCAAUUUCCCUGUAUCAAAUCUUCAAUAAAAUCUUUCACCAAGUAGAAUAAGUUUUUAUAUGCAACAAUAACUGUAUGUUUGUUUCAAGAUGAAGAGUUAAGAGUGCAUAUCAUUUAGAUCAGGGGCAGGGUAAUUAAACUUGUAAAUUUUUGGUUGGAAUAGCAGGUUUACUUACUUGCAUUUAGUGUUAUAUCAUUACACGCCUCUUUUUCACCUAUGGUUCUUUAUUUACUUGCACUUUCAUAUUGACUGGAAAAUAGCUUUAAUACAAAUUUACAGAUAAAGAACCUUCUCAUCAAGAACACGAAAAUUGUAGUUACUAGUUAGUAGUUUGUCCAGUAUACGUACUGCAUAUGUGCUUUCAGUUAAUAUUAUCCAAUAUUUCAGAGAAAACAGAAAACAACAGGGAAACUGAUCAGGUUCAAAACAUGGACCUGAAGCUACCACUGUUUGAGUUAGCUACAAUUGCUCAUGCCACCGAUAACUUUUCAAUCAACAACAAGCUUGGAGAAGGUGGCUUUGGACCUGUUUACAAGGUAAACUUGAAACUUGCCAGUCAAAAAUAAUUAUUUUACCGGGUAACUAAAUUCACAUAUAUGUCGGGCAGGGCACGCUAGUGGAUGGGCAGGAAAUUGCUGUGAAGAGGCUUUCGAAGAUUUCUGAGCAAGGAUUGAAGGAUUUAAAGAAUGAAGUUAUACUAUUUUCCAAAUUACAGCACAGAAAUCUUGUAAAGCUUCUUGGCUGCUGCAUUCAGGGAGAGGAGAAAUUGUUGAUUUAUGAAUUCAUGCCCAACAAAAGCCUGAACUCUUUCAUUUUUGGUCUGGGUCCCUAUAACCUUAAAAUAUUCGGCUAGCUUGUGCCUUGAUUAUAGACGUUUCUUAUGUAUUUUCAGAAAAUUUUGUACUAACCUUAAUGCGGUAAUUUGUAGAUCAAGAAAGAUGUAAGAUAUUGGAUUGGUCCAAGCGUUUCCACAUUAUUUGUGGGACUGCUAGGGGUGUUAUGUACCUUCAUCAAGAUUCUAGAUUGAGGAUUAUACAUCGAGAUCUCAAAGCAAGUAAUGUGCUACUCGAUCAAGAUAUGAACCCAAAAAUUUCAGAUUUUGGUUUGGCAAGAGCUUUUGGUGGAGACGAAACAGAAGGAAACACAAAAAGAGUGAUUGGAACAUAGUAAGUACUUCUUGUCAUGUGAUCUUUACAAUUCACUUGUACUGAUUAAUGAAAAUUAACUUAUAUAUUUUAAUCUUUUGAAGUGGUUAUAUGGCACCGGAAUACGCUAGUGAUGGGCAAUUCUCAGUAAAAUCCGAUGUCUUCAGCUUUGGAAUUUUAUUGCUGGAGAUAAUAAGUGGAAAGAAAAAUAGAGGAUUUUAUCAUUCCAACAACAAGCUUAACCUUAUAGGACAUGUAAGUAAAAUGCAUACAACAUUUUCUAACAUAGUUUGAACUAAUAAACUAUAGAUGAUAAAAGAAUUUUAAUAUGUUGUAGGCAUGGAAGUUGUGGAACGAAGGCAUGCCUUCACAAUUAAUUGAUCCGUGUAUUCAAGGCUCAUUCAAUCUUGCUGAAGUGAUACGAUGCAUCCACAUCGGUUUGUUAUGCGUGCAACAGCAUCCAAAGGACAGGCCAAGCAUGCCCUCAGUGAUUUUGAUGUUGGGCAGCGAGACUGUGUUGCCUCAGCCAAAGCAACCCGGUUACUUGGCGGACAGGAAAUCUACCAGACAAGAUUAUUAUUUAUUCAUCAAGCACGCCUGAAUCAUGUUCAACUAAUACAAUUACGAUCUCUGAGUUGGAGGGUCGGUAGAGAAUCUAUUUGUGGUAUCAUGCCUUAGUCUACAUUAUCAACUGUAAAAGCAGUAAUAUGUCAACCAAAUGGAAAGUUCAGAUAAAUGAUUGGAUAAAAAAUGAUGAGGAUCAUCCAGUGAAUGCAUGUUGUGGAUCUAAAAGUUCAGAGGACGAGCCAAUUUUGCAGCUGACUACUUGGCCAAAAAUGCAAGCUCUAUACCUCUCGGAUUUCAUGUUUAUCAAGGACCACCUGUAGGUCAUGAUCCUUGGCUUUGUUAUGAUAUGCAUGGGACAAUGAUUCCCCACUCGGUUGUGUCUUAGCUUGGCUAAGCCUUUUUUAGGUUAAAAAAAAAAUUAAUAAUAUGUUGACUAAUGCUCAUAUCGAAAUUGUAAAUUAGAGGUACUGUGAGUAGUGUUGGGUCCAAAAAAUGAUUAACCGAGAAUUAAAUUAAAUAAAAGCAGGAUGUUAUAAUUUUUUGAUAUAAAAUAUUUACUAAUACAUUUAUGAGAAUAUCUUUGGUGCUUUUGGAGUAGUCUUAUCUAUUCACAAUUCACCACUUGUUUAUAUAUGUCAUCAUGAUUAGUAGAAGCAUACACAUGACAGAGUAAAUGAAAAAAUAGCAGCUCUCCAAAAGUACCCAAGAUUUUUCCUACGUUUUGAAAAGCAUGUGCAAUAUACUCAUUAUCAAUACUAAGAAGCACGUCCUUUUCUACAUAAACAACAAAAUUAAUAUUCAUCCAUUCAUCUCUCAUUCAAUUUCAGCGUUAAUUCUUCAUGAACUUAAUUGCUGAAAAAGUUCUCUCUACUGUGACUGUGGGAACCGAAAGAAUUAUAGUUAAGUGUCACCAACGAAUAUAUUAAUACUAUAAUGGAUACGCUUGAUCUUUUUUAGUCUCAAACUAUUCUUUUAGCAACUUAUUGAUUCCCUUCAUUCCUGCAAACCCGCCUAAUUGUUGUAUUCUAAUUUAACCCAAGCCCUAAUUUUCUUUUUAGAACAAGAAAGAUAAAAUUUGUGAUUGGAGGAGUGGCUAAUUAUGAUUGCUAAUAAAUUUGAAUCUAUUUUUCGAAAUAGAAAAUUGUUUUGGGUUGUGGGUUAUUAUUAUUUUUAAAUAAAACGUGAGUUUCAAAGUUCAAGUUAAAAUUUAAAUUUUGUAGGUUUAUGAAUGUAUAGAGGCUAUUUUAAUAAAUUGAUGAAGGUUAAUUAGAAACCCAAAUGAUUUUUUCUUUUAUUUUUUUUUUGUCUUUCACAUGCUAAAUCCACCACUCCUACCGAUAAGAAUUGUGAUGAUUUAUUUUUAUCCUAAUGAUCGUAAUAAAAAUCUUUUAAAAUUUUCACUAUUUUAUUAAAAUUAUUAUUUAAAAAUUAUAUUUACCCCAAAAAUCUUUAUGUUAAGUAAUCUACUAAUUAUAAUAACCCAUGACCAAAAAUAUUGGACAUGUCUUCUUUUUUUUUUUUAUAGUAAUUAUACACUCACAUCACACUUUUACGAUUAAUUGACUAAACAUGUAUAUGUUUAGGAUAAACGAUUUUAUAAUAGAUUGUCUCACAAUCUAAAUUUACCAAAUAUCCUCAGAAAUUAUUUGUAAAGUUGAUUACUUCAAAAGUCAAGUUUGAAUAUUAAUUAAUUGUGAGACUAUUCAAAUUGAAUCCUUAAAAUUCUUUUUAAAUUUUCUUUACAACUUAUAACAUACUUUUCAGAAAGUCUUUCGAGUACUUAUUCAGAAAUUUAUUUCAAUAUUAAGAAAAAUUAUUUGGUUAAGAGGAAUGAGCCCCUUUGAAAAAUUGAGUUCGUGAGGCAUGAGCUUAUCAUUAGGCAACCCAUCAAAUUAUUCAAUAAACACAUUUACACUACACAUCCAUAAUUAAUUAAAAGGAUGGAAUUAUUUGAACUUAUUAAAUUUCUCAUAACAUUCAUUUAUUUAAUGGGGGCAGCUACGUUGCGUCGUGGGUUUCGUACCCAAGUCCUUUGUCUUGUAGCAUGGUCACCGUUGGAUUUUAUCGCUUGGCUACAGAAGAGACACGCAGACAAAAGGAGUAACCUGAGAUAAAGGUAAUGGGCCGGUAACACUGCAAGGAAUCAACUUUUUGACCAAAAAAACGCCUGUAGUGGGUUGGAAGUUGUUACAGUAACACAUGUAAAACAAUAGAAAAAAGGGUGCAUGCAAGUAUUGGUUAAAAACAAGAAGUUGGAAGCGUGCAAGUAUGGGUUGGGGUUAGAAUGAUUUGAAAAUUUCGAAAAUAGUGACGAAAACAUUUGGAAGUGGAUUUAAGGUCCAUUGCGUACUUGGAGGGAAAAAGAAGGCGAAAUAUCAACUUUAAUGUUGAAAGUAGCCUAGCAUGAAUUUACAAUUGAGUUAGCCUAUAAUUUGUUUUUGUGGAAAAUUUGCGUAUGAGUUGAGUAAAUGAAAACCAUAUAAAACAAAAAUAUGUGGAACAAUUAUGUAGUGUGUAAUAAUAAUAAUAAUAAUAAUAAUAAUAAUAAUAUAGAUUAAAAAUGAUCAAUGAAGAAUGACAGUCUAAAUUGAGGUGAAGGAUAAGUUGAAAGAGGAAAAAAACUAAGAGAAAACUAUCUUGGGGUUGUUGAACCAAACACCGUAUCGUAGUUAUUCUCAUGAGCAGUAUGUCGCGGGAUAAGUGUUUUGCAAAGAAGGCUAUAAACUAAUGAAGUAAGGAUGCUUGUGGAAAUGAUACAGAGAAAUAAGAGAAGUAUGACCGAAUGUAAGUUUAUUACACAGUAAAGAGAAAUUAGAAGAGAACUUUUUAUAAGAGCUAUAGAGCUUGUACGUGUGCUAGUGGGUUUGUGUGUAUGGUGUGCAAAAUAGCAAGUGUCACGGGGUUGUUAUAGGCUUGGAUGCCAAGGUAAUAAAGUUUCGUAAGAACAUGCGCAAAUAUCUCGUAGGACGUAAAUGCACAAUUCAAACAAAUUGUAGUUAUUUGCAAAAUGUAGAGAAGUCUAGAAUUUGGGUGGGCACGGAUGGAUGCAAAGCAGACCAUGACUGAGUAGUUGUGUUAGGCGAGCCAUUACUAAGUGCAUCCCACUUGUAAGAGCAUAUCGUGUUGAGUGCUAAUGGCAACUCGCUUGCAAGUGCACUCCACUUAUUGGUGGACUUUUGGUAAGCGCAGCCACGCAUGCAAAAUUAACCAUCAUUUGCUAGAGAUUUAAGCUUCCUUAAGAAAGCACAAUUGUUUGUUGUAAGUAAAAAAAAAGUAAAAGGUCUAAAAAUUUUACAGACGCAGCUCAUAAUAAAUGGUAAUAAUUAUUAAAAAAAAUUAUUUCAUAUGUUAUUCAACAAUCCCUAUUGUUAUUGGUUAAGAAUGUAAAAAAUAUGGGGCAAUUAAAAUACGAUAAAUUCUAGUAUAACAAAGAAAAAUGUUUUCUCUAUCUGUAUCUCUAAACCUUAAUUUAUUUAUGAUAAACCAAAAAAAUUUCAUAAUGUAUAAAAAAUCGGAGAGUCUUAUAGCGAUAAAUUUGUGUUUCUUUAACCACCAGAUAGGUAGGGGAUAGGCAGGGGGCCAUGUGCAAAAGCAUGCAAGUUAAAAGAAAAGUACAUUCAAUUGACAACAAAAAAGAUGCAAUAAGGCAAAGAAAAAAAUAAAGAAAAAAAACGAAUGCAUUCGUCUAUAGUGCUGCCAACGACACCUGCAACAAUUGACAAGAAUGAAGCUCAACUUUUGAUAUCCUGUAACAUCAGGCCCAUCGAGUACGGGAAAACAACACCUAUUAGACACCGAGGUGUGAUCGGAAUGGAAAUUGAGUUCAGUGUGAAAAAUAUAACCCAGGGCAUGCUGAAUGUACCACUUCCAAGUAGUCUCGUUUAUUUUUAAGUUAAGAGUAUUUUCUUAAAAAUAAAAACAUAGAACCUCUAUUAUUUUAGGGGUCUCUUCUUAAGUGUUGUUAAGAGAAAGGAGUUGUACUCUACUAUCUAUGAGAAUAUCCAAAAAAUUACGGGCUGGUGAAUGCAGUAAAAGAUGGUGGGAUUGGAUUAAUUAAGUUAAAUUUGAUUCCAACAUAGGGCUUGAUAUGAACAAGUAAAGUAUGUAUAAUACAAUUUGGGCAAAUGAAAGUAUGAUGUGAUAAUAUCCUUUUUCACGCGAACAAUACCGCUAUUUAAACAAAAUAAUUAUAAAAAAUUAAAUGAUAAUAAAAUUUAAUUAUUAACAUUAAUUGAAAAAAAAUCAUAUUAUCUUUAUUUUUAUACUAUAAUUAAAAUACUACAAUAUCUAUGAUUUAAACAAAAUAAUUAUAAAAAUCAAAUGAUGGGCAUCAUGCAUUACGCGUGUAAUCAUGUUGCAUAGAAAUUACAAUUUUAUCUCUUAUACCAUUCAUCUCUACAAUUUAGAUUUCAUAUCAAAUCAUCCAUAGAAAAGAAUUAAAAUAGAAUAAUAGUUUAAUUUACAAUAUUCACAUUUAAUCAAUGAGGAAUACAACAUCAAUCAAUUAUUUACAAAAUUAAUUAAUACGAUGGAAUCAACCCGGAAAACAAUGUGGUACAAGAGAAAACAAAAAGAAAAAAGAACACCUGACAAACACAUAUCUUUAGUGAACAAGUGAUGACAAGAAUCAUUCAUAAAAAAUGAUCUAACAUGAAGUGUUUCAUGUGCAAUAAAUAAAUGGCUGAGAUUGAAUGUAUUGCCACAAAAAUUGCCAUGAGCACAUGCUUUCGGUUAUGAUGCCCUACAUCUUGCAAUCUCAAGGUCUUAAGAGUUUGGGACCAUGCCCUUAAAAAGCCUGCUGCGAUGGAAGGUCCUGUCUUAGUCUCACAUGUCGUUGCAACUUCACAAAAUUCAUCCUUCUAAUUCAAGGCAUGAAAUGGAAGAUAUAGUUUAGAAAUUAAAAUAGAAUAUCAUCGUCAACAAGGAAAUGGGAGAAUAUAUUGAUCAAUGAUCAAUCAUAGAACCACUGAAACUACAUUUGGGAUUCAGGUGCUUUGUCGAAUGCAAUGACUACCCAUGAAGUGAGGAUGGUUGAUAGACAUAAGCCAUCAAGUAAAAAGUGCUUGUUCAGCAAACAAGAUGCAAAAACACAGCAGUUACAAACAUAACAUGAACCCAACAUCAAAAUCAAAUUGUCCAAAACACACAGCUAAAAAUAAUAUAUGGUAUAUAUGUAUACAUAAGUUCCCAGUGUAUUUCAUAUCCAAUCACAACCAUUUUGUUGUAAUUUCAAUGCAUUCAACAGAAAUUAAACUGAAAAAUGCAAAUCAUCAAAUAAUAAAAAACCACAUGUUCCUAGUGUAUUAUUUAUACAAUAAACCUGUAAAGCUUAUGAAAGUACCUUGAAAAGAUAAACUUGUGAUCGUAAAGACAUAAUGAGAAUCAAUAUUAUAAUCAUCAUUGCGAUCACUUUCUUAAAAAACUCAGGAUAUGCAAACCCCUAGUUGUAAAAAAAAAGAUUAAUUCAAAUGAGUAUCUGCCAUUUAAAUUAAUCAAGCCUAUUUGAUAGAAGUCAUUCUUGCUCUCCCCAGCCAACUCCAUUUCAAUUUUCAGUUAUUUAUUUGCCAUUGCAUUAUUUUUUAGAAUCAUCAUCCCUCAUUCAUUCAAAUUCUUUGCAACCCAAGUGAAUUAAUGUGCUUAUCUCUUAUUCUCGAUAACAAGACUUUCCAAAUUGUCAUUGCCAAUAUGUUAAUUGCUUCUCAGUAUGAUAUAAUAAAACAAACGAAUUAUAUGAGCUAACAAACAAAUACCAAUUUCUUUAAUGAUGGCUUCACUGAUAUUGCACGCAAAAAAAUUCCAACUAUUCCAACUGCAAGACACAAACAGGAAAGCAAAAACCAAAUCAAACAUAUUAACAUUUUCUCUUGGACAUGUGACAAAAGAUACUCAUGCAUCAACCAAAUUACCUUUCAAAAGGUACACCAAACUCCAGAAUAAUCCAAAAUCCCACUAAUACCAAAAUCCUCAUACCACCAAGGUCCAUGAUAUGCAAGUUUAUCCUUUUGUAGUUAUUAAGUUAAAUCCUUGAAAAUUGGAGCAUGAAAAAAAAAAUGAAAGCCCUUACCCCAUUUGAGGUGUAGAAGCCAAGCAGUUAGUGAGUUAAAGAAUUCCAUAAUUAGAAGUAUAAAAAAUCUCACCAAAAGAUUUGCUGAACCCACGACUGUAACUUGCUUUCUCAAAACUCUGCAAGAAAGACACAACACCAAAUCCCAUAUCCAUAAUAAGACACAGAACCAAAGCAAAAAUGAAAGGUUUCUUCUUCAUUGACAACAUUGCCAUUUCCACUCUUAUUAUUUCUCGUACACUGCUUUUCUUUUCUUAUUCCUUAAAAUGCAUGGACAAGUGAAGCUUGGAAAUAUAAGACUAAUGAAAUCAGAGCACAAGAUAAAUAAUAAUUACUCAAAAUUUACCCAAAUAGAAGAAUAAUACCAGUGAGCCAAUGUCAAUCCUCAACAUAUAUGCUUAGAUCUCGUUAUAGGAGCAACUUGAGAGAGAGAGAGCGAGAGCAGCAGCAGUACCAAUUGAGACUGAGCAGAGAUGCAGUAGCAACAUCAGCAGCACCAAUCGAGAUAGAUCACAGGCGCAGCAAUAGCACUAGUCGAGAGAAGCAGAGGCACAACAAUAGUCAAUUCUAGUUAAAGACCGUGAUGGAGAGAGAGAGCUGUGACGAACUGUGGUUGAAGAACUGUGACCGAGAGAGAGAGAGAGAGAGAGAGAGAGAGAGAGAGAGAGAGAGAGAGAGAGAGAGAGAGAGAGUUGUGAAUUUCGAUCGAGAUGAGGAGAAAAGGCUUGGGUUUUGUUUUGCAAUUUCUUUCAUGAUUUAAUUUGUGAUACCAAACGGGCAACUAUUCUUUCAGCCAGUUACCCAUUUUCCAAUGGUUAAAUCUCAGCCAUCAAAUUCCUCUAUUGGCUAUCCAAAGGCGCAUUCAUUAAAAGACAAAUGACUGGGGUACCAAACCCCUGACGCAAAGUAAUUGGACCCUUAUUUAAUAUACCUCCUAUCAAGAUCUUAAAAUUAAAUUUUAACUCUAUAAACCGCUUAAUACCCCACAAAUAACUGAUUUAUGAUGGGUGUAAUAAUUUAGAUAAUUAAAUUAUUUAUUGUUUUUGGUAAUUUUUAUUUAAGAUUAUUUUUGUAAUAUAAAUUUUUAUUUAAAAAAAAGUCUAAGGUGCAUUUUUAUGGGGCCCAAAUGACCUUAAAAUUAGAAGAAUUAAAUUUUACCAUAUAAAAGUAAAACCUCUUGUAAUUCCUAAAGUAUCCUUGAUUAGAUUUCUUUUUUUAAUUUUAAUAUUUUCUCUCAUCUCAGAACUCAUAAGCUGCUAUAUCCUUUCUUGGUAAGAUGCUCUGUUCAGGCUUCAAUGUUGUUGGCUUGAAAUGGCAACUGAACUCGAAUCAAUUCUCAUGCAUGGGUUGGGGAAUUUGCUCAACUUAUAAUUGGUAGGUUUAUGCCUUUGAUCAAACUCAUUUCGCCUAUCCAAGAAUCUGCAAAAUUAAUUGGUAUUAUCAUGUCGAUGCUGCUUAUAAUUAGUAGCGCUUGCAUUGCCCUUAAUCCAGUCGUUUUGCUCGAGUAGAGUUGGGCUUGCUGAUUCAUUUUAGUGACAUAGCAAAACAUAAAAAAAAAAAAAAUCAGGACUUGUUUGUCGAAAUUUACAAAUAUUUUGUUCUUUAAUUAAUUUUUAUUAUAUCAAACAAUAGGACUGCAGUGUAGUUAAACCCGUUGCUUACACCUGGGCAACCUAGUUUCGUGUUCUUUUUUUUUUUUUUUUUUUUUUUUUUUUUUUUUUUAUAGUUUCUGUGAUGGCAAGUUAUAUAUAUGUCUUUUAAUUUUUCAGUUAUUGCGGCAACGAACAUGUUAAAUAAUUUGCGGUGGAAAAGGCACCAAUAUUGACUCAAUAUGUCAAAUUUCUAGAAAAUUUUAACAUCAAAUGCCUUUUUUCCAUUGUUGUAAGUAUAAGAGUCAAAUUUCUUGCAAAUUUUAUUUGCGUGUGACGAUUUUUUUUUUUUUUUUUAGUGCAAACAGCCCACCCUCCAAGAUGGAUUAUCAGUCAUGGUGUUUAAUUAUAUUUAUUUAAUUUGUUAGAGAGGGCUCUAUGCCUAUAGAGUAUAACAAAUGGAUGUAUUUUUGUUUUCCUUCAUCUGUUGUAAGUUACUGUUUUUCUUGUCUGAAUCCUCUUUUGCUUCCGACACCAUUACUUCAUCUCAGUCCCUCAGCGAUGGCAGGACCUUAGUUUCAAAAGAUGGAAGCUUUAAGCUUGGUUUCUUCAGUCCUGGUAGUUCCAAGAAUCGUUACGUAGGAAUUUGGUACAAAAAUAUGCCUGUUAAAACUGUUGUUUGGGUUGCAAACCGAAUCAACCCCAUUAAUGACUCUUCUGGCUUGUUAGUUGUAAACCAGACGGGCAAUCUUGUUUUAACAAGCCAGGACAAGAGUGUAGUUUGGUCAGCAAACUUUUUUUUUUUUGAAGAGAAAGUAAACCUUUCAUUACUAAUUAAACAACAAAGUCAAAUACAUUCUGCACUUCUACUGGUAAUAUAUCUAACCAGACAGCAGUUGUAUCUUUCCUUAGAGCAUGUUUAGCUAAGGAAUGGGCAUGAGCAUUACAAAACCUUGGUACAAAAUUAAAAUGGAUCCUUUGGAACUCUCGUUUAUGGGUUUGGAUUUCCGAAAUUAUCCAGAAAAUCUCAGACCUGCUGCCCUUUGUGUUGUUGACUAGCUCAGCCACAUCUUUGCAAUCAGUCUCUACAAUCAAGCUUGCUGCAGCUGCUUCUUUUGCAAUCUGGAGACCCCAUUGGAUAGCUUCAGCUUCUGCAAAACUGACAUCCUUCCUGAAAGAGGCUUGUUUGAUGCCUGCUGCUACUACUCUGCCAUUUGAGUCACGCAAGACUGCUCCCAAGCCAACCUUCUGAUCCUUGCUGUUUUUUGCUGCAUCUACAUUAAGCUUGAGCACAUUUGUUGGGGGUGGAGACCAUCUCUGCUGGCUUUCCUCUCUAGUAUUGCUAAUAUGGAGUGUUCCUGUUUUUCUCACUCUUUGGUAAGCUUCUAACACUGAUUCUGCCUUUGCUGCUGAAACCAUUGGCUCUAUCUUCUUCCUUUCAAAGAUCAACUUAUUCCUAGCAAACCAGAUAGCCCAGCAAUACAUAAUCAUAAACGAGCGUUCCAGGUCUUCCUUGCUGCUUUACAUUCAAAUAGGGCAUGACUUAUAGUUUCCACACUCUUAUGGCAUCUUGGACAGGUAGGCUCUGGCAAACACUUCCUUUUCCAAAGGUUUUCAGUCGUUGGUAAAAUGUUUUUUAUUGCCCUCCACAUGAAAAUCUUAAUCUUCUCAGGCAGCUCCAAAGACCACAAAACAUUCCAUUGCCUGGAGCAGCUUCCUGAACUACUUGGCAUAUCUUGAAACUUGAGCCUGAAAGCUAUCUGAUAUCCACUCUUUACUGAAUACUCUCCUCUUUAUUUACUUGCACUUUCAUAUUGACUGGCAAAUAGCUUUAAUACAAAUUUACAGAGAAAGAACCUUCUCAUCAAGAACACGAAAAUUGUAGUUACUAGUUAGUAGUUUGUCCAGUAUACGUACUGCAUAUGUGCUUUCAGUUAAUAUUAUCCAAUAUUUCAGAGAGAACAGAAAACAACAGGGAAACUGAUCAGGUUCAAAACAUGGACCUGGAGCUACCACUGUUUGAGUUAGCUACAAUUGCUAAUGCCACCGAUAACUUUUCAAUCAAUAACAAGCUUGGAGAAGGUGGCUUUGGACCUGUUUACAAGGUAAACUUGAAACUUCCCAGUCAAAAAUAAUUAUUUUACCCGGUAACUAAAUUCACAUAUAUGUCUGGGCAGGGCACGCUAGUGGAUGGGCAGGAAAUUGCUGUGAAGAGGCUUUCGAAGAUUUCUGAGCAAGGAUUGAAGGAGUUAAAGAAUGAAGUUAUACUAUUUUCCAAAUUACAGCACAUAAAUCUUGUAAAGCUUCUUGGCUGCUGCAUUCAAGGAGAGGAGAAAUUGUUGAUUUAUGAAUUCAUGCCCAACAAAAGCCUGAACUCUUUCAUUUUUGGUUUGGGUCCCUAUAACCUUAAAAUAUUCGGCUAGCAUGUGCCUUGAUUAUAGAUGUUUCUUAUGUAUUUUCAGAAAAUUUUGUGCUAACCUUAAUGUGGUAAUUUGUAGAUCAAGAAAGAUGUAAGAUAUUGGAUUGGUCCAAGCGUCUCCACAUUAUUUGUGGGACUGCUAGGGGUGUUAUGUACCUUCAUCAAGAUUCUAGAUUGAGGAUUAUACAUCGAGAUCUCAAAGCAAAUAAUGUGCUACUCGAUCAAGAUAUGAAUCCUAAAAUUUCGGAUUUUGGUUUGGCAAGAGCUUUUGGUGGAGACGAAACAGAAGGAAACACAAAAAGAGUGAUUGGAACAUAGUAAGUACUUCUUGUCAUGUGAUCUUUACAAUUCACUUGUACUGAUUAAUAAAAAUUAACUUAUUUAUUUUAAUCUUUUGAAGUGGUUAUAUGGCACCGGAAUACGCUAGUGAUGGGCAAUUCUCAGUAAAAUCUGAUGUCUUCAGCUUUGGAAUUUUAUUGCUGGAGAUAAUACGUGGACAGAAAAAUAGAGGAUUUUAUCAUUCCGACAACAAGCUUAACCUUAUAGGACAUGUAAGUAAAAUGCAUGCGACAUUUUCUAACAUAGUUUGAACUAAUAAACUAUAGAUGAUAAAAGAGUUUUAAUAUGUUGUAGGCAUGGAAGUUGUGGAACGAAGGCAUGCCUUCACAAUUAAUCGAUCCGUGUAUUCAAGGCUCAUUCAAUCUUGCUGAAGUGAUACGAUGCAUCCACAUCGGUUUGUUAUACGUGCAACAACAUCCAAAGGACAGGCCAAGCAUGCCCUCAGUGAUUUUGAUGUUGGGCAGCGAGACUGUGUUGCCUCAGCCAAAGCAACCCGGUUACUUGGCGGACAGGAAAUCUACCAGGCAAGAUUAUUCAUCAAGCACACCUGAAUCAUGUUCAACUAAUACAUUUACGAUCUCUGAGUUUGAGGGUCGGUAGAGAAUCUAUUUGUGGUAUCAUGCCUUAUUCUACGUUGUCAAGUGCAAAAGCAGUAAUAUGUCAACCAAAUGGAAAGUUAAGAUAAAUGUUUGGACAAAAAAUGAUGAGGAUCAUCCAAUGAAUGCAUGUAGUGGAUCUAAAAGUUCAGAGGACAUGCCAAUUCUGCAGCUGACUACUUGGCCAAAAAUGCAGGCUCUAUACCUGUCGGAUUUCAUGUUUAUCAUGAACCUGUAGGUCAUGAUCCUUGGCUUUGUUAUGAUAUGUAUGGGGCAAUGAUUCCCCGUUCGGUUGUGUCUUAGCUUGGCUAAGCCUUUUUUUGGUAAAAAAAAAAAGAAUGUAGACUAAUGUUCAUAUAGAAAUUGUAAAUUAGAGGUACUGUGAGCAGUGUUGGGUCCAAAAAAAUGAUUAACCGAGAAUUAAAUUAAGUAAAAGUAAGACAUUAUUGAUUCCCUUCAUUCCUGCAAACCCGCCGAAUUGUUCUUUCCUAAUUUAAUUCAAGCCUUAAUUUUCUUUUUAGAACAAGAAAGAUAAAAUUUGUGAUUGGAGGAGUGGCUAAUUAUUAUUUUUAACAAAUUAUUAAUACAUUCAUAAUUAUUAUUAUUAUGAAUGUAUAGAGGCUAUUUUAAUAGAUUGAUGAAGGUUAAUUAGAAGGAAAAAGCUAUUUCCCCCGAAUUUAACCUGAAUCGCGCCCUGAAUUAGAAAAACGACGUCGUUUUGAUUAAAUUGAAAAUGCUGCAUCAGAAACCACACUCACGCAGUCUCUUACUUUCCUUUUGACAAACCAGAGACUCCAACACAAAUAGCAAUCAUGCUCACAAAUAGCAAUCACCCAACGGUCACGUGAACAGUCGGCACAUACGAUGAACGAGCCCACAGACGACGGAGAACCGCCAGCACGCGAUCAAGGGAGCAGAACUCACGUGGUGGUGCGCCCAAAUUCCGAUGAAAUCGACAGCGAGGGAGGUUGUUGGAGCCGUGGUUCUUUCGAGCUAAAUCGUUGGCGUUCCUGUUGGUUUUUGGCGGCGAGGAUGGCAGGGAAACGACGGCCGGCUUCCAAGCUUCAGAUUAAUACCUUGAUCGGCCGGUAGAGUGGGCGGGAUCGUGAAAUCCAACCGGGUCACGUUUGCGGGUCAAGUCGAGUUUGCGGGUCAAACCCGGUCAACUUCUCUCCCUCCUCAUCCGCUCACAAAGCGCUACACGGCUCCCCUUGGCCAGGUUGUUGCUACUAGAAUUUGCUUUGUUGGAAGCGUUACUGGUGCUAGAAUUGAUGCUGGAGCUGUUGCUGCUAGAAUUUUUUUUGCUGGAAGUGUUACUGGUGUUGGAGUUAGUGCUCGAAUUGUUGCUGCAAUUUUUUUUUUUUGGGUGUUUGUGUGUGUGAACUCCUGAUUUUUUUUUAUUAUCUUAGGCACUUGUUGCUGCUGAUAUGUGUGUGUGAAAUUGCAGCAAUGAAUUGAAUACAACAAGUGCCCAAGUCUUGUUGGAAUCAACAACAAGUCUUGCUGCUGAAAUUGUUGCUACUGUUAGUGUUGUUGCAAUGAAUUGAAGAAGCGACAUCGUUCAGUUUAAGUGACCGUUUUAAAACUCACAUACAUGUGCUACACAACUGCAAUUAAAAAGGAAAAGUAACCGUUUUAAAAUGCAGCAUUUUGGCAAAUUCGGGGCGCAAAUUCAGGGUUAAGUUCGGGGCAUAAAAGCUCUAAUUAGAAACCCAAAUGAUUUUUUCUUUUAUUUUUUUUGUCUUUCACAUGCUAAAUCCACCACUCCUACCGAUAAGAAUUGGGAUGAUUUAUUUUUAUCCUAAUGAUCAUAAUAAAAAUUAAAUUUUUUUUACUAUUUUCUCAAAAUUAUUAUUGAAAAAUUAUAUUUACUCCAACUUUUUUUUUAACUACAAUGUUUGAGGGUGUAUUAUGAAGCGACCAGUGUUGAGUGUUAGAAAAUACAUAUUUAUAAAGGAGAAAACCGUCAUUUUACAUUUCAAAUCUUACUAACAACCCUUACUUUUAUGUAUUUAACAUUCUUGUGAUUUAAUUACAUGUGUUUUAUUUUAAUUAAGUAUUUUAUGUAUUUUAGGGGCAUUAUAGUCAUUUCACAAUAAAGAAGAGAUCAGACGGCAAAACGGACAUCACUUUUGAACUCAGGACGGUCGAAAAUCUUAGGAGGAGCAUAAAAGGAAAAAUGGCACUAUUCAUAUGUACGGUACUAUUCACGUGUACGGUACUAACUACGUUACUAUUCACAACACUGUUCACAUAGACGGAUCGAUGACGUGGCAUUGACCGAUGAUGUGGCAUUGACUGAUGAGGUGUCACGAUCCUGUUGGGCUAAAAUUCUUAUGUACUGUUGAUGGUGACGUGGCAGCAUAUCAGUGGAUGAAAAAUCUCGCGUACGGUACAUGCAUCAGACAGGAUUAUUUUCAACCAAACCGUGUUACUGUUCAUCUGAGUCAAACCGUGUUACUGUUCACCCGUGUGGUCAAACCGUGGACUGUUGACUGAUGACGUGGCGCAAUCCUGAGCGUCCAAACUGUUUUUAAUCCGAUGGCCAUGAUUUACUCCAUGUAUCUAUAAAAAGGGGGCCUCCCCCCCUAAUUUGAUAGCUCUUAAUCCAUUUUUGGGAUCCAUUUUCUGUAAUUUCUUCUCCAUCUUGUAUUUUCUUUGUAUUUUAAUAAAUUCCCAUUUUGCCCCUAGUUCAAUUAUGAGUAGCUAAUUUCCUUUCAAGCUUGGGUUGAAGGUGAAGUCUCAACAUGUGUCAUGGGCUUUAUUUGGUAAAUUUAUUUUCUUUUCCCCUCUAGUUUUUGUGGAUGAUUUGACUUAUCGUCGACAAAUAAUACUGAUCUUGUCUAGAUACCGCCUUGGUUACACCGGCUCUCUAGUAUAAGGUUAUUAUUAUUUGGCACGAUAAGCCCUUAGCACCAUAUUGAUUAGAGCGUGGUUCAUGAGGUGUGGAUUCCCCCCUCAUGAUUUAAUUGGCAUUAAUAAGGAAUAUUUAGCCCAUGAUGCAUGUUGAUACGGAUCUAGAUACCCAAGUACGUCAUUUCAAUAGAAUUCUCUUCAAUUUAUUCUCACUAUUUCAAUUCCAAUUUUAGAAUUUAUUCUCGCCAUUUUAAUUUAAGUUUUAGUAUAUUCCAAAUCAUUUCCACCACAAAUCCAAUCAUCCAUUUACAGAAUUAAUUCUACACACAAUUAAAAUCUACCUCCUCGUGGGAUCGACACUCGUCACCAUUGAUCUACACUACAAUAGAUUCGUGCGCUUGCGAGUUCAUUAAAAUUUGCACAACAAGUUUUUGGCGCCGUUGCCGGGGAGGUAAGUAAUUUUAAUUCAUAGAAUAAAUUUUUGUGAAUAAUUUCUUUUAUUUGUUUUCUUGUAUUUUUUUAAUUAUUAAAAAAAAAAGAAAAAAAAAGUAAAUCUACAUUUAAAGGUUAGUAUUUCUUUUCUUUUUUUCUUCUUUAAAAUUUUGUAAUUUAAUUUUCAAUUUAUUUUUUCUUUGUAAUUUUUGUUUAUUUUAUUAAUUUAAUUUUUAAUUUAUUUCACGUAUUUGUUUUUGUGUAUUUUUAUAGAAAGGUUGUAAUAGUGCAAUAAGGUUAGUAUCGUAAUUUCUCUCUCUUCUUUAUUUUUAUUUAUUUUUGUUCCCAUCUUUAUUUUUAUUUUAUUUAUUUUGCAUGCAUGGUCGUAGGUCAUUAUUACCUAAUCUUGAACCUAUAGACCUUGAAUUAGAAAAAACACUUCGCACACAAAAACACAUUAAAAAUAAAUUUGGAAUGGAUUUACAAGCACUACAGGAGAGGCCAUUUAAGGACUAUUUUAGUCCUUUAGCUAAUUUGAGCACAUCAUGCAUAAGAUACCCAAAUGUAGCUGCUAGGAGCUUUGAACUAAAACCUAGUGUGCUAAAUUGUCUCCCCACAUUUUAUGGCCUAGAAAAUGAGGACCCAUAUAAUCAUCUGAAUGAUUUUCAUGCUAUUUGUCAAACUUUUAAAUACGAGAAUUUUUCAGACGAUGAUGUUAAACUUAGAUUAUUCCCAUUUUCUUUAAAGGAUAGAGCUCGUUCAUGGUUAAAUACUUUACCUGCUAAUAGCAUCACAUCAUGGGAACAAAUGGUAACUAAAUUUUUGAAUAAAUAUUUCCCAGUGCAUAAAACCAAUGCUAUUCACAGGGAAAUCUCGGAGUUUACCCAGAGAGAGGACGAGCAAUUUUUCGAAACAUGGAAGCAAUUCAAUGGGCUACUCUUGAAGUGUCCACAUCAUGGGUACGAGAAAUGACACCAAUGCCAAUACUUUUUGGAGGGAUUAUUGCCGAAUGUGCAAGAAUGGCUAAUGGCAACAAGUGGAGGAGAGCUAAUGUCAAAAAGUGCAUCAGAAAUUUGGGAAUUCUUCCAGCGACAAGCGGAUAAUUCCCAACAACGGAGUCGAUCACUCAGGAAUACUAGAAGAAUUAAGGGAGUAAAUGAGGUUCAAAUUGGCGAGUCAACUUCGGGAAUCAAAGAAGUCAAGGAGAUGGUUGAAGGUCUCGCUCGACAAAUAGCAUCGUUAUCGACUGCUAAAUCAACAGAACCACAUGACCAUGACUCAUACUCCGAUCAAGCCAAUGCCAUAGGUGUAAUGAGAAAACCAUCGAAUUACAACCCAUACUCCAGCACAUAUAACCCUGGAUGGAGAGACCACCCCAAUUUUUCAUGGUCUCAAGGAUUCCAACAGAAUGGACCAGCAGCUCCAGCUCCACCAAUGCAACCAAUUCCUCAAAAUCCUCAAGCCUCUCAGCCCCCAUUUAGACCAUACAAUCAGAACCAAAACUACUCUCAACCCAGACCAUGGGAGGAUUCAUUCCAGAAUUUCAAGAAUGCUACUCACUCUACGAUUGAGCAACAGAACCGCACCAUUGAUGGACUACGAAAUGAGUUGAGAGCAGGCUUCAACUCACAAGCUCAAUCAGUUUCAAGCCUCGAGAAGAUGGUGGGACAACUUGCUUCUUCAGUUCAGACCUUGGCAAUGACUGUUGAAAAAGGUAAAUUUCCAAGUCAACCAGUGCCUAAUCCUAAAGGAGUACAUGAAGCAAGUACCAGUUCACCACAGCAGCAUGGAGAGGUCAAAGCAGUCAUGACCUUGCGAAAAGGAAAGGAAAUCGACAACAAAGUGGAGAUGCCGGUGACAAAAGAAAAUCAAUAUGUUCCUAAAGCUCCAUUUCCUCAGAGGUUAGUGAAAGGAAAGAAGGGAAAAUCCACAGGUGAGAUUCUCGAAAUCUUUAAACAGGUAAGUGUCAACAUCCCUUUACUUGAUGCUAUUAAACAAGUUCCAUCUUAUGCCAAGUUUCUUAAAGACCUUUGUACUAAAAAGAGAAAUAUGCAUGUUCAAAAGAAGGCAUUUUUAACAGAAAACGUUAGUUCUAUACUCCAACAUAAAAUUCCUUUAAAAUGUAAAGACCCAGGCUCCCCCACUAUCUCAUGUAGUAUAGGGAACCACACAAUUGAGAAUGCUUUGUUGGAUUUAGGAGCUAGUGUAAAUUUGUUGCCUUAUUCAGUAUUUGUGAAACUUGGACUGGGAGAAUUACACCCAACUCCAGUGGUGUUACAGCUUGCAGAUCGGUCCACGAAAAUACCUCGUGGUAUUGUGGAGGACGUGCUUAUCCAGGUAGACAAGUUUUAUUUUCCUGUUGAUUUCAUUGUAAUUGACACUCAACCAAUACAAGACUCAAUGAAGCACAUCCCCAUUAUUCUAGGCCGACCUUUCUUGGCAACUGCAGAUGCUCAUAUUCAAUGUAGGACUGGAAAUAUGCAAUUGUCCUUCGGCAACAUGACUAUGGAGCUAAAUAUUUUCAACAUUGCCAAACAACCUCACAAUGCAGAUGAUGGAAUUGUUGAUGUGGAUUUAAUAGAAACAAUAGUCGAUAAUACUUUUAUUUCAAACCUUAGUGAUGACCCUUUACAGACAUGCUUAACUCACUUUGGUUUGGAUUUUGAUAUUGACAGAUCGGUCGAUGAGGUCAAUGCUCUACUUGACUCAGCACCAUCCAUGGACACUAAUAAAUGGAAGUCAAGAGUUGAACAACUAGCACCAUCAGAGAAGAAACUCAUCCCAUCAUCAGAAUCACCACCGAAACUCGAGCUCAAACCAUUGCCCAACACAUUGGAAUAUGCAUUUUUGGGAGAAGAAAGUACUCUACCGGUAAUCAUCUCAUCAUCCCUCAAUGACGAACAAAAAGGUAAGUUGUUGGAUGUUUUAAAAGAGCAUAAAGGAGCAUUAGGAUGGACCAUAGCGGACAUAAAAGGUAUAAAUCCAGUAGACUGAAUGCAUUACAUUCACCUUGAUGAAAAUGCUAAAUUUACUAGGGAAAUGCAACGUCGGUUAAAUCCUAAUAUGAAAGAAGUUGUUAGAACUGAAGUCCUUAAGCUAUUAGAUGCAGGUAUCAUUUACCCAAUUUCUGAUAGUUCAUGGGUCAGUCCUGUACAAGUUGUCCCCAAAAAGUCAGGAGUCACAGUAGUUACCAAUGCUGAUAAUGAAUUGAUACCAACUAGAGUAACUACAUGAUGGCGUGUAUGCAUUGAUUAUAGAAAGUUGAAUUCUGUCACACGUAAAGACCAUUUUCCUUUAUUAGAUGCAGGUAUCAAUGUUUACAUCAUCUAACGCUAGUUCUGCAGAGAUGUACCGAGAAGAACUUAGUCUUGAAUUGGGAGAAGUGCCAUUUUAUGGUAAAACAAGGUAUUGUUCUCGGUCACAUCAUUUCGAGAAAAGGUAUUGAGGUUGACAAAGCCAAGGUGGAUCUCAUUUCUAAUCUUCCUCCACCCAAAACAGUCAGAGAAGUAAGAUCUUUCCUUGGGCAUGCUGGUUUCUAUAGACGUUUCAUUAAAGAUUUUAGCAAAGUUUCUAGACCCUUAUGCAAUUUACUUGCUAAGGAUGUACCUUUUAUCUUUAAUGACUCAUGUCUUGUGGCUUUUGAAAAAUUAAAGCAGUUGUUGACAUCAUCACCCAUCAUUCAGGCCCCGAACUGGAGCUUACCAUUUGAACUCAUGUGUGAUGCAUCUGAUUAUGCAGUAGGAGCAGUAUUAGGACAAAGAGUUGAUCGAAUUCCCCAUGUUAUUUAUUAUGCUAGUAUGACAUUGAAUGAUGCACAGUUGAACUAUUCAACUACUGAAAAAGAAAUGCUAGCAGUAGUGUUUGCAUUGGAAAAAUUUCGAUCUUAUCUCAUUGGUUGUAAAAUAAUUAUAUUCACAGAUCAUGCUGCUCUUAAAUAUCUUCUCACAAAGAAAGAUGCAAAAGCUAGACUAAUUCGUUGGGUAUUACUUUUUGCAGGAAUUUGACUUGGAAUUCAAAGAUAAGAAAGGCACAGAAAAUGUUGUGGCGGACCAUCUCUCUCGUCUCCAUUUUGACACAAUUACAGAGCCAUUAAUAUUAAAUGAGUCAUUUCCAGAUGAACAAUUAAUGAGUGUGGAAGUAUUACCUUGGUAUGCUGAUAUAGUUAAUUAUCUUGUUACAGGUAAAUUUCCAGAGCAUUGGACUAAGCAAGACAAGGCUAAAUUCUUUGCAGAAAUAAAGAAUUUCUUUUGGGAUGACCCUUAUUUGUUCAAGUAUUGUGCAGACCAAAUUGUUAGACGAUGUGUCCCUGAAAGUGAAAUUCAGAAUAUCCUUUCAUUCUGCCAUGAACAAGCUUGUGGAGGCCAUUUCAGUGCUAAGAAAACAGCGACUAAAGUUUUACAAUGUGGUUUCUAUUGGCCAACUAUAUUUCGAGACGCUUACACUUUCUGUUCUUCAUGUGAUAGGUGUCAACGAAUGGGGAGCAUUACACGAAGGAACAUGAUGCCACUAAAUCCAAUUUUAGUGGUUGAGAUUUUUGACGUAUGGGGUAUCGACUUCAUGGGACCCUUUCCCCCUUCUUUUGGCCAUCAAUACAUAUUGGUUGGUGUUGACUACGUCUCGAAAUGGGUAGAAGCAAUUCCAUGCAGAACCAAUGAUCACAAAGUGGUGAUAGGAUUUUUGAAAAGCAACAUUGUUUCACGCUUUGGAUUCCCUCGAGCGAUAAUCAGUGAUGGUGGUGCCCACUUUUGUAACAAAGCAUUCAAGGCUCUUUUGACAAAGUAUUCAAUCACACACAAAGUGGCGACCCCGUAUCAUCCGCAAACCAGUGGCCAAGUUGAGAUCUCCAAUCGAGAAAUAAAACACAUAUUAGAAAAAACAGUGAGGCCAGACAGAAAAGAUUGGUUAUUAAGACUUGAUGAUGCAUUAUGGGCAUAUAGAACGACUUUCAAGACCCCGAUUGGGAUGUCACCCUACAGGCUAGUGUAUGGAAAAGCUUGCCACCUACCUGUGGAACUCGAGCAUCGUGCAUAUUGGGCCAUCAAGAAAUUCAACUUUGACAUGCAGCAAGCCAGCUCAGAGAGAAGAUUACAACUGGCAGAACUUGAAGAAAUUCGCAAUGAUGCAUACGAAAAUGCCAAGAUUUACAAGCAACGAAUGAAAGUCUUUCACGACAAGCAAAUUAUGAGAAAAUCAUUCACUCCAGGUCAGAAAGUGCUUUUAUUCAAUUCUCGCUUGCACAUAUUCCCAGGUAAGUUACGCUCUCGAUGGUCUGGUCCCUUUAUUGUUCAUACUGUUUUUCCACAUGGGGCAAUUGAAAUUAAGGACCCAAAGAACGGUGUCACGUUUAAAGUUAAUGGUCAAAGAUUAAAGCCAUAUCUAGAAUACCAACCACAUGGAGAAGACACCGAAAUAACUUUGAGUGACCCACCAGAUUUGAAUUGAUUUGUUUUUUUUUCUUUUCGUUGAUUUGAUUUUUCUUUCUUUCUUUUUAUUAUUCUUUUGCUAAUUGAAAUUAUUUUUGCAUAAGUGUGUUUGUUUAAACUAUUAAGUUUUCUCUUAUCAUUUUUAAUCAUGAGUACCUUACUUAGACCGUUCCUCUUGAACAUUCUUAAACCACUUCAACGUGUCAAAACUCAUCUCAAACGGCAAAUUCAAUUUUGUAAAACACAUCGUAUUUGGGCUCUACAACCACCAGAGUUAGUAGCCUAUGUUGAGGGUUUAGAACGCCAACUCAGAGAUAUUGAGCGAAGUGUUUACGACAUCCAGUUGGAGCUUGAGGUAAAUUCAAUAAGAGGACGAUUUUAAUUUUCUUUGUGUGUUUUAAUUUGUUUUUCUGUUUGUGUGCUUUAGUUUGUUACCCCGGUGAAGUGGCGGAUAACGGUACUCCGUGACAAUCAAGUCGGUUAACUUCAAUUUCCCAUAAUAACUGAUAUUCUGAGGCGAAAGUAUGGAUAGAAACGAGAUUUUAGCAAAGCUUCACAAGCGAUUCCCUUCACUUCCUCAGAAUGCCCUCCUUACAAUCUAUAAAGCCCGGUCUGAACGCAUGCGAUUGCUCAUGAGGAAUAACAUACCUGCAGACAUCCGUUGGUUAAUUGAGGCUAAAGUAUGAUUGGCAGGUGAGUUACCUCCUAAAUUUAUUGCAUACAUGCCUGGUUGUGGUAAAGGAAAUUACGCAAGAAAACGACGAGCUCGAAGAAUUUCUGUUGCUUGUCACAAGUGUGCCAGAAUGAGUUGCGAUAGAAACCCAUGUUCUUUAGGAAUGGUGUCUGAUAACAGGGAAGAUAAGAUUCAAUUCAUUAGGGAUGACUUGAAUAAGGAGUCAUUGGAUGAUAUCCUUUUGUCUCUUGAAACGCAUCCCAGUGGAUAUGUGUAAGGAGCGAUUCUCCAGUUGUGGCCAUUAUUCCAGAAAGAGCAUGCACGAUAUAGUCUCGGGAAUCUGACUAUAAACGACCCUGUUUGCCAGUUUAUAAGAAAACUGGAUAGGAAGCCUAUCCUCGACCCAUAGAGGGCGUUCAAGCCAUUUCUGGACGUAAAACCAGAGGAAGAUGUGAGCCACAGUCGCAACUACGUGUAAAUAUCCUUUUACUUUACUGUUAUUUUAUUUCAUUUCACUGUUGUUUUAUUGUUUGCAUUAUUGUCUUUAAUAAUUUUAUUACUGUUUGCUUUUUCCUUUUUGACUCGCAAGCCAUGUGCUUCACGCGUUAUUUCACACUGACAUGUUACCUUAUUCACAGCUGUGAUCCACUGUCACCAAGAUUCUUAAAUGUGAUUUAUCUUUUGUCAAGCACUCACAAAUUAUUUUUGCAAAGUGUCACAAUGGCAGCUACUCCCAAUAGACAAUUCAAGAACAUUUGUGUGCUUUCUGGAUUUACCUAUGGCAAACAUAAAGAGUUCGUGGAGGCAGCCAUAGAUCUUGGUCGAAGCAUAGCAGCGAAAAAAUUACACUUGGUGUAUGGAGGAGGUAACCGAGGGUUAUCAAAAAUGGUCUCAGAAGCAGCUUUUAUCAGAGGAAGUCAAAUGUUAGGCAUCAUCCCAAGAGUCCUAAAACCAUUGGGCAGUUCGUCUGACUCAUCAACUGGAGAAGAGUUAGUCAUCUCAGGUAUGCAAGAAAGAAUAACUGAAAUGCUUAAUCAUGCUGAUGCUUUUAUUUUCCUUCCAGGAGAUCUUGCAACACUAGAGGCACUUAUGACACUAGCAUCUUGGGCCCAUCUACACAUUCACCAGAAACCCAUCGGUUUGUUAAAUGUCAAUAACUUUUAUGAUGGCUUUAUCGCAUUUCUUAACCAUGCAAUAAAAAACUAUUUCAUUCCUUCUAAUGUGAAAAAACUUUUUAUUUGUGCUCACACUGUUAAUGAGCUACUUGAUCUGUUACAAGCUUAUAAACCGGAGCCAGACCCCUGGACCUUUGUGUUGGAGCAUCCACAUAAUGAUGGUAACAGUAGCCGCAGUAAGAAGUACAAAUUAGAUUUAACUCUCCGCUUGUAAAUAUUGUUUUCUGUGUUGCACCACCCAGGUGAUGUCUUCUAAACUCUACUUCUUUCAUUUCAAACAUUGAGGACAAUGUUUCGUUCUGGUUUGGGGGAGGGAAUAAUCGACAAUUGUGGAAUUUUGGUUAAGUUUUUACUAAUUUUUUUGUUGUAGAAAUUAACUGUUGCUAACUUUUUGUGUUGAAGAUGGCUGAAUAUGGAGUGUAGUGAUUCUAGAAACGCAUCUUCAUCGUUUAAAAAAAAAAAUUAAAAAAAAACUUAAAAAAAAAUUCAGACAUUUUCUUUUUCUUUAUUAUGUGUUUAUGUUUAUUUUUCUUCUUUUUAAUUUCUCCUCUAUAAAUAUACAUUUUCCAACUUUUGAGUCGAAGAUGGCUGAAUAUGGAGUGUAGUUCCUCUAGAAACGCAUCUUCUUAAAAAAAAAAAAAUCAUUUUCGUUUUCUAUCAUUUUACGUGUAACUUUUCUAAUUAGUUUUUAUGCAUCAUUUUCACAUUUCUGCAUGCAUAUUUUCCUUUCAUGUUUAGAAUAGGUUGGGGGUAGAAUGUUGUUAAAAAAAAAUAAAAAUUUUGUGAUUUGUUUUAACAUUGGAUGACAUGAUUAAUUUCAAAUUUUAGUAUUUGUAUUAUCUUUGGUCUUAAGUGAUGUUACGCUAUGUUUGCUACUUUACAUGUUGAUGUCGGAGACAAAUGUGAGUUGCUUGAAGGAAUGAACAUGUCAUCAUAAGUACCAAGUGAGUUUUUGAGCCUAUUAUUUUUCUUGGAGAAUAACCCUUUUGCCCACUCUUUAUACAGCUUAGUAGUUUAUUAUUUUACACACGAUCUCUAAAUUGCUUUUGAGUUAACCCUUAAAAAAAAUUGUAAAAUAAAAAAAAAGAAAAAAAAAAGAAAAAAGAAAAAAGAGUGUGUUGCUACAUUUGGAGGCCCAUCUAACUAGUAGAUAUGGAAGAUUAUUUAGAGCCCUAAAAGACGAUGGAAAGACCAUCUUUGAUCCGUUUGAGUCUUUCUAGCCAUCCCUUUUAUCAAAUAUCCAUAGUUAACCCUUUUGAGCCUUUAAAAAAAAAAAAAAUCUUUUUCUUUGUCAACUUAUCAUCUUGACCCACUCCGAUUUGGAGUAUUACCCAAUGUCUUAUAAGUUCCAUCACCUAUUUAUGUUUGAGAAAAUGUAAAUAAUUAUGUUGUUCAGUAAAGUUAUGCCAAAAAAAAAAAAAAAAACAAAAGUUGUUGUUUCAAAAGAAAAACUAAAAAUAAAUAUAAUAGGUGAAAUCCACCUUGCAACUUCCAAAAAAAAAAAAAUUCUUUGCAUUUUUCUCAAACAUACACUUUGUUUUCCUUAUUUUUCUUCUUUGUUAGCCAUGUCCCUAGCCUACGUUACGUCCUAAUAAAAGUCCUUCUUGAUUUUAGGGAACUAUAGUUUGAAGUAGAAGCUAGUUAUAUGGGCUAAAAAGAUGUAGUGAUGCAUAAUAAAAAAAAAAGAAGAUAAAUAAAGUGGGUUGACUAGCAUUUUUGUUUGACUUGAGUUCGUAUUAUUUAUAAGCUAAGGGCAUAUUUAUUUCAUCUUGGUGAGAGCAUGUGAUAUCACUUCUUUAUUAUUUUCUCUCUCAAUUACCAUUCAUUGGAGUGACUAUUUUUAUUGGUUUUAAUUUCUUUGUGAGAGUGUCACUACUUCCAGUGAGAUUUUGGGGUUUGACAUGUCAUUCUUGAAAGUAGCUAUGACAAAGUCUACUGGGCUAAUUCAUGUGGAUGGUUGAUGUGGGUGUGAUGUUGCUUUAGACUGGAGAUAAUGCUUAUACUUUUAUUUGAUUGCUAUCAUUAAUCUGACGGAAUAAAUACGAGUGUUUCUAUUAAAAAAAAAAUAUUUUAAAUUUGAAUUUUGUUUUCGCUUUAUUUGCUAGGGACUAGCAAUAAGCUGGUUGGGGAGUGUGUUGAGUGUUAGAAAAUGCAUAUUUAUAAAGGAGAAAACCGUCAUUUUACAUUUCAAGUCUUACUAACAACCCUUACUUUUAUGUAUUUAACCUUCUUGUGAUUUAAUUACAUGUGUUUUAUUUUAAUUAAGUAUUUUAUGUAUUUUAGGGGCAUUAUAGUCAUUUCACAAUAAAGGAGAGAUCAGACGGCAAAACGGACAUCACUUUUGAACUCAGGACGGUCGAAAACCUUAGGAGGAGCAUAAAAGGAAAAAUGACACUAUUCAUAUGUACGGUACUAUUCACGUGUACGGUACUAACUAUAUUACUGUUCACAACACUAUUCACAUAGACGGAUCGAUGACGUGGCAUUGACCGAUGAUGUGGCAUUGACUGAUGAGGUGUCACGAUCCUGUUGGGCUAAAAUUCUUAUGUACUGUUGAUGGUGACGUGGCCGCAUAUCAGUGGAUGAAAAAUCUCGCGUACGGUACAUGCAUCACACAGGAUUAUUUUCAACCAAACUGCGUUACUGUUCAUCCGAGUCAAACCGUGUUACUGUUCAUCCACGUGGUCAAACCGUGGACUGUUGACUGAUGACGUGGCGCAAUCCUGAGCGUCCAAACUGUUUUUAAUCCGAUGGCCAUGAUUUACUCCAUGUAUCUAUAAAAAGGGGGCCUCCCCCCCCUAAUUUGAUAGCUCUGAAUCCAUUUUUGGGAUCCAUUUUCUGUAAUUCCUUCUCCAUCUUGUAUUUUCUUUGUAUUUUAAUAAAUUCCCAUUUUGCCCCUAGUUCAAUUAUGAGUAGCUAAUUUCCUUUCAAGCUUGGGUUGAAGGUGAAGUCUCAACAUGUGUCAUGGGCUUUAUUUGGUAAAUUUAUUUUCUUUUCCCCUCUAGUUUUUGUGGAUGAUUUGACUUAUCGUCGACAAAUAAUACUGAUCUUGUCUAGAUACCGCCUUGGUUACACCGGCUCUCUAGUAUAAGGUUAUUAUUAUUUGGCACGAUAAGCCCUUAGCACUAUAUUGAUUAGAGCGUGGUUCAUGAGGUGUGGAUUCCCCCCUCAUGAUUUAAUUGGCAUUAAUAAGGAAUAUUUAGCCCAUGAUGCAUGUUGAUACGGAUCUAGAUACCCAAGUACGUCAUUUCAAUAGAAUUCUCUUCAAUUUAUUCUCACUAUUUCAAUUCCAAUUUUAGAAUUUAUUCUCGCCAUUUUAAUUUAAGUUUUAGUAUAUUCCAAAUCAUUUCCACCACAAAUCCAAUCACCCAUUUACAGAAUUAAUUCUACACACAAUUAAAAUCCACCUCCUCGUGGGAUCGACACUCGUCACCAUUGAUCUACACUACAAUAGAUUCGUGCGCUUGCGAGUUCAUUAAAAUUUGCACAACAACCAGCCAUACCCUGAACGAGGAGUCGACCUUCUUAUAAGUGAGCAGACAUGUGAGGUCUGGUAGAGGGUAGCCAAAAGCAGGCAUUUUCUGCUCGAUUACAAGGACAGCCUCUGCUAGACCGUAGCACGAGCAGGACUACUGUUAGAAGUCGAGAGCCUUCCUGCUGGAGACCGGGGUUGACAGACCCAGUCCAUAACAAUUAACGAGAUGUGCACUACUAUUGGAAAAUCUAGGCACGAAAUCCACUCGGUCGCAACUACAAUAUUCAAGCAUCCACUUCCGGGAGCUGGGGAAGUGGUGGACGUGGGUCAUGGGGGGCCAAAUUUAUAGGAAGACUGUAAAAGAGGUAAUCAACGAAGGUAAAGGGGUUAGACACUUUUACAUAAAAAUUAAGAAAAAAAGCAUUCUAGGAAAAACCUGUGAAAAACUCAUAGGUAUUCUAUGGCCUAAGGGAUUAUUAGGGAGCCACAAGAUCAGUGGCAGAGUUUCCUAAAAAGUAGGUUAGAAUUUAUGACUUGAGCGUUGGAGUGUUUACGCAGGAAAAACUUCCGGCGUGCUCUGACUAAUUUUUGUGUACACAGGAGUUCAUCGAGAAGAAGUUGCAAAAGGAAUAGCUCUGUUCGCCUAGAAGAGUAACGUGAAGUAUACUCGGUUGGCUACGAGUUCAAGAGUUGAAAAGAGAUCUUGGUCGUAAACAAGCAGACACAAUAAUCUUAUAUUAACAUUUUGGCGCCGUCUGUGGGGAGCUGAACAAAAAUUUUUCAUCAAUAGAGAGAGGAAUGAGAAAAAGAGUGGGGAGACUGUGGACGUAGGUGGGAGUAGUGCCCAAGGAGGUGAUCUGGGGCUUAACGAGUCUGUAACAUUGAGAGAGAUAGAUAACGAAGCGCGAGAAAAAGCAAUGUACGAGCGGAUGGAAUGGAUGGAAAAAAAAAAUGGAGACUCUGACAACUAUCUUGCACGAGUUGAGAAGCGAGCAAAGGGGAAUUCAAAAGGAAAUGAUGAGAGUGGUGGAGGAGUGCUAGGGCACGUUAAUAGAAGGAACAAUGGUACUGCGGUGAGAGGUCGAACCACCAGGAGGUUUGGUUGUUAAGUGGUUAACCAAUCUCUACGGGGAUGAAGUUAUGAAAGAGGGGAUCAAUCCCCAGGGAGGCAGAGCUCUGAUAAUAAUGACGGGGCUGUGAAUGCAGAGGAAAGGGAACUUCGACAACACCUGCAUAACUCGAGUAAGAACGAGACCAGGUUGCAGUACGUGACUCUGGUCGUGCCAUGCAGCUAGAGGAAGAAGUGCGCAGACUAGCGCAGAUUAUAGAUGACAUGCAGAGACGGAGCAGAGUACUUGGUUGGAUAAUAAUGCUUGAUGGCAAAUCCCCCCUCUCGACAGAAAUCAUGAGUGUUGUCAUCCUGAGGGACUUCCGCUUCCUCGAUCUCAAGUACUCGGGACAAACCGACUCAUUGGUGCACAUAGAGCGUUUUAAUGAUAUGAGGUGCAUGGAUUAUCUCAAGCCCAAAGGUGCAGGGUGUUCCCGCUGGCUCUAGAGGGACAAGCACAUGAGUGGUACCGGAAGCUUCCUUGGGGGAGCAUCAGAACAUUCGAGCAGAUGUGCCAGGAAUUUACAGAGUAGUUUUAGGGGGCAAUGGCACCUGAAAAUGAUAUGAUGGAGCUGACAAGCAUGAAGCAUGGAGAGGAUGAAACUCUUCGGGAGUAUAUCAAAAGGUACCAUCACAUUUGUCCUCGAUCUGGGAGCCUUCAACCAUCCUCAAGCAUUGAGGGGAUUAAAAGAAUGAGUAAGGAUAAGAUACAUGUGGUACAACUUAAGGAGUCCAGCAAUUCAGUUAUAUUUUGUGGCCUAUAAGCAGGUCAAGAGGGAUAUGGAAAUCGAGGAGGAAAAAACAGCAAGGAUUAAGACAGACCAGCUGGAAGAGUUGAGGAGAAAAAAAAAGAAAGUCCUAGUAGGAAGUGAGCCGAUUAAACGGAAGGACCACCAUGCCCCAGGUGGCGGUGCAGGAAGCCGGGUCGCUUCUUACCAACCUCAUCAGAGGCCACCUCAAUAUCAGCGUAGCAGGAUGCAACCUCCUUGCUCACCAGCCAGAGAUUCCUGGACGACAUGAUCAGACAUACGGUCAUCCUUAUCAACACCCCACAAUGGCUCACCACCCAUAGGGUGUGAGAGCUAGCAGACUAGAGGCUCCGGUGCCCCCUCCUAAUCAGAACGGCACCCACAGGGAAAGGGCAAUGCACAUGAUCGAUCAGAGUCAGAGCGAUGGGCGGUAUACUUCCUUGAAUGUACCCCUCGAUGAGGUGUUUGAUGCAGUAAAAGACUGUGGGCUGCUAUAUCCCCGUACCCCAAUAGCAAAGCUACCCAGCAAGAGAUAUAAGAGACGGUUUUGCAAGUUCCAUGGCAUUCAUGGUCAUACCACGGGCGAAUGCAGGGAUCUCAAAAAUCAAGUAGAAGAUUUAGUGAGGAAUCACUACCUGGACGAGUACGUAGAUGGAGUUAUUCCGAUGGUGGGCUCUUCAUGCGAAGGAGAGUAGAGUAAUAGAAACUUGGUCCACGAGCAGCUGGGAAUGGUAAACUUAGAACAAGACAACUCAGAAAAAAAAAUCUGAAUUAGAUCGAGGCUUAAAGAAGAGCUAAAGUAGGAGCUGGUGCAUUGUUUGUGAGCUCACGCAGAUGUGUUCGCUUGGACACAUGAUGACAUGCCAAGAAUCGACCCUGAGGUGGCUUGCCAUAAGUUGGCAAUAAAGAAGGGUAUCCGACCUAUAAGGAAAAAGAGAAAAUGCUUCAACCAUGAGAGAUACGAAGCCAUAAAUGGCGAAGUGGAGAAACUCUUGAAGGCAGGGUUCAUUCGCGAAGUCAAUUACCCCAAAUAGAUUUUGAAUGUCGUUUAAUAAAGAAGGCUAAUGGUAAAUAAAAAAUGUGCGUUGAUUUUACUGACCUCGGCAAGGCAUGCCCAAAAGACAGCUUUCCCCUACCAAAGAUCAACCAGCUAGUUGAUUCAACAGCAGGAUAUGGUCUGCUCAGCUUCAUAGAUGCAUUCUUGGGAUACAACCAAAUCCCAAUGUUCGAGCAGGACGAGAAGAGCACGGCAUUUAUCACUAACCAGGGUUUGUUUUAUUAUAGGGUAAUGUCAUUUGGUCUUAAAAAUGUCGGUGCCACAUACCAAAGGCUGGUGAACAAAAUUUUUAAGCGAUUGAUUGGAAGAACGAUGGAGGUUUAUAUGGACGACAUGAUAACCAAAUCGAAAAGCCUGAGUGAACAUGUCAAGCGCCUCGAGAAGACAUUUGGGCUUUUAAGGAAGUAUAAGAUGAAGCUUAACCUGGAGAAGUGUGCCUUUGGAGUUGAAUCAGGAAAAUUCCUUGGAUUCAUGGUGAGCCAUCGGGGGAUUGAGGCGAAUCCUGAGAAGAUCCAUGCAAUCAUGUAGAUGAGAUCCCCUCGUAACUUUAAGGAGAUAUAGAGCCUCACAUGAAAACUGGCGGCGUUGAGUCAAUUCAUAUAUAAGGCAACAGAUAAGUGCCAAGCCUUUUUUUCAAGUGAUAAAGAUAGGAAGGAAAACAGAAUGGACCCCCAAAUGCAAAGAGGCUUUCCAGAAACUGAAACAGUAUCUGCAGCAAAUACCCUUGUUGUCUACACCGCGAUAGGGGCACAUGUUGUUCCUGUAUUUAGCGGUAUCGAAUCAUGCUAUGAGCUCGGUUCUAGUAAGAGAAGAAGAAGGGGUUCAAUACCCAAUUUACUACACGAGUAAGGCCCUGCUUGAUGUCGAGACCAGGUACCCGCCGUUAGAGAAAUGGGAAUUCGCUCUUGUAGUGGCUGCUUGAAAGCUGAAACCAUACUUCCAAGCAUUUCCUGUAUCAGUAAUAAAAAACAAACCACUGCGGCAGAUGCUGCACAGAUCAAAUGCUUCUGGUCGACUAGUGAAAUGGGCAAUGGAGCUGAGCAAGUUCGAUAUAAGCUAUAAACCACGAGCAGCAAUAAAAGCUCAAGCGAUGGCAGACUUCGUGGCAGAAUUCACAGAGUCCGAAAUAGAUUUUGACCAACCUAGUGCUGCUGCAGACAACGACGAGGAUCGAGUCUAGUAGGUAUCGGUGGAUGGAUCCCCAGGUGAGCAGGUUCCCGAAACAAGUAUUAUUUUGGAAGGCCAAGAAGGGGAUAAGAUCUCUUAUGCUGUUAGAUUGGAGUUUACGGCCACAAACAACCAAGCAGAAUAUGAAGCUUUAAUAGUGAGGUAAGAAUUGGCUAAGGCAAUGAAAGUGGAUAGGGUAAAAAUCUAGACUAAUUCUCAACUGGUUGCCAACCAUGUUAGUGAAAGAUUUCAGCCCAGAGAUGGGAAGAUGAAACAAUAUUUAAAGAAUGUCAAACGGAUGAUUAGGAAGUUUGAAUCAGUAGACGUAGUGCAAAUUCCAAGGGUGGAGAACUAUCGAGCAAACAUCCUGGCUAGAAUGGCAGCUGUGGCAAACCCAAAAAUUCUCAAGUCGGUCACUUUGGAGGUGAAGUCUUACCCCAACAUUGAGCAAAAUUUGGAGGUGAUGCGGAUAGAACAGAAGAGCUCAUGGAUGGACCCAAUAAUCUCGUAUAUCCGGGAUGGGGUGUUACCAGCAGAUAAGUUAUGAGCACGGAGGAUCAGAUCCCAGCAGAUAAGUUCCUUCGAUGUUUAGACAAGGACGACGCGAUUUACGUACUGAAGAAAGUGCAUGAAGGGAUUUGUGGAAACCAUUCUGGUGCGAGAUCCCUUGCCUACAAGGCUCUUAGGCAAAGGUAUUUCUGGCCGACGAUGCACCAGGAAGCACAAGAAAAAACUAGAAGUUGUAUGAGUUGUCAGAGUUUUGCCAAUUUCUCCACCCAGCCACCAGAAAAACUCACUUCUAUGGCCUCGCCAUGGUUAUUUGCUCAAUGGGGAAUCGAUCUUUUUAGGUUGUUGCUAAAAGAACGGGGAACGACUACGCAUGCAGUAGUAGCAGUAGACUAUUUUACGAAAUGGGUCGAGGUAGAGCCCUCAGUAGGAUCACAGAGAAAAAGACGAUCGACUUUGUAUAUAGGAACUUGCUCUGCCGAUAUGGGAUCCCUUAUGCCCUGAUAGUAGACAGUGAUAGGCAGUUUGACAAUCAUAACUUCAGAUAGUUUUGCCAGAACCUCAUAAUAGAGCUGAAAUUCUGCUUGCCUGCUCACCCUCAAUCUAAUGGACAAGUGGAAGCAGCCAACAAGGUUAUCAAGAAGUUGUUGAAAACCAGGCUAGGAGAGAAGAAGGGUGCAUGGGUUGAUGAGCUACCCGGGGUGUUAUGGGCAUACAGGACAACCCAUGAAAUAGCAAUCGGCGAAACUCCGUUUGCUCUAACCUUUGGACAUGAAGUCGUUGUGCCCAUGGAGAUAGGGGUAGCCACGUACCGAAAAGAGCACUUCGAUGAGCGUGAAAACAACGACCUGAUAUGCUUAAAUCUGGAUCUACUAACUGAGAAAAGGGAGCAAGCAUCGAAGAGGUCAGCCGCCUACCAGCAAAGGGUUGCUCGUUAUUACAACCAGAAGAUGCGGGUAUGAUAGUUCAGGGUCGGUGAUUGGGUGCUUAGAAGAGUGAAUCAGAACACUAAAGACUCGAUAUAAGGGGUACUCGGUCCUAACUGGGAAGGGCCAUAUAAAGUCAAGCAGGUGGCCGGACUCGGAGCCUACAAGCUCGUUCGCGCAGAUGGCUACGAGGUGAAACGACCAUGGAAUACAGCACAUCUCAAGAAAUACUUUCAGUAAGACCCAAAAAAUACUUAAGAGUUAUUUCUAUUCAUUCUUGUUGUUAUCUGUUUUUUAUGUUUAGUCAAUUUCAUAUAAGUCGAACUCAGUGAUUAAUGAAGUUUAGAAGAAUUUCAUUCAACUAUCAUCGAUGUUAAAAAAAAAAAAAAUCGAAGGCAUGUAAAGGCUUCAAAAUCUCAAAGCCUACUCAAUGGCAAGACAAGGAGCCAAGCGUGCCAGAAUUUGCUUGACCAAGAGAAGGCGAGCAGACCAUCAUAAGUUUAAUAAAAUUCCUAAGGCAUAUAAAGGCUUCAAAGUCUCAAAGCUUACUCGAUGGCGAGACAAGGAGCCAAGCAUGACAGAAUCUGCUCGACCAUGAGAAGGCAAGCAUACCAUCAUAAGUUUAAUAAAAUUCUGAAGGCAUGUAAAGGCUUCAAAGUCUCAAAGCCUACUGAUGGCAAGAUAAGGAGCCAAGCGUGCCAGAAUCUGCUCGACCAUGAGGAGACGAUCAGACCAUUAUAAAUUUAAUAAAAUUCCUAAGGCAUGUAAAGGCUUCAAAUUCUCAAAGCUUACUCGAUGACGAGACAAGAAGCCAAGCGUGCCAGAAUCUGCUCGACCAUGAGAAGGCGAGCAAACCAUCAUAGGAAUUUAAUAAAAUUCCUAAGGCAUGUAAAGGCUUUAAAGUCUCAAAGCCUACUCAAUAGCAAGACAAAGAGCCAAGCGUACCAAAAUCUGCUCGACCAUUUGAAGGCGAGUUGACAAUCAUAAGUUUAAUAAAAUUCUUAAGGCACGUGAAGGCUUCAAAGUCUCAAAGUCUACUCGAAGGCGAGAUAAGGAGCCAAGUUUCUCAGAAGCUACUUGACCAUGUGAGGGCGAGCAGACAAUAACAAUUAUAAGAAAAUGCCUAAGGCAAACGAAUACAUCAUAGUCCGGAAGCCUGCUCGAUGGCAACAUUAAAAGCCAAAUUUUGCGCAAUUUUGUUCAUCAAGCAGCGGUGAACAGAAAAUUAAAUAUUCCAAAAGUUUGUCACCAAGUAACAGCGAACAGGCAAUCGAAUAUUUAAAGCAAGGCAAAACAAGCAAAUUAAGGAAUGUCAUUAAAAUUUUUCAGCAACAGAAGAAAGUUGAUAAAUGGGCAUACAAUAAACACAUAAUACAAUCAAAAGGAAGGGGGGUCAGUAAGUAGAGCUGCUUCUGCUAGUUGAUUCACUUGAGGAGCAGGGGGUGUCUCGACAGCUGCGCCCGGGGGGGUACUUGCUUCAGCAACAUCAAUAGGGGCUGCACAAGGAGGGGAGGUUGCCUCCUCGGUUGCAUCUAGCUCUAAUCCUUCACCACUUUCUUUGGCUGCCUCCUCAUCCAUAUAAUCAGCUACACCAGCAGCGUGCUCAUCCAUCUUCAGAUCAGGAUGCUAUUUUUUUAAGACGACCAUUAUGCACCGAUAAAAAUGCCUAAGCCCCUUAUCGUAUUGGUUGUCAGCCUUCUUCUCCAAGUUUUUUACCUGAGUCUGGUGAGAAGCACGAAGGGAUUCGAGCUCAAUCUCGUAGGUAACCUUUUAUGCCUACAAGUCCUCCUUAGCCUUACUCAGCUCCUCCUCAAGAGUGAUAGUUUUCGCUUGCACGAGAGAUGCUUGCUCUAACAACUUUAAGUUCUCAAGAUUGAGAUCUCUAGCUUUCUUCUCAGCAGCGUCAACUUUGCUUUUAGCUGACUGAAUAUCCUCUUUCAUUUUUUGGUUGUAACGGCCGACAUUCGCCUUAUAGUAAGUAGCCAUGCAGCCAAGAUGAAAAACAUUGAACUGCAUAGCCCCAACCAGCUCGCCAAGAAUACUGCUGUCAAAACCUUCUAUGUUUGUUUCGCUCACGAGCCUGGAAAACUCAUUGAUAUAUGGGGUUAGAUGCUCUGGUCAUUUUUCUGGCAAAUGAUGUUUUAACCUUACUGGUGGAGGAGCAGCAACAGUAUCAGCGCCACUUGCAGUUCCACUAGUCUCGCUAGUCUUGGAAGAAGGAGGUAAUAGAGUCUUCAAAUUGGAGACCUUCUCCACAAUAUUGACCCACUUUCUAGGGGGAGCAUCUUUGUUGUGAUCUUGCUUAGCAGCAUUGGGAUGAGGACGUUUCUUGUUCAAAGCCCCAAUCAUAGCGUCCUCCAUAACAUAAGCAACGAGUACCAGGCGAGACUCAAUCAAGUUGCAAGUAGACAGUAGGUCUCUGCACAGGCAGGAAUUGACCAACGCAGUCUGGACCCACUUGAGUGCUUCAGGCUCGAGUUUGUAGUGGACGCCCCAGGAACAUGCAGUUCGAACAAAGACCGUGUUAGAAAUAGAUCAAUCAUUAGAACAACUAGGGGUAUAAGACAUCUAAAGUGAGCAGGCAACCUGGAACUAUGAAAACGAGAGGGGACGCAAACGUUCUCCCUGUCAAUCUGUGCCACUUGACCUCAAGAACCCCCAGCGAAAAAGAAUUUUUUUCUUCCAAUUCCCACCACCACCUGUUGGAAGAUCAGUUAUGGAUUUCCUGGUCUUGGUACUUGACAUGAAAUAAUACCAGCCGGCGUCUUUGGGGCUGCUAUUUAACUAAUACAGGUGUUUGACCUCAUCAGCUGUAGGCUUACUCUGACCGCAUUUUCCCCACAAAACGAACAGACUAGAAAGUACCCUCCAUCCGUUAGGGUUAAGUUGACCAGGAGCUAAGUAUAACCCUCCAAGCAUUUGGAUGAAAUAAGGUUGUAAGGGGAGCCUCAUUCCAAAUUUAAAACUUUCUAGAAAUAGAGUAACACACCCCCUGGGAGGUCGACUGGGAGUGUCUUUUUUCCCUAGAACUCAAAGGGGUAUACCAUCAGGGAUGUCGUAAAUGGUUUGAAGUUCGACGAGAUCCUCUAUUGUGGUCAUACAAGUCAUAAGGUCAAUAGCAUAAUGUUCUGCUAGAGCUCUACCACCUAGUUUCCUUUUCUUUUCUGGUCAUGAUACUCCUAGUGAGAAUACUUCACCAGAGUCUUCAUCCGAGUCCUCACUUAGAGUAUCCUCUGAACCAGAAGAUCCCUCAUCAUCACUAUUGUUGGGCAAGGUGGUUACUUGAGGAGACAUUCUCCUAGCACUAGUCCCAACACUAAAGGAUCUUAUUGGCUCUAAAGGGAUCCUGGGGUUGAAAGCGGGAUCCGUAAGUAGACCAGGCAGGAAGUCUAGUUCGUCAUCGUCAACCUCAAUUACUUUUUCUUUGCCUUUUGACAUUCCCUAAACUAUGGCUAGAACAAUACCACCAAACGUCACAAAAAAAAAAUCUUCUACAACUAUCCAAGACCGCGGAAAUAGAAAUAAUACGUGCAGAUGUGGCAAGGCAGAACAGAGGCAAGGAAUAUAGCUUCAACUCCGGGGGAGAAAGAUCACUCAGUCACCGGAGAGUGAAAAGAAAGCUAAGAGAUGAAACUUCCUUUUGAGGUUUAGGGUUCCCGAAUGAGACAUAAACCUUUGGUUUAUUAGCAUUUAACGGCACAAAUUCCAAGAAUUUUAUAACCGUCGUUUUGAAAUUCCAACGAAUGGAUGGAUCCCUGCCACAUCACCAGCGAUUAAUUGUGACACGACUCUUAAAAAAAAAGGUUGUUGGCAGCAAAAAAAAAAAAGGUGGACAUAAAAAGCAAGCAGUUCCUCCACUUGAAGUUAAGAAGUCGUGUCAUACCUCGAGCAAGCCAGGAUUAUUGAGUUUCUAGUAUUGAUCCAUUGCAUUACCAAUACCAGAAAUUGGGGGACCGGUGUUUGAGGGUGUAUUAUGAAGAGACCAACCAUACCCUAAACGAGGAGUCGGCCUUCUUAUAAGUGACCAGACAUGUGAGGUCUGGUAGCGGGUAGCCAAAAGCAGGCAUUUUCUGCUCGAUUACGAGGAUACCCUCUGCUAGACCGUAGCACGAGCAGGACUCCUGCUAGAAGCCGAGAGCCUUCCUGCUAGAGAAAACUACAAUAUUCAAGCAUCCACUUUCGGGAGCUGGGGAGGUGGUGAACGUGGGUCAUGGGGGGCCAAAUUUAUAGGAAGACUAUAAAAGAGGUAAUCAACGAAUGUAAAGGGGUAGACACUUUUAUAUAAAAAUUAAGAAAAAAAGCAUUCUAGGAAAAACUUGUGAAAAGCUCAUAGGUAUUCUAUGGCCUCAGGGAUUAUUAGGGAGCCACGAGAUCAGUGGCAGAGUUUCCUAAAAAGUAAGCCCGAAUUUCUGACUUGAGCGUUGGAGGGUUUAUGCGGGGAAAACUCCCGACGUGCUCUAACUAAUUUUUGUGUGUGCAGGAGUUCGUCGAGAAGAAGUUGCAAGAGGCAUAGCUCUUUUCGCCUAGAAGAGUAACGUGAAGUAUACUUGGUUGGCUGCGAGUUCAAGAGUUAAAAAGAGAUCCUGAUCGUAAACGAGCAGACACCAAAAUCUCGCAUCAACGUUUUUUUUUUUCACCACUACUGUAACUUUUAAUAUAAGUUAGGUUAUCAAAAUUUUGAGCUUCAUUCAACCAACCAUAAAUCAUGAUCAAAGUCUACAUUGCGUAAGUCAAGAAAGACUUUAAUGGGAGAGAUAUCAUCUUUAUUAUCGACAUUACAAAUGGACCCCAAUUAUAUCUAAAGUCUUUGGGAUCGUGUCCCGUUUUCUUCUUCUUUUUCAAAACCCUAUUUACUAACUAUUAAUUCGGUUGGUUGAUGAAUCCGGCGGUUUCUGAUUUUCUUAUUUAUUUUUAUGCGAGUGACCCCGUAACGAUAGCAUCGCAAUCUCAUGAAAAAAAAUUUCCAAACGCAUGAAAAUUGGACACCCGUCAACAAAAUUCUUUUUGUUACAGUAUAUUCUGUACUUUCAAAAAUUUGAACAUGACAAAAAUUAAGUAAUCUACUUAUUAUAAUAAUCUAUGACCAAAAAUAUUGAACAUGUAUUUUUUUUUUUUGUAAUUAUACACGCACAUCACUCUUUUACGAUUAAUUGACUAAACAUGUAUGAUAAACGAUUUUAUAAUGGAUUGUCUCAUAAUCUAAAUUUAUCAAAUAUCUUAAUGGUGAGACUAUUCCAAUUGAAUCCAUAAAUUUUUUUUUAAAUUUUCUUUACAACUUAUAACAUACUUUUUAGAAAGUCUGUCGAGUACUAAUUCAAAAUUUUAUUUUAAUAUAUAUUAAGAAAAAUUAUUUGGUUAAGAGAAAUGAGCCCCUUUUGAGUUGGUGAAGCAUGAGCUCAUCAUUAGGCAAUCCAUCAAAUUAUUCAAUAAACACAUUUGCCCCACACAUCUAUAAUUAAUUAAAAGGAUGGAAUCAUUUGAACUUAUUAAAUUUCUCUUAACAUCCAUUUAUUUAAUAUAUCCCCUAUCAAAAUCUUAAAAUUAAAUUUUAACUCUAUAAACCGCUUAAUACCCUACAAAUAACCACUUUAUGGUUGGUGCAAUAAUUUAGAUAAUUAAAUUAUUUAUUGUUUUUGGUAAUUUUUAUUUAAGAUUAUUUUUGUAAUAUAAAAUUUUAUUUAAAAAUAGGUCUAAGGUGCAUUUUUAUGGGGCUCAAAUGACCUUAAAAUUAGAAAAAUUAAAUUUUACCAUAUCAAAGUAAAACCUCUUGUAAUUCCUAAAGUUUCCUUGAUUAGAUUUCUUUUUUUAAUUUUAAUAUUUUCUCUCUCCUAAAGAAGUUGCUGUAUCCUUUCUUGGUAAGAUGCUCUGUUCAGGCUUCAAUGUUGUUGGGUUGAAUUGGCAACUGAACUCGAAUCAAUUCUCAUGCAAGGGUUGGGGAAUUUGCUCAACUUAUAAUUGGUAGGUUUAUGCCUCUGACCAAACUCAUUUCGCCUCUCCAAGAUUCUGCAAAAUUAAUUGGUAUUAUCAUGUCGGCGCUGCUUAUAAUUAGUAGUGCUUGCAUUGCCCUGAAUUCAGGCAUUGCUUGAGUAGAGUUGGGCUUGCUGAUUCAUUUUAGUGACAAAUGAAAACAUUAAAAAAAAAAAAUCAGGACUUGUUCGUCCAAAUUUACAGAUAUUUUGUUCUUUAAUUAAUUUUAUUAUAACAAACAAUAGGAUAGCAGUGUUGUUUAACCAGUUGCUUACACCUUGGCAAUAUAGCUUUGUGUUUUUUUUUCUUUUUUCUUUUUUUUUUUAAUAGUUUGUGAGAUGGCCAGUGAUAUAUAUGUCUUUUUAAAAUUUUCAAUUAUUGGGGCAACGAACAUGUUAAAUAAUUUGAGUUGGAAAAGGUACCAAUAUUGACUCAAUAUGUCGAAUUUCUAGAAAAUUUUAACACCAAAUGCCUUGUUUCCAUUGUUGUAAGUAUAAGUCAAAUUUCUUGCAAAUUUUCUAUGGGUGUGAUGAUUUUUUAUUUUUUUUGAGUGCAAACGGCUCACCCUUCACAUAUUCAUAGAGAUGUCGAAUUCUCUAUCUUCACCAUGAUUCUAGAUUGAGGAUUAUACAUAGAGAUCUCAAAGUAAGUAAUGUGUUACUUGAUAAUGAGAUGAACCCAAAAAUUUUAGAUUUGUGUGAGAUGGCACUGUUCACAUUAUUUUUUUAAUUUCUUUAAUUAAAAUAACAAAACUAAAUAAAAAUGUAUAAUAUUUAAUAAAAUUAAAAAUUCAAGUAUGUUGCUGCUAGUGCUGAUGAACUACUAGCGAAAGUUCGACGGCGGCUAGCCACAGGUGGCUAGUGCGUGACAUCAUGUUUUACCCUAAAAUUUGGUAUCAUUAAAAUUCUCAUUGUCGGGGCUUUACAGUAGUGCCAAAACCUUGACUGUAGAUCGAUGGUGAAUGAAAAUUCCUUUGCCGAUGAUAGCUAACCAUUGCAAAGCCCUAAUAAUAAUGAUUCUAAUGGUAUCAAAAUAUAGUUCAAAUGGUAUUAAAGCAGGAUGGUCAAUGGUGAAAAUUUUUUAUUUUGAUUAUAAAAUUUUAAAUUAUUAAUUGAAUAUAAAUAAUAAUAGAAUAUAAAUGAAACUUUGAUUAUAAUUUAAUAUAAAUAUUAAAAUAGAAAUUAUUAUUUUAAAUAAUACAAUGCAAGCUACAUCAAACACCAUAUUGUAUUACAGUUUAAUACAAUAUAAUAUAAUACAAUACAUUAUGUCAAACGCAUCCAUAAAAAAAAAGACAAAAUCACAAGAUUUAUUUGGUGGGCCUUACCUGCAUUAUCCUCAGUUUACUUUUUUAGUCAAAUAAACAAUAGGCUCCGGAGACUUUUUAGUUCAUCAUGUUAUUGCUUUAGGUGUACAUACAACAACAUUGAUCUUGGUAAAGUGGACAGUUUACUUUUUACGUCAAAUACUAUGUUGGGUUUAAUUUUUUAUAAAAUUAGUCUAUUCCACUGUCUUUAAUGGCAUCCAAACAUACCCCAAUGGUUAACUAUGAGAAAAUUUUAAUAAAGACUAGUAAUUUGUUUACUUGGAAUUGGAAUGGACAAAAAUUGCAAUGAGUUGACAUCAGAACAGGCUGGAAUUGAUCACAUGAGAAAUAAGAAUCAAAGUAAGUUGUAUACUUGAAUCAAAAUCAACAAUAUUCCAAUUGAUGUAUUUACUUAUGUCUUGUAAUCCAAAUAAGUUAUCACAAGUCAUAAAAAUGUCCUUAGUUCCACUCUUGCUAGACGUCAUGAUGAUAUACGUUUCAUCCAUCUGGUAAGCGAAGGAGUUAUUACAAGUUAAAAAAAUGUCCUUAGUUACAAUUAUGUAUUUUUCUAUGUAAAAUAAAUAAGCAAACAUUUUUAAAGAAACCAUUGGCAUAUUUAUUAUAAUAUUGAGUGUAAUACAAUGAGUUUUUGAGUAAACUAGUUGUUGUUGUUGUUAUUUUAUAUCGAUAAUAACUACUAUUAAUAUUAUUAUUGUAGGGAAAUUAAAGCCCUAACUUCCUAUUAAUUUAAUUCCUUCUUAUUACCAUAAGGGGAACCAAAGUUCAAAUACCAAGUUUUUGUUGCUAGCAAGACUCGAACCUACGCCCCUCAACUUUCUAGGUAUAGGUUCUCCCAUUAGAUUACAAAGUAGGCUUGUGUUAUUGUAACUACUAAUACUAUUAUUAUUAUAAUUGUUUAUUUUCUUAUUAGUCUAAUUAAUAUUAUUAAGAUUAUUUAAUUAUGUAAUAGGAAUAAAAUCUAAAUUUUAGAAAUUAAGGGAUAGUAAAAUAAUUAAUUUAGAAAAUGAAAAUCGCAAUCCCACCUUCUCAUAGAAAUGAGAUUCUCAUUCCCACCUUUAAAAUUUGGUGGGCCUCGCAAAUUUCAUUCACAUUCUCAAAUAUCAAAUAAACAAGUAAAUAAUAGAAUAAUUUCCAGUCCUCCAUUCUUGACUCUCAUUCCAAGAAGUUAAUAAUCUUUAAUAGAACGUUCAAAUUAAAAGACUAGCUAGCACUGAGAAUUGACAUCGAUCAAUUAUCUCUUCCGUGUUAGAAAUAUAUAUUUUUUGUUUUGUCUUUUUUUUUUAAUUCAUAUAUUGUUGAAAAGUCAAAAUUGAUAAUUUGUUUAUUCAAAUUGGUUGAAAAAGAAAAGGUGAGCCACAUGCACUUGGGGUAGGAAUCGCAUGCAUGAUUUCUUUCAAAAAUGAAGAAUUUUUGCAACUUUAAGAAGACGUUUUUAUGCAAUUGUCAAGAACGACUUCGAUGGGUCUACCGACAUUAUUAUAAAUGGACCCCGAUUACAUUUAAAGUCUUCGGCUUCUUUCCCAUUUUCUUCUUCUUUUUCAUAAACAUGUUUUCCAACCCUUGUUCGGUUACUUCACGAAUACGACUGUUUGUGAAUUGUGAUAUUCAUUUUUAUGCUUACUUGAGUGCCGCCGACCGCCGUAAGGAUGACAAUGCAAUCACAUGAGAAAUUUUUCCGAACGCAUGAAAAAUCAACACCUGUCAACAAAUCUUUUGUUACAUAAUAUUUGUAUUUAAUAUGCUAUAAAUAAUUUGAACAUCUAAUAGAAAUAAAUUAAGUUAUUAAUUUAUGACCAAAUAAUGAGCAUGGCCUUUUUUGGUAAUUAUAUAAGUACACUGCACUUUUAUGAUUAAUUUACUAAACAAAUAUAAUAAAUUAUUUCAUAAUUGAUUGUCUCACCAUCUAAAUUUUUCAAAAACCUUGGAAAAUUAUUUGCAAAGUUGACUAUUUGAUCAAAAGUUAAAUUUUUUUAACAGAAAUUAAUGUUGGGAUUAUUUGAACUUAUUAAUUUUUUUUAAAAAACAAUCAAGAGAUACAUAUAUUACAAACUAAAUUCUAUUGGUAGUCUAGAUAGUUGUAUUUCUAACACACCCUAAAAAUCGGCCUAUUACUAAUUCCAUAUUGAAGAGAUAUAUACUAUUCAUGUGAGAGGAUUGUAAGGUACAUGCAUGUAACUUAGCAUUAGCCAUAUAUUAUAUAUCCAAUUUUAUUUGUAUAAGGAAAUGAGAUGCGUGAGGUCACCAUUGGGCUAUGUCAACCUUUGCUCCAAACAUUCACAAUUAUAUUUAGUAUUUUCUCGUGCUAGGUGAUCCAAUUACAUUGAAUUAUAUUAAUGUUGUCAUGUGUUUGGUGUAACGCGGGAUUGGUCAAGGUUUUAUAUAAAAUUUUACAUUAUUAAAAUGAAAAAUAAAUAGUUGGAUAUUGGUUUAAAUUUUAUUAUAGAAUUUAUAAAUAUUAUUACCAUGUAUUUUUGUCUGUCUUCUAAUUUAUCCCUUAAUUAAUAACAUAAGAGAUCUGUUAUUGAGAAAUUAUUAAUUAAUAUUAAUUUUCAUUCAAUAUUGCCCCCGUAGAUCGAAACAGCGUCAGUUAAGAGACUCUUUCGUUUAUGUUAGCGAUGAUCGAAGCUUCAUUUGAAAGAGAUGCUUUACGGAUUAUUUAGCUUAUGUCAUUAAUAAAUAUACAUGAUCAUAACUAAUUUCCAGCUUCUGGUGAAGUUAAAAUCGUUAUUUUUCCAUUUUGUGAUUCAAGCAUGUUCUUUUAAAAUUUUAUAAUUAAGUUUAAUAAAUUGAAUGGUAUGUGAGUAUCAUUUCAUUACAUUUACAUCUCUAUCUUUAAUUUUAAGGAAGCUAUAUUAGCUGAUAUUUCUAACAGACAAUCGAAUCUGUUCUAAAUAGAAAAAUAGAAAUCCUUUCAGCCAACAAAAAAAAAAAAAAAAUCCUCCUUUGAAUCUGGCGACAAAGGAUAACUUCUUUUUUUUUGUGAAAAAUUGUUCAAAACAAUAAGAGUAUAUCUUGUUUGUAAAGAGAGCACUCCUUUUUUCUUUUUUGAUAUUUCUAUCUGAUUUAACCAAUGAGUUAGAACGAAUGAACGAAUCAGUCACUACAAGGAUAUUGGUAUUUAGCAAUGAAAAUAUUUCUAUCGUUGUAAGUACUUUUUAGCAACGCAAAAAACUUUUGUCACUAAAUUCAUAAUAGAAAAAAUAAUAUUUAAUUAUCACUUUUAGUGAUGAAAGAUUCGUUGUCAAGGAGGACAUAUUGCGACCAAAAAUUUUGUUCAUUGCCAAAAAAUUAAGCAGUAAAAAAAAUGUUGAUGCCUAAACCUUUAGCGACCAAAAUUUGAUAUAUGACGAUGAAUAAUUUUCAUUGCUAAAUAUAGUUUUAGCGACAAAUAUAUUUCGUCGCUAAAACUCCUUGAUAUGACAAAAAAAGUAUGUUUCAGCAAUGAAACUAAAUUUCGUCGCUAAAAAUAGUUUUAGCGAUGAAAUCUAUUUGUUGCUAAAACUUAUUGAUAUGCAAAAAGAACAUGUUUCAACAACAAAACUAAAUUUCGUAACUAAAACUCUAUGAUAUGCCAAAAGAGCAUGUUUUAGCGACGACACUAAAUUUCGUAACUAAAACUCUAUGAUAUGUCAAAAGAGUAUGUUUUUAGCAAUAAAAAUAAAUUUCAUUGUUAAAAAUAGUUUAUUUCGUCGCUAAAACUCUUUUAUAUGCUAAAAGACCAUAUUUUAGCGAGAAAAAUAAAUUUCAUUGAUAAAAAUAGUUUUGGCGACGAAAUCUAUUUGUCACUAAAACUCUUUGAUAUGCUGAAGAGCAUGUUUUAGGGACAAAAAUUAGAUUUCAAUGACGAAAUUUGUAUUGCGUCGCUAAAAAAAUGUGUAAAUUCAAAAAACAUUUGGCGGAUGACUUUUCACCAAAAUUUAAGACCUUUAGCGACAAAACUAAAUUUCAUGACUGCAUGUGUACUUUUAGAGACGAAAAUUAGGUUUUCUGGCUAAAUGUGCACUUUUAACGAUGAAAUAUUCAUUUCGUCGCUAAAAAUGUCAAAAUUUAAAAAUUUUUAGCGGGCUAUUUUCCGCCAAAGUUAAGUUUUAGCAAUGAAUUUUAAAAUUCGUUGCUAAAAACUCUUGUAGCCUAUUUACAUAUCAUUUACUUCAUUUCUUUCAUUAAUUCUUUCAUUCUCUCAUUCUCUCAUUCCCUUACUUUAAUUCUUUAAUUCUCUCUUCUCUAAAUAUGUAAUUUUCAUUUUCUGAUUUAAUCUCUACUUCUUUUCUCUUUUAUUUUUGAUGUGGUGUGAUUUUUUUUAUUUAUCUUAUUUAUUCCAACUUAUAUUAUUAUUAUAUUUGUGUUUAUUAUGUUAACUAAUUAUUGUGUAUUUAUUUGUAGGGAAUAUUGAAGAUCAAUUACAUCAAGAUGAAGAAAAUUAAGAAAUUUAUAUUCAUUUGUAACAAUUUUCUUUCAAAAAAUAGAUAUUAAAUUUUGUAAUUAUUUUUGUAUUGUUCAUCAAUAAUAAUAAUUGUUUUUAAAAGUAAUUAAUUAUGUUUUUAUCAUAAUGGUUAAUUGUCCUUAUAAUUUAGUAUUAAAAAUAAUAGUAUUUUAAAAAUAGUAAUAAUACGAUGAAAUAGUUUUCGUAAUUAUUAUUAGUCGCUAAAAGUUCUUUUGCUGAUGAAAUUGAAUUUUUCGCUAAAAGAGCUUUUCGCAUCGUUAAAAGAACUUUUUGCAACAAAAUAGAAUUCGUCACUAAAAGAACUUUUGGCGAUGAAAUUUAAAACUUCGACGCCAAAGAACUAACGCGAUCUCCUAUUGCGACGAAAUAGCGAUGAAAUUUUUUUCAUCUCUACAGCCUUUAGCAACGAAAAUUACAUAUUUUUACGAUGAAAUUAUUCGUCGCUAAGACCCUUAUUUAUUGUAGUGAUUUUUUAUCGUCACUAAGACAUGAUUUUUUACAGCGUCUGCUUUUAUGUUAUUUUAUAGGGUUUGAAUAGGAUGACGACAUCUAAAAUACCAGUAUUAAUUUUUUAUUAUUGUUGGAAAAAUAGCAUGUAUAUAUGCUAUUUUGAGGGCACAUUUUGAGUGGGUCCCACUUAACAAAAGUGGAAAAUAUUGUGAGGUUCGGAUUCUACUCCGUUAAUACUUCAAAAGUAUAAUCUUGUUUUCUCAAAAUGGUGCUUGGGUGAAUGAGAAAUUGUCUCUCAAAGUUCACCCUUGAAGUUGGAAAUUUGAAAGGAAAUGAGGCUUAUCCCACAUGGGAAAAAUAAGCCUAGGGAUUAGUGUUUAUAUAUAAACACUUAAUCAUGCAUGAGUAAGAAUUAUAAGGAUAAAGGCUAUCUCCACACGCGAGUGCGCAGGGAGGGUGCAAAUCCAAGACCGAUUUGGUUGAACUCGUGUGCGCCCGCAUGUCCUGCGUACGCGAAUGUCAGCCCAAAAUCAUCCAUGCAAGCUUGGCACCUUUUUUAUUUCCUUUUGAAUUUUUUGUGUAACAGUUUCACACAUUUUUGAAUUCAAACAAGUUGUAACAGCUUUACAAUUAUUUCUUGCUGUUAUGUAAUUCAAUUUUUGAAUUGAAUUGUUUAAAUUCAAUGGCUAUUAUAGCAAUUUAAUAACAUAAAUUGAAUUCGGAAAUUCAAUACAGGACUGCUAUUACAUCCUCACAUGGCUAUAAAAAGGCACCUCCUCUUUUGUUUUUGCACACUCUGAAAUCAACACUAAGAGCGCUUGUUAUUUUUCUUUCUCCUUCUUCGUUUAUUUUUUCUGAUCGAGUUCGUUGUUGUGGUUCGCUGGAAUUUCCAUCAUGUGCUUGAUCGGAAAUUCGUGCCUGUUGUAUCCUGGGAAACAGAUACCAGCAGACCUUAAGCAUUACAAGAGGCGGUAAAUAUGUUUUAAGAAAACUGUCUUGUGCAGGCCUCGGGCUCCAUUUUAUUUUACUGUUUCUGUUUCCUCUCUCUUCUGUUUAGCUUACUGUUUCUCAUUUGAUUUUUUCAGUAGCUGCUUUUCAUUGUUUAGCUACUGAGUAAUUUGUUAUCUCACUGUUUUGUUUUUUUUCUUACAAUUAGUUAGGUGAGAAAUAAGAUAUUUAAUUCUAUAAACUAUUGUACAACAAAUGAUUACAAGUAACGAUCAGUCAAGUCAAUGUGUGUGUGUGUAUACAUACAUACCUACAUACAUACAUAUACAUACACAUACAUACAUACAUACAUAGAUACAUACAGCUAGAAAAAUGUCUUAUUUGUUUUGUCAUUUUUAACUUUCCGGUCAAAUACGAUUGCACUUGGAAUCUCGGACCCACCAAAAAGUUUUCCAUUGAUAAAGACACCGAUUGCAACUUACAGACAGAUACAAAAAAAUGUAAAUACUAUUCCAAGUCCUUUCUGAAGUUCUCGCCCUGUUCUAUACGUAAUUUAUGAAAUAUUCGGCGAUUCUACAUAACAAGUGGGCCUUAUCUGCUCGACUAAUUGCUCGUAUUUUUUGUUUUUACUGUUGUUCAUAUCUGCUAGUGGGGUUUUUCGAAAUUAUUGAUUUUUUUUCAUUUGAAAUUAAUAUCAAAACACAGCACCAUACUUUUUUCUGAGUAAUUUAGAACUAUCGCAUAACGUUUUCUAUUCGGCCAUCGAUUAUUUAAUUGAUAACGGCCCAGCGGUCACGUGGCUAGAAAUUCUCUUCUUCUAUUUUAAUUAAAUUUUGUAUAUACUUCUCAUUUUUUACGAGAAUAUUGAAGACCAAAAUAAUAAUAAUUAUUAUAAUAAUACUGUUAGAGAUCCCAAUAUUUGAGUCCCAAUUUGAUCCCUAAUGCUAUGUGUCUCUCAUCUAUUAAAAGAUAGAUUUCAUAAUUAGUAAAAUUACUUAACUACCAUUCAAUAGAUGAAUGCCACAUCAGUUGAAACUUAAAUAAUGAGAUAUCUAUCAUUACUCAAAUAAUAAUAAUAAUAAUAAUAAUGUAUUACUUCUCAAAUUGCCUUCAUUAUAAUAUUUGGCCGUAAAACUAAUAAAACUGACAAAAAUUGCAAAGAAUAAAUAAUAAUUUAAAUUAAUUGAUAAUGGGAGAAUUACCAUUAAAAAAAAUAUUGAACUAUUUUUUAGGGCUUCUAACCCUUUUAUCUAAUACCGUUAAUAGAGGAUAAAGUUUUAGAUUUAGGGAUUCCCUUAAGGUGUGUUUGGCAUACCUCAAUACAUGGGAUUGCAUUAGUUAAUGCAAUGCAAUCCCAUUAAAUCUUCCUAUUCACAUUAUGGUGUAUUACACAAUACACCAUGAUAUGAGGAGUGCCACAUUAAAAUAACUUGAGGGGGGUUGGAUUUGUGUAAUACGACACUGUUCACAUUUGUUUUUUUAAUUUCUUUAAUUAAAAUAAUAAAAACUAAAUAAAAAUGUAUAAUUUUUAAUUAAAUUAAAAACUCAAGUAUGCAGUCUGCUCGUGUGCAUAUUGCAUAACUUCAUGUUUUGCACAAAAAAUUAGUACUAUUAACAUCCUUAUUGUCGAGGUUAAAAAAUAAUGCAAUUAUUACCAGUACAGUAAUAAAAUUUGAAGACCAAAACUUUGAUCGUACAUAUAUGACGAAUGCAAAUUUCUUUGUUGUAAUAUUUGUACCAUUGCAUAGCCCUGACAAUAAUGAUUCUAAUGAUAUCAAAAUAUAGUUCAAAUGACAGUAAAGUACGAUUGUCAACAGUGACAAGCUUUUAUUUGAAUUAAAAAAGUUUAAAUUAUCAAUUAAAUAUAAGUAAUAAUAAAAUAUAAAUGAAUCUUAGAUUAGUAAUUUAAUAUAAAUAUGAAAAUAAAAAAUAUUAUUUUAUAUAACAUAGUGCAUAUUAUAUCAAACAUAGUAUUAUAUUACAAUUUAAUACAAUAUAAUGCAAUACAAUACAAUGUGUCAAAAACACGUUUAAAACAAAAUGCCACAACCACAAGAUUAUUUGGUGGGCCUACUUGUGUCAUCCUUAGUUUUUUUUUUUGUGCCAAAUAGUAUAUUGGGAUUAAAUUUUAAUAAAAUUAGUCUAUUCCACCAUCCUUAACUGCACCCAAACAUACCCCAAGGAUUAACUAUGAGAAAACUUUAAUAAAGACUUAUGGUACGUUUACUUGGAAUUGAAAUGGGCAGAAGUUGGAACGAGCUGUAAUCAGAACAGACUGAAAUUGAUCACAGGAGGAAUGAGAAUUAGAAUAAAUUGUUUAUAUAAGCCAUAAGAAUCAAAACCAACAAUAUUAUAACCGAUGUAUUUAAUUCUAUCUUGAAAUUCAAAUAAAUCAUUGCAAGUUAUAAAAAUACACUUAGUCAUGAUUAUGUAUUUUUCUAUUACAAAAUAAAUAAACAAAUAUUUUUAAAGAAAACAUAAGCAUAUUUAUUAUAAUAUUGAGCGUAAUACAAUGAUUUUUUUAGUAAACAAGUUAUUAUUAUUACUACUACUACUACUAUUUAUGUUGCUAUUAUUAGUAUUAUCAUUGUUAUUAUUAUUUUUCUUUUAAUAAUCAUAUAUAUAUCCCUACCUAUUAAUAGGAGAAAAAUUAAAGCCCUAAUUUUCUAUUAAUUUAAUUCCUCUUAUUACUAGAACAGGAACCAAAGUUCUAACAAUAACUUUUUGUUGUUGGUAGGACUGAAACCUACGCCCCUCAACUUUCAAGGCGUAAGUUCUCCCAUUAGAUUACAAAGCUGGCCUGCCUAUGUUAUUGUUAUUGUUACUAUUAAUACUAUUAUUAUUAUAAUUGAUUGUUGUUGUUAAUAAAUUAAUAUUAUUAAGAUUAUUUAAAUAUAUUAAAGGGAUAAGAUCGGAAUUUUAGAAAUUAAAUGAGGGUAAAAUGAUUAAUUAAAAGAACAAAUAUCUUAUUCCCAUCUCCGAGAAUGGAAUUCCCAUUCCCAUCUCUAAAUUGUGGUGAGCCUCACAGAUUUUGUUCACAUUGUCAAAUACCAAAUAAGCAAAAAAACAAUGGAAUCAUUCCCGUUAGUUUAUUCCCAUUCGUCCACUCUUAUUUCCCAUUCCAAUUCCAAGAAAUAAACAUCCCUUUAAUAGAAUAUUCAAAUAAAAAGAGAAGCCGGGCCCCCAGAACUGACGUCGAUCAAUUAUCUCUUCAGAGUUAGAAAUAUAUGUUCUAUAAAAUAUAUAUAUAUAUAUAUGUUAUUUGUUUUGUCAAUUUUUUUUUUCCUUCCUAUAUGAUUACACUUGAAUCUUGGACCAGCAAAAAGUUUCCGUGGACAAGGACCCAUUGCAACUUAUAAUAGACAAAUACAAAACAAAAAAGUUAAUAUUUCCAGUCCUUUCCCUCGUUAUAGACAGCUGGCAAUGAUGAUGGUACCCCGGAUUUUUCUGAGAUUCUCACCCUGUUCUACACGUUCAUAAGUUUAUCAAUAAAGACUUAAGUAUAAUCUUGUUGCACAGUAUGACUAAUUUUCAAAUUUUAAUCUGAGAAACUGAAAUGAAUUGCCUUCCAGUCUUCAAUUUCUUUUACCUAUUGUCCUUCAUAUCAGUCAUUGAGUUUUCAUUUGGAGGUGAUACCAUUACCAUAGGACAAUCCAUCUCUGAUGGUGAGACAUUAGUCUCCUCUUCCCUAAGAUUUGAGCUAGGCUUCUUCUCUCCAGGCAAUUCGAACAAUAGGUAUCUUGGAAUAUGGUACAAGAGUAGUCCGAGGACUGUUGUAUGGGUCGCAAACCGAUAUAAGCCCAUUACCGACAAGAACGGAGUUUUAACUCUGAGCAACAACGGAAGCAUUUUACUUCUCAACCAAGAAAGGAGCACUAUCUGGUCUUCAAAUUCGUCAAGAGUGCUAGAAACUGCAGUGGUGCGGCUCUUAGAUUCUGGAAAUCUUGUUCUCAGAGAGAAUGUCAGCAGAAGUUCUGAUGAGUACAUGUGGCAGAGCUUUGAUUAUCCAUCAGACACGUUGUUGCCAGGUAUGAAGCUGGGAUGGAACUUAAGAACUCGUUUUGAGAGAUAUCUAACAGCAUGGAGAAGUGCUGACGAUCCAACCCCUGGAGAAUUCAGUUUCCGGUUCGACAUUAGUACAAUGGCUGAAUUGGUGACUGUCACGGGAUCAAAAAUAGAGGUGCGAAGCGGACCAUGGAAUGGUCAACAGUUUGUUGGCAUUCCAAUGUUUUUUCCCAGGUUAAAAAACAAGGUUUACAUACCAAUGUUGGUGCGUACAGAAGAUGAGGCAUAUUACACAUAUAAGCCUAUCAAUGACAAAGUAAUUCCAAGAUUAUACUUGGACCAAUCAGGAAAAUUGCAGCGCUUUGUAUGGAAUCAGACGAGCUCUGAAUGGCGUAUGUCGUACUCGUGGCCAUUUGAUGCAUGUGACAAUUAUGCACAGUGCGGUGCUAAUAGUAACUGCAGAAUUAGCAAAACACCUAUUUGUGAGUGUUUGGCGGGGUUUAUAUCCAAACCACAAGAUGACUGGGAUUCACCUUACUCUAGGAGAUGUGACAGGAAACCAUCAGACUGCCCGAGUGGAGAAGGGUUUCUAAAGCUUCAAAGAAUGAAACUACCUGAAAAUUAUUGGUCAAACAAAAGUAUGAAUCUCAAGGAAUGUGAGGCAGAGUGCAUUAAGAACUGUUCAUGCCGAGCUUAUGCAAAUUCAGAUAUUACCGGAGGAGGUAGUGGUUGUUUGAUGUGGUUUGGGGACCUGAUUGAUAUCAGAGAGUGUACGGAAGAAUUCAGCUGGGGACAGGAUAUUUUUAUUAGAGUACCAGCUGCAGAUUUAGGUAAGUGUUUUAAUUGAUAUACAGCAGCUUAUUUCAUUUUUAUUACUGUUUUAGAGUUCGCCCACAAGUCCCCUAGCCAGAAUGUGAAUUAAAAUUAGUAUUAGCUGAUUCCUAUACUCAAUAGUUUGUUUUUAGAAGGACCUCAGACUAAGAUUGACCUUGUAUGGCAAAACCAAAAUAGAAAAUGAAUAGAUCAACAACAAACUGAUCUCUUUUCUUGACGUUUUAUGUUCUAGAAUCAACUCAAUAUUCAAGUAAGCACUCGAAUAAAAAGAAAAGAUUAAAGAUCAUAGUGGCAAUGUCAAUCAUCUCCGGUAUGUUGAUCUUGGGCCUUCUACUCGGCAUGGCAUGGAAGAAAGCAAAGAACAAAGGUAACAUAUUCCUCUGACCUUAUUAAUUUUUAUGAAAAAUUUGAUGGUCAUUCAGACUGCUGCUCUUUUAGCAGUGGUGCUUAUAGGGGGCUAUUGAAUUCAUAAAAGCAGGAGACAUGGGUAAAAUUUGCUCUAUUUGCAUUCAAAAAUUUAUAUUUGUUGAUACCAAAAUUUGGUUCGAUAAUAAGAGUUGAGAAAGAGUUGUUUUACUUGGUGAAUAAGCUGUGAGAAAGCUUGAUGUCCUAGAGAUUGUCAUUAUUGAGAGUGAAGAGCCCAGUGCUCGUAAUCCUAUAAAACAAUAACCCAUUAGGGAUUGUUGGGGUACUAUCAACGUACACCCUUCAAUGUUUAAGUCAGAGAUCGAAAAUAGAAAGAUAACAAAUAAAUAAUAUAAGAGAGAAAAGAAAUUAAGAGAAUGGCCUGGAGAAUAUUGUACCCCCUCCUUCAAUAUACCUAUUUCUCUAUAUCCCACCUUUGAGUGAUGCCCUCUUUAUAUAAGAGAGAUAAUUAGAAGUAUAAUUAAAUUAGAAAAACUUUUCUUUUAUCUUGUAGGAUUGGAGUUUAGCAAGAAUUAGGACCUAUAUUUUUUAAUGCUGUUUAGAUUAGGAUAUGUUAUUAGAUGUGAGUCCUUGAGUUCGAGGCCCUUUCGUUAUGUCAUUAGGUAGAAUUUGGUAAAAAUAUAGGUAUAACAGGAGCCCCCAAAUUAUAGUAUUCACGAAUUUACAAGUGAAUGCUGUAAACUGAUAUAUUUUAUAAUAUGUUAGAUUUUCUUAUUGUCCCUUGUAUGAUAUAAAGACAUCUCAAGUGUUGUGAGGAAAUCUUGAACGACAUGAGUGAAUCUUAAAUAUGAUGAGGAAAAUCUCGAAUGACAUGAGAGAAAUGCGAAUGACACGAGGAAAUCACAAGUGUCAUGAUGACAUCUUGAAUGGCAUGAGGACAAUAUGAAUGACUAGAGGAGACUCGAAUGUCAUAAGGAUAGCUUGAAUAACUUGAGGAGUUCUCACAAUAUGGGUCAUAAAACAAUUUGAAUGGCAUGAGGAUAAUAUGAAUGACAUGAACAAAUCUCAAAUGUUAUUAGGAUAACUUGAAUGACAUGAGGAGAUUUUGAAUGUUAUGAUAUGGGUCAUAAAAUUAAAAUAAUACUGCAAUAUGGAGGUAUAAAUUAAAAUAAUAUUGCCAUAAGCACCAUUAGAUUAAGAUAAUGCCACGAUAAAGGGCCAUAAUUAAGAUAAAAAUAAUGCCGCAGUAAGGGCUUGCAAAUUAUGCUAGGACACAGGCCAUAAUUAAGAUAAAAAUGAUGUUGUGAUAAGGGUCAUAACUAAGAUAAAAAUGAUGCCGCGGUAAGGGCUUGCAAAAUGCGCUGCGAUGAGGGCCAUAAUUAAAAUAAAAAUGAUGCCGUAGUAAGUGCUUGCAAAUUAUGCUGCGAUAAAGGGCCAUAAUUAAAAUAAAAUGAUGCCGCGGCAAGGGCUUGUAAAUAAGGGUCAUAAUUAAGAUAAAAUGAUGCCGCGAUAAGGGCUUACAAAAUAUGUCCAGACAAGGGUAAAGACAAAAAUGAUGUCGCAGUAAAAGGCUAUUUAACAUCUCUGUGUUCCAAAUUUUCCUGACCUCAGGUCAAUUAGCACUCUGCAAUGUCAUGAGAUCGAGACUUAAGAGCAUGGGUUAGGGUACAUGUUAUAAGAUUGAGGCUUAUGAGCAUAAGGCCGAGUUAUGUGCGAUGAGAUUGAGACCCAGAGUAUGAGAUCAAGAUACAUACCAUAAAAUCGAGAUAAAAAAAAGUAUGAGAUAGAGAUACGUAUUACGAGAUCGAGGCACAAGAGUAUGAGGCCAAAAUUUGUAGAAUAAGAUCGAGGCCUCUAGCACACUUAACAGAGAUUCCAAGCAUUUAAUCUUUGUAGCCAUGUGUAUGGUUUUAAUCCAAUCUAGAUUAUUGCGUAUAAUCAAUAACAGAAUAAAUAUUAAAGUGAAAGAAAAUGGGCAAAAUAGUAAAUUUCACAUAGUGAGGGUUUACCUUCCUGGCCACCAGUGGCCGGAGAAUCAAGUGAAAGUGGUCGUGAUAUAGGCUUCAGCCUGCGAAGAGUCCAACGGUGGUGGUGGUGAGUCGUAUCGCGCUGUGGCGGCGGCAGAUCGAGAUCCUUAGCCGCGUGUGCUUCAGCGGCUGUCAGCGACCAAUUCGGUGACUUCUGGUUAGUGUUAAUGGCUGGAGUUUGAAAGGAGCAAAACCCAGGUGACGAUGAGUCGUAAUUCCGGCAGAUAUGCACUGGGUCUUGGCGGCGGUUUCGCGAAGAUUGUGGUUUCGUGCGGCGGUUUUCUGGACAUUUUCCGGCGGCGUCGAAGAAGGUAUUUUGUUAGCCGGAAUUGGGGGCUUCGAUAGUGGCCAAUCGGAAAUUGAAUCGGGGGGGUAGUGAUUGCCGCGAGUGGUGGCUUGCUUUGCGCUCGAGUUUGGGAAUUUGUACCCGACCCGUUUCCUCUGGUCCAUUGAUAUUAUUUAUUUAUUUUGUUUUGUUGCUUUUCCGACCAUAAUUGUUGAGAUAUCUAGGCUUUUUGUCUGAUCCCCAAAAAUGGCGCGAAUUGUUGGUACUUAAAUUUGAAUCAACAAUAAGAAUCAGGAAAUAAUUAUUUUGGGAAAUAGGUUGUGAGAGAACUUGAUAUCCUAAGAAUUGUUUUUGUUAAUUUAUUUAUUUUUAUUACUUUUCUACCAUUAUUGUUGGGUUCUUUAGGUUUUUUGUUUCAUCUCCAUAGACAAAGUCAAACUGUUGAUUUCUAAAAUUUGGACCGACAAUAAGAGUUUAGAAAGAGUUGUUUUAACCGGGGAAGAAGUUGUAAGAUAAAUUGAUGUCUUAGGAAUUGCUAUAAUUGAGAGUGAAGAGCUAAGUGAUCAUAAUCCUACAAAACAAUAAUCUAUAAGGAAUCGCCAAAGAUGUUAUUGGCGCAGAUCCUUCGAUACUUAAGUUAGAUAUUGAGGGUGUUAUCGGUAUAAACCAUUCGAUACUUAAGUUAGUGAUCUAAAGUAGCACAAUAACAAAUAAAUAAUUAGAGAGAGAAAAGAGAGCAUGAAAAAGGCUUGGCUCCUCCAAUAUACCUAUUUCUCUAGAUACUACUUUUGGGUAGUGACCUCUUUAUAUAAGAGAGAUAAUUGAAAAUGUAGUUAAGAUAGGAAAAUUUAUCUUUUAUCUUGUAGGAUUUGAGUAUGGAGAGAAUUACGACUUGUAUUGUUUAAUCUAUUAAGAUUAGAACAUGUUAUUAGAUGUGGGUCCUUGGGCUUGAGCUCCUUUAUGUCAUCAGGUCAAGUUUGGUAAAAAAAUGGGUAUAACAAUAUUCAUUUGUUUCCUUUCAAUUAAUUUUUGCAAAGGUUUUCCACUAAUGGUCUUUAAACAAAUUCUUUACCAAAUAGAUAAUUCUCUGUAUACAUCGAUACCUAUAUAUCUAUCCCAUGAAAUAGAAUUAAGACAACAUGUCACCUAGACCUGGGCCAAGGUAUUUGAACUUGUAAAUUUUUUGUAGGAAGAAGACUUAUAUGUAUUUAGUAUUUUUUUUCAAACCAUACUUCUUUCUCACCUAUGAUUCUGCUUGUACUUGCAAUUUCAUAUUGGUUGGAAAAUACAUAUUUGAUGAAUUAAAUAGUUUCAAUGCUAUUUUCCUGAGAAAACAGGAUACAACAAGAGAACUGGUCAAGAAAAUGAAGAUCAAAAUGAAGACCUAGAGCUACCACUGUUUAAGUUAGCUACAAUUGCUAAUGCCACCGGUAACUUUUCAAUCAACAACAAGCUUGGAGAAGGUGGCUUUGGACUUGUAUACAAGGUAAAAUUGCAACAUGCUAGUGAAAUGAUCCCAAGAAUAAAGUACUUAUUUUACUCGGGAUGGCAUAACUAAUUUCUACAUAUAUUUUUUUAGGGUACACUAGCGGAUGGACAGGAAAUUGCUGUGAAAAGGCUUUCAAAGAUUUCAGAGCAAGGAUUGAAGGAGUUGAAAAAUGAAGUUAUACUGUUUUCCAAAUUACAACACCGAAAUCUUGUAAAGCUUCUAGGCUGCUGCAUUCAGGGAGAGGAGAAACUGUUGAUUUAUGAAUUCAUGCCCAACAAAAGCCUCGACUCUUUCAUUUUUGGUUCAGAUCCUUCUAAACCUUACAAUUUCAGCUAGCUUUUGCCUUAAUUAUGGGUGUUUAUUAUAAUCUAGUGCAAUGUUUUUCUAAUUUUUUCUUCUUUUAAGGAAAGUUCAAGCUGGGAAUUAUACUAACCUCAACAUCAUAUUUUCUAGAUCAAACAAGACGUACACUAUUAGAUUGGUCCAAGCGUUUCAAUAUUAUUUGUGGGACUACUAGGGGCCUUCUCUACCUUCAUCAAGAUUCUAGGUUGAGAAUUAUACAUCGAGAUCUCAAAGCAAGCAAUGUGUUACUUGAUCAGGAUAUGAAUCCAAAAAUUUCUGAUUUUGGCUUGGCUAGAACUUUUGCUAGAGACGAGACAGAAGGAAACACAAACAGGGUGGUUGGAACGUAGUAAGUAUUUCUUUUCAUGUGAUCUUUACAAUUCACUUGCACUGAUUAAUGAAAAUUAAUUUAUAUAUUUUAAUCCUCUGAAGUGGUUAUAUGGCACCAGAAUACGCUAGUGAUGGGCAAUUCUCAGUAAAAUCUGAUGUCUUCAGCUUUGGAGUUUUAUUGCUAGAGAUAGUAAGUGGAAAGAGAAAUAGAGGAUUUUACCAUUCAGACAACAAGCUUAACCUUAUAGGACAUGUGAGUAAAAUACACACGAAAUUUUCUGACAUAGUUUAAACUAGUAAAUUAUAGAUGACAAAAGAGUUUUGAUAUGUUGUAGGCAUGGAAGUUGUGGAACAAAGGCAUGCCUUCACAAUUGAUCGAUGCGUGUAUUCAAGACUCAUGCAAUUUUUCCGAAGUGAUACGAUGCAUUCACAUCGGUUUGUUAUGUGUGCAACAACAUCCAGAGGAUAGGCCAUGCAUGCCCUCAGUGAUUUUGAUGUUGGGCAGUGAGAUUGUGUUAUCUCAGCCAAAGCAACCUGGUUACUUAGCGCACAGGAAAUCUACCAGACCAGAUUCUUCAUCAAGCAUGCCUGAAUCAUCUUCCACUAAUACAAUUACGAUAUCCGAAUUGGAGGGUAGGUAGAGAAUCAAUUAGCAGUAAAAUGCCUUAUUCUACAUUUUUAAGAACAAAAUCAGAAAUGUUUCAACCAAAUGGAAAGUUAAGAUAAAUGAUUGAAUAAAAAAUGAUGAGAAUCAUCCAACCAUGUAGUAUAUGCAUGUUGUGGAUCUAAAUACAACGUAUCCUAUUAUUUAUAUAGAAACUAUUAACUAGAGGAACAGUAAAUGGUGUUGGAUUGAAAAAAAUGAUUUGCAGGAGAUUGAAUUAGAUAACAACAAGAUCUAAAUAUUGAAACUUUGAUUAUAUAAAAUAUAUGCUAAUACAUUUAUGAGAAUGUCUUUGGUGCUUUUGGAGCAUUACUCUUUAUCCAUUUAUUAUUUACCAUGUGUAUAUACAUAUCAUCGUGGUUGGUUAAAACACAAACAUGAUAGGGAGUAAACAAAAAAGGAGAAGUGCUCUUGUAAUACCCAAGAAUUUUCUACAUUUUUAAUUGUUCUCAACUUGCUUUCAUAAAUAAAAAACCUUGUGCAAUAGACUUAUUGUCAAUACUAUUUAAUAUAUCAUUAUUCUAUAUAAACAUAAAAACUAAGGGUCAUCCAUUCAUCUUCAUCCGAUUUUAAAAUUGAUUCUUCACAAACUUAAUUGCGGAAAAUGUACUAAUGUGGUUGUGAAAACUAGAAGAAUUAAAGCUAAUGUCACCAACAAGCUAAUGUAACGGAUAUACUAUGUCUUUUUUAGUCUCAAUUAUUCUUUCAGCAAGUCAUUGAUUUCCUUCAAUCCUACAAACCCGCCUGCUUGCUCUUUUCCUAAUAUAAUCCAGUCUCUAAUUUUCUUUUAAGAACAUGUAAGAUAAAAUUUGUGAUUGAAUAGCGGGUAAUUAUUGUUUUUAAUAAAUUUGAAUCUAUUUUUAUGAAUAGAAAAAUGUUUUGGGCUAUGGCUUAUGGGUUAUUAUUAUUUUUAAUUAAGAGGGGAGGUGGCACUCUGCUACAUCCUAUUAAAAUCCCUUUAUUCAGUGUAACCCAUUAAAUAAUAUUAGAAAAUUCAUCAUAACUAUUAACACCCUUUUUAAUUCUAAAAAUAGCCUUAUUUCAAUUGUUAUAAACAACAUUCUCUCUCUGAAAACCGUAAAUACAUGUAUCUUCUUUCUCAUAAUCUUCCCAUCAGUCUUCCCAUUUUUAAUUUGAAUCAAAUGUACAUUCUAAUUUAUAGUUUAAACUAAUCCUCAAGGAAAUAAUUAACUUAUAAGAAAACUAUUAAAAAAGAGAGAAAAAGAGAUUGAUCUUGAAGUUUAUAUGAUAACAAUAGGGUAAUCAUGAUUUAAGAGGUGUUGAAAAUAGAAGAUUGUUACUUAUAUGGCAGUUAUUGUUGUGUAGACUAGGGUAACCUACAAGUUUAUAAUUUUCAACUUCAAUUGAUGUGUUUCUUCUUUCUUUAAAAAUAAAAAAUAAAUAUAAUUCAUUAAAACUAAAAAAGCCGAUUAAGACAAUACAAAAAAUUCAUCUCACACUCCUAUUUUUGGAUGUCUCUUAGCCAAUUUCGUGAGAGCGAAUCGUAUAUAACCUUACAAAAUUUUGUGUGCAUUUAACUUCAAAAAUAUUUUUGUUGGUUGCUAAUUCUGAAGCGAUUCGUAUUCAUCCAAUCUUGGAUUAGCGAAAAAUUAUAUUCAUAUAGUAGCGAAACAGGAUGGAUAAUGAAUGCAAAGUGUUGGCCAAAAAAACAAAAGAUAAAAUUUGCGGGAAUGGGUAUGAAGAAUUGAUGGAAAGAGAAAUAAUGAUAGGUUUAAAUGAAUUUAUAAAUAUCCUUUAAUGUAAUUUUAACAUAAAGGUGCUUUAUAAGAAUAAUAAAGGAGUGCUAAUUAUAGCUCAACUCUUUAAUCAAAGUGUGAGUUUUACAAUUCAAGUUAAAAUUUAAAGUUUAUGAGUUUAUGAAUGUAUAAAGGGUAUUUUAACAUAUCAAUAGGGUUAAUUAAAAGCCUUCAUAAUUUUCUCUUUUAUUUUUAUUUUUUUUCCUUUUAGGUAGCUUGAGCCCCUGCUUGUCAUAUGUUAGAUGUGCUGCCCCAGAUUAUGAGAAUUGAGAUGAUUUAAUUUUACCAUAAUGUUCAUAACAAAAGAUGUUUUAAUAUCUUCGCAGUUUUGUCAAAUUACUUAUCAUUCAAUAAUCAUAUUUACCUCAACUUUCUUCAUAACUACAAUAUUUUUUUCCACAAUAACUAAUAUAUAUAUAUAUGCUGUAACCAAUAAGGACCCGGUCCUUAUUGGUAUCAGAGCCAAGGGAAAGUAGGUGUAAUAUUUGGUAAAACAUCUGUGUUGUUUAUUUCUUUUAUUAAAAAUCAGUGUGUUUGCUGAAUUUUUUACUGGUAGUAAGUCCCGUCUUAGGAUAAGGAUUUCCGCAUAGGGCAGUAAAACCAUACCUGUAGGCAUUCAUAUAGGUUUUUAUUUAAGUUUUAAAUUGCAUGGAUUCUCUACUGCAUAGAACAUCAUCUUUCUCUAGCUCUUCUUCCGAGAACACUAGUGUUUCAAAGAACGUGGUGAAUUCAGAAGAAUUCAUUAUUGAAGAUUUUAAUAAAGCAAUUGACAAUUGGGAUUUACCAAAUGUUUCUAAAGAUAAGAUUUAUAAAAUGAAAAAACUUGAUUUUUUAAAGACAGAUUGUGUUAUAAAGACAGAAGAAAGAGAUGUCACACUUUCAAAACCUUUUGAAACAAUUCACUUGUUUUCUGAACAUUCUUUAAAGAAAUUAAAAGAAAAAAAUUUCAAUUAUAUUCAUAUCGGUUUAAUCCAAGUAGGCAUAAAACCCUUAGCUAAAGAAGGAUUAAAUACUUCCAUUCUUGCUGUCCUCAGAGAUGGGAGGUUCAUCUCCUUUGAUGAUUCCUUACUCAAUAGUAUUGAAUCUAGUCUCUGUAAAGGACCCAUUUCUUUUGAUUGUUAUCCUAACAUAAUGGUUUCUUUAAAAGACAAGAAUAUUUUGAAAAGCAUGAUUUUACAGAUCAAAACGCAUAAUUAUCACAUGUUAGAAGGAUUUGUUCCAGUUGCAUUAAUUUUCAAAAUAUCGUAUAAAGCCAUGAUUUCAGCGUUCAAUACGCAGCAUAAAUUCCAGUCAAAAAGAGAUGAAACUCUUCUCUUGCAGACUGACAUGUCUAAAGCCAACACCGUUAUUCCUAAACCAAUCCAAUAGAAAGAUAUCACUCUUCCAGACGAAUAGAUUCUUGAAGGAGCCACUCCACCAGUGAUUCCGAAACAACUUGAGCCAAAUACAGAGUUACAAAAUGUGACUCAGUAUUCAGAUGGUAAAGUCAAACUAUCUUUUAGGAGAUCUACAUCCUCUAGAUUCUCCGAUAAAGAUUCAAGUUCCAGUAUUCCUCAUUUACAAAAGAAAUUUUCAAAAAUUCCCUCUGUCAUAAAUCUCCCUUUUCAAUCUAUAAAUAGUCAACCUAGGUUUUCCACCUCGGACAUACCUAGCUUCUCCAUACAUUAUGUUGACUAUGCAACUAGUGUUCCCCAUCCUAUCUACACUAGUCGCCAAAGCCAGGAAGAGAAUGAACCUUCUCCUCCAACUUAUCCUACAUUUUCUGCUGUUAUUGAAAAUGUAAUAAAUGUUCUUGAAAAAGAUUUUGAAUUGGAUAAAACUCUUUUACACAAUGAUUUUUAUUCCGAAGUUAAUAAAGAAAAAAGACUUUGGUUUUUUAAACAUUUCUUAAAUCAGAGAAAAGAAAUUCAAAAAGUUUAUUAUGAAUUUGUGAACCUGCAUAAAAUUCAUAUCUUAUUUUUUGAAUGGUUUGAUAUUUAUGUCUCGGAAAAUAACAUUUCCUAUCCUUUUAAAGAAUCAAAUCCCAUUACUGUCAAAAAGAAAACUGCUGAAUGGAACCUUACUGGUAGUGGAAGAAUCAUAGAGUCUGAACAUCUACCUCUUAGGAGCCUGACCAUUAAGCAUGGUGAACCUCCUAUUGAGAUAAAAGCCUCACCUUAUAAAAUCCAUAAAGACCUAGAUACGGAUUUAGAUAGCAUCAUUCAACAGAAUAAUUUCUGUAAUGCUAAUCUAAAUACGAUAGGAAAACAGUUGACCCGAAUAGAAAGUCAAUUCCAGAAGUCAACCGUUAUUGUCCCUACUUCUCCUCAAUCGAAGUCUGAUUCCUUGAAAAAGCUUAAAGAACCUAUUUUCAAACCUUUUCAGGUUUCGAAACAUAGUCAAAAGCUUGUUCAAGAAUCUAAAUCAGAUUUCGCUAAAGCCAUUAAAGAACAACUUGAUAUAAUAGAAGCAUAUUCUUCUUUCGCUUCUACUUCUAAAGUCCAAAUUGCUCCUGAUAGUGCUCAAUCUAGCAAGAUUGGCGUACUAGAACAGGAUCAAUCUUCUAUAGCCUCUUCUGACAUAGAAGCUUUCAAAGAAGAGUCUAUCCCUAAAGCCAAUAAAAUCCAUUGGGAACUUGCUCUCCCAACUGUAAGAACUCCUUCAGACCUUGCCAUCGAUAAUAGACCAAGUGCAUUAAACCAAUCUCGUUUUAAUGCAUCCUCUGUCUUUGAGUGGAAUAUUGAUGGUAUGUCUGAAUACAAUAUUUUAGGAUUGUUGCAGCAAAUGACCAUGGCAGCCAAUGCCUAUAAAACUCAAUAAGGGACUUCUGACAAAGCCAUUGCAGAAAUUCUCAAUUCUGGUUUUACCGGUCAACGAAAAGGUUGGUGGGACCAUCUUCUCACUAAUCAGCAACAACUAGACAUCCUAAAUUCUAUUCAAGUAGACGAAAAUGGAGCCCCCAUUCUCGAUGAAUUCAAUAGUCCUAUUCAGGAUGCUGUUGCUGCCCUGAUUCUGACUAUUUCUCUUCAUUUCAUAGGUGACCCUUCUCACCUAAGAGAUAAAAAUGCUGAGUUACUACAUAACUUGAGAUGUAGGAAAUUUAGAUUAGCAUUACAGAAAUUAUUCUGUUGAAUGAUGCUAUCUAAAUCUGUAUCUGGGUCUUUAUGGAUUUUAUAAGGUGAGGCUUUUAUCUUAAUAGGAGGUUCAUCAUGCUCAAUGGUCAGGCUCCUAAGAGGUGGAUGUUCAGACUCUCGAUUUAAAUACAAAGACUGGGUCUUUAACUGUAGCGAGUCUGUAGCUUCACAACUGUAGCGAAACUAUAGCUUCAUGACUGUAGCGAAACUGUAGCUUGAAAUAGUGGCUUUACAAGAGAAAUGCAAAAUUACAUGAAAAUAUAUAAGAGGAAAUUUCGGGUGAAGAGACAUGUGCGCUCUCACUUGUGUCCAGGGGACCACCCAAAAUAAUACAAGUAUAAAGUAAUUUUUACAAAGGGGCAAUACAAUAGAAAUUACAUAGAAUUCUACAGGAAUUAUAAAAUUGAAUACUAGUGAUAAAUGCAGAGGAAAAAUUGAAAAUUAGUAUUUUUUUUUUACUUUAUAAAUUCUUUAAGAAUGCUUUACAGGGGGAAAAAUGCCGAAGCAAUCAUCUUCAUUAUCAUCCCAAAGGGAAAUGAACGGCUCAGCUUCACUAGAAGAGCUUGACCCGGAACUUGCAACCGAUGGCUCAGAUCUUGAUGCGAGAAGCUGUUCCAUAACUUUAAAAUAUUCUUCUUCUAUUUUGGCACUGGCCAAAAGAGAUUGGUCUUUGGAUUUUUGGGUAAGGAAGGUUCCUUGGGCUUUAAUGUCUUUGAUGAUUGGUUGUAGAAGGCCUUUAGAGGAGAGCCAAUUUUCGAUUAGGUUAACAGUCAAUUUGGACUGUUCAUCAAAUUUUGACCACCAUUUGACUUUAAAGGUUCUUUGUAGAAUUGAUUGGGCAUCUUGUGGAUGGUAUCGAAAGUUCCACAUCCAAACCCAAGGGAGAAAGAAGUUUGUACAGAAGCAGAGAAAAUGAGGAAAUCGUUUCUCAGACUCUGUAGGUACAUAAUGGGUUUUAAAAAGAUUUAGGCACUAGAUGGCAUUUUGGGUGAGAAUUUAAGGGCAUGGGCCGAAAUAAUUCCACCACUGUUGGAACCAGUUUGGAAGACUUUGGACUGUUAUCUUUAAAAUGGUGUCUGUGGAGUAAGCUAGUUCUGUAUAGGCUUCACUAAGGAAGAAGUGUUUGAAUUUGACAGACUCAGUCGACUCCAAAAUGCUUUGGUAAUAAGACUGGGGUUUUGUCAAAUCCCAAGGUUUGAAAAACCAGCCUUUAGGAAAAAAUUUUGAAAUUGCUUGAAAAGGAUCAGUGUGGUAAAAAUCAUCUUCUAUGGAUAAAAUAUUUUGGAAAUGAGUUUUAUCAUACCAAUCCGAAAUUUUCUUUGGAAGCUUUGUUUGUGAAAGAACAAUUUGAGAAGAUGAACUUUCACCAGAAAGAACCACAUUUUGUGAAGAAUUUUUAGAAGCUACUUUAGAAAUAGGUUUUUCUUCUUUAGGAGAAAUCUGGCUUUGAGAAAAACUUUGUAAGGCGAUCAAAAGCUCAGGGGAUUUAGAAAUGGAUUUCAUCCAUUCAUUUACCUGCUCCUGGGAGGCAAGGGCUUUGUAUUGGGCUUCUUGGUCUUCAAUAGCGUCAAUCCAAGACUUUCUAGGCAUUGCUGAAGAGAGCAAUUUUUCUUUAAGAGGAGAAGAUUGGGAGACUUUAGGGGUUGUUUUGGGUAUGGGUUCUAUGAGGAUCCCUUUCCCUUUGUCUCGUCUUUUUGGCGGCAUUAUCUGUUUUGAAGAAAUUCCCUGGUUAGAAAGUCAGGGAGAGAAUUUGUAUCUCCUUUAAUAAAUUCAAUAUCAAAAUAAAAAACACUUAAAAUAGCUUGCCAACGUGUAAAAAUCUAUUUAGAUGCAAUGUUUUGAACAUCUUUUUUCCAAAACGUGUUUUGCAGCUUUGCAAUCAAUUCUAAGCAGAAACUUUUGAUUUAAUAAAUCGCUUUUAAAUUUGGAAAUGCAUAAAACAAUGGAUAGAAUUUCCUUUUUAAUAGUAGAAUAAUUUUUCUGGCAUUCAUUCUAAUGUGCAGAAACAUAUUGUACUAUCUAUUCUUUAUUUUGAUCAACUUGCUUUAAUAUCCCACCAUAACCUAGGUCUGAUGCAUCAGUCUCAAUAAUUUUAGGCAAUGCAGGAUUUGCAAGAAAUAAACAUGGAAUGUUUUUAACUAUGGUUUUUAUAUGCUUAACAAUUUUUGUAUGUUCUUUUGACCAUGCAACAGGAGUUUUCUUUAAUCUAUCAUGCAAUGGUUUGGCAAUCCUAUUGAUAUUGGGACAGAAAUCAAGAACGUAAUUUAGACUUCCCAAAAAUCUUUGUAGUUGGGUUUUGUCAAGGAUUUUAUCAGGAAACUUGUCAGUGAAGGCAAGUGACCUUUCAAUGGGAGUGAUGGUUCCUUUGGAAAUUUAAUGACCAAGAAACCGAACUUUAGUUUGGAAUAAAGAGAUUUUAGAACUAGAGAUGGCUAGACCAGCUUUUCUGGUAGCCAGAUAAAAAGUCUUUAAAUGUUUGAAGUGUUGUUCAAUUGAUUGAGAGAAGAUCAACACAUUAUCUAUAUAAACAAUGCAAAAAUCAGAAAAAGGAUUAUAAAUAUCGUUCAUAAUUCUUUAAAAUUCUGAAGGUGCAUUUUUCAAACCAAAAGGCAUUACUGUCCAUUCGUACUGUCCAAAUGGAACAUUAAAAGUGGUCUUAUAACGGUCUUUAGGAUGAAUUUGAAUUUGCCAAAAACCCGACUUCAUGUCAAAUUUUGAAAAUAUGAAUGCAGAGUGUAGGUUUUGGAGCAAAUUUUUUUUAUUAGGUAUGGGAUACCUGAUAUCCAUUUUAAUGCUUUGUUCAAGGGUUUGUAAUUUAUUACAAGUCUGGGUGUCCCUCUUUUUAUUUCAGAGUUUUUAUUGACGUAGAAAGCGGCACAAGACCACGGUGAUCUAGAUUUUACAAUGAGUCCUUUGGACUCCAGAUCUUUAAUUUCAAUUUUGCAAUGUCUUUCCAAAUCCAUGUUCAUUUGGAUAGGACGGGCUUUAGUGGGUAUUUGUUUCUCAUCAAAGGAAUUUUCAUAAGGUAAGUCUACCAAAUGUUAUUUUCGGUUCCAAAAAGUACUUGGUAAAUCAGCACAUAUUUUCUUUUCAAUUAGAGCUUUGAAAUCAGAAAUUUUUCUUUGUAUAAGUCCAUUUUGCAAUUGGUUUUCAAUUCUUUGUAAACUCAAGUCCUUUUGUAAAUAGAUUAAAUCGGUUUGUUUUGUUUUAAGCAAAACAUUUAUUUGGUUAUGGUAAACAGAACAGGCUUUAACAAUAUUUAGGCUUCUAGUUUUAGGUUUUUCAAUAAAAGAGAAAAUUAAUUUGUUCUUUUUUGCUUUAAAAGAUAUACUAUCGUAAUUGACAGUAUAAGGAGUAAUAAGAUUUAUAAAAGGAGUUCCCAAAAUAACAGCAUGAUGAAUAUCAUUUGUUAAAAGGAAGGUAGUCCUGAAUUCAAAACCGUUGUUACGAUUUGAGGCGUCAACUUUGGAUUUGAUGUUCAACUUUGAGUUAUUUGCAGUUGAAAGUCUUUCAUUAGUCUUUUCAUGGAAUUUCUUUGGAACAAUGACUCCUUUUAUACAAUUCAAAUCAGCACCAGUGUCAAAGAGGGCAAUGGUGUCAAGUUUAAAAUCUUUAGAAAAUUUUAAAAUAAUUUUAAUCAAAUAUUUUCUUGUGGUGAUUUGUUUCAGAACAAAAAGAAAAUCAUUGGGGAUAGAUUCAAUGUUUUCAAGUUGUUGUUUGUUUUCUUCACCAGAGUUUGAUUCUUUAUCAGAAUUGUCUUCCAGUUGUUUUUGCAAUAAAAGAUGGAUUGUUUCUGAGUCAUUUUUCUACUUCUCUUUUAAUUCUUUAAUUUCAAGUUUGAUUUCUUUAAUUUCCUUUUGAAGGUCUUGGAUAUUGGGAGUUAUCAUUUUUUUUGUCUUCUUUUUUCCCAAAAUUUCUGUAAGGUCAUAAGUAUUCUUUUUAAUAAUUGGGACCUUAGAAGUUUCUGGCUUGUCUUUUAGUUCCAGAGUCUUUAGCAGUUUGUCAAGGUAUUCCUUCUGGAGAAUGGGGUCAGAAAUAUGCUUUACAAGUUCAAGAAAAGUUUCUUGUUCUUUAGUCAAAACAUUAAUCUUCUUUAAAAAGGUUUCUGAAUCAGAACUGCUUGAUACAGAUGUUUCUGACUCAAUCAACUCAUCAACCUGUAAAGGAUCACUAUUUCCCGACAGGGAAGAACUUGAAUCAGAGUCAGAAGACUCAAUGAGCAGAGGAGCUAUCUUGGAAAGGACUUCUUCAUCAAGAUCAAUCUCUUGAAGUCUUCUAUUUAUCCUGCAAUAUUUUGCAGGAUGUCCUUUCUUGCCAAAUUUAAAACAUGUAGCUUCUUUAUAAUUAAAAAAGGUUUUUGGUUUAAAUGAGGAAGAGGGUUUGGCUUUGGAGUCUUUUCUUUUAGAGAAAUGAGGUUUUUUAUAAGGUCUCGAGGACUUCUUAUAAAAAGGUUCUCUAAAAUCUGGUAGAAGUUUUCUAUAAGCUUUAGACUUGUAAUGUUUUUUGUAAGGUUUAAAAGAACACUUACCAUUACAAUAUUUUGAAGUAGAAGUUUUAAAGGGGUCAUAGUUGAAUUGUUUACAGAAACUGCCUAAUUCUUGCUUAGACUUUCUAAGCUCCCAUUUUAGCCGUUUCUGUAAUUUCAAAUCUUGACAUAUCUUUAAACAUUCUUUAUUGACAAAACUGACUAGUUCACCAUAGGUGAGCUCGUCAUAAGGAAUGCGAUUAUCAUAAAGGGCUUUGAUGGAAUUUCUAACUUUUUCUCCCAAUAAGGUAGGCAAGCCUGCAAGGAAUUUUUCCUUCCAGGUUGUAUGAUUUGCAUCAUCCCUAAGGAAGAGUCUGGUAAAGAAAGUGGUUUUGUAACUCUGGAAUUCACUAAGUUUCCUACAUCUCAAGUUAUGUAGUAACUCAGCAUUUUUAUCUCUUAGGUGAGAAGGGUCACUUAUGAAAUGAAGAGAAAUAGUCAGAAUCAGGGUAGCAACAACAUCCUGAAUAGGACUAUUGAAUUCAUCGAGAAUGAGGGCUCCAUUUUCGUCUACUUGAAUAGAAUUUAGGAUGUCUAGUUGUUGCUGAUUAGUGAGAAGAUGGUCCCACCAACCUUUUGGUUGACCGGUAAAACCAGCAAUGAGAAUUUCUGCAAUGGCUUUGUCAGAAGUCCUUUGUUGAGUUUUAUAGGCAUUGGCUGCCAUGGUCAUUUGCUGCAACAAUCCUAAAAUAUUGUAUUCAGACAUACCAUCAAUAUUCCACUCAUAGACAGAGGAUGCAUUAAAACGAGAUUGGUUUAAUGCACUUGGUCUAUUAUCGAUGGCAAGGUCUGGAGGAGUUCUUACAGUUGGGAGAGCAAGUUCCCAAUGGAUUUUAUUGGCUUUAGGGAUAGACUCUUCUUUGAAAGCUUCUAUGUCAGAAGAGGCUAUAGAAGAUUGAUCAUGUUCUAGUACGCCAAUCUUGCUAGAUUGAGCACUAUCAGGAGCAAUUUGGACUUUAGAAGUAGAAGCGAAAGAAGAAGAUGCUUAUAUUCUAUCAAGUUGUUCUUUAAUGGCUUUAGCGAAAUCUAAUUUAGAUUCUUGAACAAGCUUUUGACUAUGUUUCGAAACCUGAAAAGGUUUGAAAAUAGGUUCUUUAAGCUUUUUCAAGGAAUCAGACUUCGAUUGAGGAGAAGUAGGGACAAUAACGGUUGACUUCUGGAAUUGACUUUCUAUUCGGGUCAACUGUUUUCCUAUCGUAUUUAGAUUAGCAUUACAGAAAUUAUUAUGUUGAAUGAUGCUAUCUGUUGUGCAAAUUUUAAUGUACUCACAAGCGCACGAAUCUAUUGUAGUAUAGACUAAUGGUGACGAGUGUCGAUCCCACGAGGAGGUGGAUUUUAAUUGUGUAUAGAAUUAAUUUUGUAAAUGGGUGGUUGGAUUUGUGGUGGAAAUGAUUUGGAAUAUGCUAAAACUUAAAUUAAAAUGGCGAGAAUAACUUCUAAAAUUGGAAUUGUAAUUGCGAGAAUAAAAUUGAAGAGAAUUCUAUUAAAAUGACGUACUUGGGUAUCUGGAUCCGUAUCAACAUGCAUCAUGGGCUAAAUAAUCCGUAUUAAUGCCAAUUAAAUCAUGAGGGGGGAAUCCACACCUCAUGAACCACGCUCUAAUCAAUAUGGUGCUAAGGGCUUAUCGUGCCAAAUAAUAAUAACCUUGUACUAGAGAGCCGGUGAAACCAGGGCGGUACUAGACAAGACUAUUAUUAUUUGUCGACGAGAAGUCAAAACAUCCACAAAAAUUAGAGGGGAAGAGAAAAUAAAUUUACCAAAUAAAACCCAUGACACAUGUUGAGACUUCACCUUCAACCCAAGCUUGAAAGAAAACUAGCCACUCAUAAUUGAACUAGGGGCAAAAUGGGAAUUUAUUAAAAUACGUAGAAAAUACAAGAUGGAGAGGGAAUUACAGAAAAUAGAGUCCAAAAAUAGAUUCAGAUAUAUCAAAUUAGGGGGGGAAGGCCCCCUUUUUUAUAGAUACAUGGAGUAAAUCAUGGUCAUCGGAUUAAAAAUAGUUUGGACGCUCAGGAUUGCGUCACGUCAUCAGUCAACAGUCCACGGUUUGACCACGUGGAUGAACGGUAACACGGUUUGACCGGGAUGAACAGUAACAUGAUUUGGUUGAAAAUAAUCCUGUGUGAUGCAUGCACCGUACGCGAGAUUUUUCGUCCACUGAUAUGCUGCCACGUCACCAUCAACAGUACAUAAGAAUUUUAGUCCAACAAGAUCGUGACACCUUAUCAGUCAAUGCCACAUCAUCGGUCAAUGCCACGUCAUCGAUUCGUCUAUGUGAACAGUGCCGUGAAUAGUAACAUAUACAGUACCGUAUACGUGAAUAGUACCGUACAUGUGAAUAGUGCCAUUUUUCCUUUUAUGCUCCUCCUAAGGUUUUCGACCGUCCUGAGUUCAAAAGUGAUGUCCGUUUUGCCGUCUGAUCUCUCCUUUAUUGUGAAAUGACUAUAAUGCCCCUAAAAUACAUAAAAUACUUAAUUAAAAUAACACACACGUAAUUACAUCACAAGAAGGUUAAAUACAUAAAAGUAAGAGUUGUUAGUAAGACUUGAAAUGUAAAAUGAUGGUUUUCUCCUUUAUAAAUAUGCAUUUUCUAAUACUCAACACAUCCCCCAACCAGCUUAUUGCUAGUCCCUAGCAAAUAAAGCGAAAACCAAAUUCAAAUUCAAAAUGAUUUUUUUUUUUUUUAGAAACACUCGUGUUUAUUUAAUCAGAUUAAUGAUAGCAAUCAAAUAAAAGUAUAAGCAUUAUCUCCAGUCUAAAGCAACAUCACACCCACAUCAACCAUCCACAUGAAUUAGCCCAGUAGACUUUGUUAUAGCUACUUUCAAGAAUGACAUGUCAAACCCCAAAAUCUCACUGGAAGUAAUGACACUCUCACAAAUAAAUUAAACCCAAUAAAAAUAGUCACUCCAAUGAAUGGUAAUUGAGAGAGAAAAUAAUAAAGAAGUGAUAUCACAUGCUCUCACCAAGAUGAAAUAAAUAUGCCCUCAGUUUAGAAAUAAUACGAUCUCAAGUCAAACAAAAAUGCUAGUCAAACCACUUUAUUUAUCUUUUUUAUUAUUAUUAUUAUUAUUAUGCAUCACUACAUCUUUUUAGCCCACAUAACUAGCUUCUACUUCAAACUAUAGUUCCCUAAAAUCAAGAAGGACUUUUAUUAGGACGUAACGUAGGCUAGGGAUAUGGCUAACAAAAAAAGGAAAUAAGGAAACAAAGUGUAUGUUUGAGAAAAUGCAGAGAAUUUUUUUUUUUUUUUUUGAAGUUGUAAGGUGUAUUUCACCUAUUGUUGUUAUUUUUAUUCUUUUGAAACAACAACUUUUUUUUUUUUUUUGGCUUUUAUUUGGCAUAACUUCACUGAACAACAUAAUUAUUUACAUUUUCUCAAACAUAAAUAGGUGAUGGAACUUAUAAGACAUCGGGUAAUACUCCAAAUCGGAGUGGGUCAAGAUGAUAAGUUGACAAAGAAAAGGUUUUUUUUUUUUUUUUAAAGGCUCAAAAGCGGUAACUAUGGAUAUUUAAUAAAAUGGAUGACUAGAAAGGAUCAAACAGAUCAAAGAUGGCCUUUCCAUCGUCUUUUAGGGCUCUAAAUAAUUAUCCAUAUCUACUAGUUAGAUGGGCCUCCCAAUGUAGCAACACACAUUUUUUUCUUUUUUUUCUUUUUCUUUUUCUUUUUUUUUUAAAUUUUUUUUUUUUUUACAAUUUUUUUUUAAGGAUUAACUCAAAAGAAAUCUAGAGAUCGUGUAUACAAUAAUAAACUGCUAAGUUGUAUAAAGAAUGGGCAAAAGGGUUACUCUCCAAGAAAAAUAAUAGGCUCAAAAACUCACUUGGUACUUAUUAUGACAUGUUCAUUCCUUCAAGCAACUCAUAUUUGUCUCCGACAUCAAUAUGUAGAGUAGCAAACAAAUGUAACAUCACUUAAGAUCAAAGAUAAUACAAAUACUAAAAUUUGAAAUUAAUCAUGUCAUCCAAUGUUAAAACAAAUCACACAAAUUUUUUUUUUUAAACAACAUUCUACCCCCCAACCUAUUCUAAACAUGAAAGAAAAAUAUGCAUGCAGAAAUGUGAAAAUGAUGUAAAAAUAUUCAUUAGAAAAAGAAAUUUUUUUUUUUUAACUAAGAAGAUGCGUUUCUAGAGGCACUACACUCCAUAUUCAGCCAUCUUCGACUCAAAAAUUUGAAAAUAUAUAUUUAUAAAGGAGAAAGAGGAAGAAAACGGUUUUUUUUUUUUUUUAAACGAUGAAGAUGCGUUUCUAGAGUAACUACACUCCAUAUUCAGCCAUCUUCAACACAAAACGUUAGCAACAGUUAGUUUCUACAACAAAAAAUCAGUAAAAACUUAACCAAGAUUCCACAAUUGUCGACUAGUCCCUCCCCCCAACCAGAACGAAACAUUGUCCUCAAUGUUUUAAAGGAAAGAAGUAGAGUUUAGAAGACAUCACCUGGGUGGUGCAACACAGAAGAAAAUAUUUACAGGCGGAGAGUUAAAUCUAAUUUGUACUUCUUACUGCGGCUACUGUUACCAUCAUUAUUUGGUCGCUCUAACACAAAGGUCCAGAGGUCUGGCUCCGGUUUAUAAGCUUGUAACAUAUCAAGUAGCUCAUUAGCAGUGUGAGCACAAAUAAAAAGUUUUUUUACAUUAGAAGGAAUGAAAUAGUUUUUUAUUGCAUGGUUAAGAAAUGCGAUAAAGCCAUCAUAAAAGUUAUUGACAUUUAACAAACCGCUGGGUUUCUGGUGGAUGUGCAGAUGGGCCCAAGAUGCUAGUGUCAUAAGUGCCUCUAGUGUUGCAAGAUCUCCUAGAAGGAAAAUAAAAGCAUCAGCAUGAUUAAGCAUUUCAGUUAUUCUUUCUUGCAUACCUGAGACGACUAACUCUUCUCCAGUUGAUGAGUCAGACGAACUGCCCAAUGGUUUUAGGACUCUUGGGAUGAUGCCUAACACUUGACUUCCUCUGAUAAAAGCUGCUUCUGAGACCAUUUUUGAUAACCCUCGGUUACCUCCUCCAUACACCAAGUGUAAUUUUCUCGCUGCUAUGCUUCGACCAAGAUCUAUGGCUGCCUCCACGAACUCUUUAUGUUUGCCAUAGGUAAAUCCAGAAAGCAUACAAAUGUUCUUGAAUUAUCUAUUGGGAGUAGCUGCCAUUGUGAUACUUCUCAAAAAUAAUUUGUGAGUGCUUGACAAAAGAUAAAUCACAUUUAAGAAUCUUGGUGACAGUAGAUCACAGCUGUGAAUGAGGUAACAUGUCAGUGUCAAAUAACGCGUAAAGCACGUGGCUCGCGAGUCAAAAAGGAAACAGUAAAAAGGACUAAGCAAACAGUAAUAAAAUUAUUAAAGACAAUAAUGCAAACGAUAAAACAACAGCGAAAUAAAACAACAGUAAAGUAAAAUGAUAUUUACACGUAGUUGCGACUGUGGCUCACAUCUUCUUCUGGUUUUACGUCCAGAAACGGCUUGAACGCCCUCUAUGGGUCGAGGAUAGGCUUCCUAUCCAGUUUUCUUAUAAACUGGCAAACAGGGUCGUUUAUAGUCAGAUUCCCGAGACUAUAUCGUGCAUGCUCUUUCUGGAAUAAUGGCCAUAACUGGAGAAUCGCUCCUUGCACAUAUCCACUAGGAUGCGUUUCAAGAGACAAAAGGAUAUCAUCCAAUGACUCCUUAUUCAAGCCAUCCCUAAUGAAUUGAAUCUUAUCUUCCCUGUUAUCAGACACCAUUCCUAAAGAACAUGGGUUUCUAUCGCAACUCAUUCUGGCACAAUUAUGACAAGCAACAGAAAUUCUUCGAGCUCAUCGUUUUCUUGCAUAAUUUCCUUUACCACAACCAGGCAUGUAUGCAAUAAAUUUUGGAGGUAACUCACCUGCCAAUCGUACUUUCGCCUUGAUUAACCAACAGAUGUCAGCAGGUAUGUUAUUCCUCAUGAGUGAUCGCAUGCGUUCGGACCGAGCUUUAUAGAUCGUAAGGAGGGCAUUCUGAGGAAGUGAAGGGAAUCGCUUGUGAAGCUUCGCUAGAAUCUCGUGUCUAUCCAUACUUUCGCCUCAGAAUGUCAGUUAUUAUGGGAAACUGAAGUAACCGACUUGAUUGUCACGGAGUACCGUUAUCCGCCACUUCACCGGGGUAACAAACUAAAGCACAUAAACAGAAAAACAAAUCAAAACACACAAAGAAAAUUAAAAUCGUCCUCUUAUUAAAUUUACCUCAAGCUCCAACUGGAUGUCGUAAACACUUCUCUCAAUAUCUCUGAGUUGGCGUUCUAAACCCUCAACAUAGGCUACUAACUCUGGUGGUUGUAGAGCCCAAAUACGAUGUGUUUUACAAAAUUAAAUUUGCCUUUUGAGAUGAGUUUUGACACGUUGAAGUGGUUUAAGAAUGUUCAGGAGGAACGGUCUAAGCAAGGUACUCAUGAUUAAAAAUGAUAAGAGAAAACUUAAUAGUUAAACAAACACACUUAUGCAAAAAUAAUUUCAAUUAGCAGAAGAAUAAUAUAAAGAAAAAAAAAUCAAUUCAAAUCUGGUGGGUCACUCAAAUUUAUUUCGGUGUCUUCUCCAUGUGGUUGGUACUCUAGAUAUGGCUUUAAUCUUUGACCAUUAACUUUAAACGUGACACCGUUCUUUGGGUCUUUAAUUUCAAUUGCCCCAUGUGGAAAAACAGUAUGAACAAUAAAGGGACCAGACCAUCGAGAGCGUAACUUACCUGGGAAUAGGUGCAAGCGAGAAUUGAAUAAAAGAACUUUCUGACCUGGAGUGAACGAUUUUCUCAUAAUGUGCUUGUCAUGAAAGACUUUCAUUCGUUGCUUGUAAAUCUUGGCAUUUUCGUAUGCGUCAUUGCGAAUUUCUUCAAGUUCUGCCAGUUGUAAUCUUCUUUCUAAGCUGGCUUGCUGCAUGUCAAAGUUGAAUUUCUUGAUGGCCCAAUAUGCACGAUGCUCGAGUUCCACAGGUAUGUGACAAGCUUUUCCAUACACUAGCCUGUAGGGUGACAUCCCAAUCGGGGUCUUGAAAGCCGUUCUAUAUGCCCAUAAUGCAUCAUCAAGUCUUAAUGACCAAUCUUUCCUAUCUGGCCUCACCGUCUUUUCUAAUAUGUGCUUUAUUUCUCGAUUGGAGAUCUCAACUUGGCCACUGGUUUGCGGAUGAUACGGGGUCGCCACUUUGUGAGUGAUUGAAUAUUUUGUCAAAAGAGCUUUGAAUGCUUUAUUACAAAAGUGGGCACCACCAUCACUGAUUAUCGCUUGAGGGAAUCCAAAGCAUGAAACAAUGUUGCUUUUCAAAAAUCCUAUCACCACUUUAUGAUCAUUGGUUCUGCAUGGAAUUGCUUCCACCCAUUUCGAUACGUAGUCAACACCAACCAAUAUGUAUUGAUGGCCAAAAGAAGGGGAAAGGGUCUCAUGAAGUCGAUACCCCAUACGUCAAAAAUCUCAACCACUAAAAUUGGAUUUAGUGGCAUCAUGUUCCUUCGUGUAAUGCUCCCCAUUCGUUGACACCUAUCACAUGAAGAACAGAAAGUGUAAGCAUCUCGAAAUAUAGUUGGCCAAUAAAAACCACAUUGUAAAACUUUAGUCGCUGUUUUCUUAGCACUGAAAUGACCUCCACAAGCUUGUUCAUGGCAGAAUGAAAGGAUAUUAUGAAUUUCACUUUCUGGGACACAUCGUCUAACAAUUUGAUCUGCACAAUACUUGAACAAAUACGGGUCAUCCCAAAAGAAAUUCUUUAUUUCUGCAAAGAAUUUAGCCUUGUCUUGCUUGGUCCAAUGCUCUGGAAGUUUACCUGUAACAAGAUAAUUAACUAUAUCAGCAUACCAAGGUAAUAAUUCCACACUCAUUAAUUGUUCAUCUGGAAAUGACUCAUUCAAUAUUAAUGGCUCUGUUAUUGUGUCAAAAUGGAGACGAGAGAGGCGGUCCGCCACAACAUUUUCUGUCCCUUUCUUAUCUUUGAAUUCCAAGUCAAAUUCCUGCAAAAGUAACACCAAACGAAUUAGUCUAGCUUUUGCAUCUUUCUUUGUGAGAAGAUAUUUAAGAGCAGCAUGAUAUGUGAAUAUAAUUAUUUUACAACCAAUGAGAUAAGAUCGAAAUUUCUCUAAUGCAAACACUACUGCAAGCAUUUCUUCUUCAGUAGUUGAAUAGUUCAACUGUGCAUCAUUCAAUGUCAUACUAGCAUAGUAAAUGACAUAGGGAAUUCGAUCAACUCUUUGUCCUAAUACUGCUCCUACUGCAUAAUAAGAUGCAUCACACAUGAGCUCAAAUGGUAAGCUCCAGUUUGGGGGCUGAAUGAUGGGUGAUGAUGUCAACAACUGCUUUAGUUUUUCAAAAGCCACAAGACAUGAAUCAUUAAAGAUAAAAGGUACAUCCUUAGCAAGUAAAUUGCAUAAGGGUCUAGAAACUUUGCUAAAAUAUUUAAUAAAACGUCGAUAGAAACCAGCAUGCCCAAGGAAAGAUCUUACUUCUCUGACUGUUUUGGGUGGAGGAAGAUUAGAAAUGAGAUCCACCUUGGCUUUGUCAACCUCAAUACCUUUGCUUGAAAUGAUGUGACCGAGAACAAUACCUUGUUUUACCAUGAAAUGGCAUUUCUCCCAAUUUAAGACUAAGUUUUUCUCAAUACAUCUCUGCAGAACUAGUGUUAGAUGAUGUAAACAUUGAUCAAACGAGUCACCAAAGACAGAAAAAUCAUCCAUAAAGACUUCAAGGAAUCGUUCAACCAUAUCAGAAAAAAUGCUCAACAUGCAUCGUUGGAAUGUAGCAGGUGCAUUACAUAAUCCAAAUGGCAUUCUCCUAUAUGCAAAAGUGCUAAAAGGGCAAGUGAAAGUAGUUUUCUCCUGAUCUUUUGGUGCUAUAGGAAUCUGAGUAUAUCCUGAGUAGCCAUCUAGAAAGCAAUAAAAUUCAUGGCCAGCUAAUCUAUCAAGCAUUUGAUCAAUAAAUGGUAAAGGAAAAUGGUCUUUACGUGUGACAGAAUUCAACUUUCUAUAAUCAAUGCAUACACGCCAUCCUGUAGUUACUCUAGUUGGUAUCAAUUCAUUAUUAGCAUUGGUAACUACUGUGACUCCUGACUUUUUGGGGACAACUUGUACAGGACUGACCCAUGAACUAUCAGAAAUUGGGUAAAUGAUACCUGCGUCUAAUAGCUUAAGGACUUCUGUUCUAACAACUUCUUUCAUAUUAGGAUUUAACCGACGUUGCAUUUCCCUAGUAGAUUUAGCAUUUUCAUCAAGGUGAAUGUAAUGCAUGCAGUCUACUGGGUUUAUACCUUUAAUGUCUGCUAUGGUCCAUCCUAAUGCCCCUUUGUGCUCUUUUAAAACAUCUAACAACUUACUUUUUUGUUCGUCAUUUAGGGAUGAUGAGAUGAUUACCGGUAGAGUGCUUUCUUCUCCCAAAAAUGCAUAUUCCAAUGUGUUGGGCAAUGGUUUGAGCUCGAGUUUCGGUGGUGAUUCUGAUGAUGGGAUGAGUUUCUUCUCUGAUGGUGCUAGUUGUUCAACUCUUGACUUCCAUUUAUUAGUGUCCAUAGAUGGUGCUGAGUCAAGUAGGGCGUUAACCUCAUCAACCGAUCUGUCAAUACCAAAAUCCAAACCAAAGUGAGUUAAACAUGUUUGUAAAGGAUCAUCACUAAAGUUUGAAAUAAAUGUGUCAUCAACUAAUGCUUCAAUUAAAUCCACAUCAACAAUUCCAUCAUCUGCAUUAUGAGGUUGUUUGGCAAUGUUGAAGAUGUUCAGCUCCAUAGUCAUGUUGCCGAAGGACAACUGCAUAUUUCCAGUCCUGCAUUGAAUGUGAGCAUCCGCAGUUGCCAAGAAAGGUCGGCCUAAGAUAAUGGGGAUGUGCUUCCUUGAAUCCUGUAUUGGUUGAGUGUCAAUUACACUGAAAUCAACAGGAAAAUAAAACUUGUCUACCUGGAUAAGCACGUCCUCCACAAUACCACGAGGUAUUUUCGUGGACCGAUCUGCAAGCUGUAACACCACUGGAGUUGGGUGUAAUUCUCCAAGUCCAAGUUUCACGAAUGCUGAAUAAGGCAACAAAUUUACACUAGCUCCUAAAUCCAACAAAGCAUUCUCAAUUGUGUGGUUCCCUAUACUACAUGAGAUAGUGGGGGAGCCUGGGUCUUUGCAUUUUAAAGGAAUUUUAUGUUGUAGUAUAGAACUAACGUUUUCUGUUAAAAAUGCUUUCUUUUGAACAUGCAUGUUUCUCUUUUUAGUACAAAGGUCUUUAAGAAACUUGGCAUAAGAUGGAACUUGUUUAAUAGCAUCAAGCAAUGGGAUGUUAACACUUACCUGUUUGAAGAUCUCAAGAAUCUCACCUGUGGAUUUUCCUUUUUUUCCUUUUGCUAACCUAUGAGGAAAUGGAGCUUUCGGAACGUAUUCUCGUGGGUUGGUUUCUUCUUUUUCCUCCGGUGGUGAUUCUUCAACAUUCACAGGUACAAUUUGAUUUUCUUUUGUCACCGGCAUCUCCACUUUGUUGUCGACUUCUUUUCCUUUUCGCAAGGUCAUGACUGCUUUGACCUCUCCAUGCUGCUGUGGUGAACUGGUACUUGCUUCAUGUACUCCUUUAGGAUUCGGCACUGGUUGACUUGGAAACUUGCCUUUCUCAACAGUCAUUGCCAAGGUCUGAACUAAAGAAGCAAGUUGUCCCACCAUCUUCUCAAGGCUUGAAACUGAUUGGGCUUGUGAGUUGAAGCCCGCUCUCAACUCAUUUCGUAAUCCAUCAAUGGUGCAGUUCUGUUGCUCAAUCAUAGAGUGAGUAACAUUCUUGAAAUUCUGGAAUGCAUCCUCCCAUGGUCUGGGUUGAGAGUAGUUCUGGUUCUGAUUGUAUGGUCUGAAUGGUGGCUGAGAGGCUUGAGGAUUUUGAGGAAUUGGUGGAGCUGGAACUGCUGGUCCAUUCUGUUGGAAUCCUUGAGACCAUGAAAAAUUGGGAUGGUCUCUCCAUCCAGGAUUAUAUGUGUUGCAGUAUGGGUUGUAAUUUGAUGGCUUUCUCAUUACACCUAUGGCAUUGGCUUGAUCUGAAUAUGAGUCAUGGUCAUGUGGUUCUGUUGAUUUAGCAGUCGAUAACGAUGCUAUUUGUCGAGCAAGACCUUCAACCAUCUCCUUGACUUCUUUGAUUCCCGAAGUUGACUCGCCAAUUUGAACCUCAUUUACUCCCUUAAUUCUUCUAGUAUUCCUGAGUGAUCGACUCCGUUGUUGGGAAUUAUCUGCUUGUCGCUGGAAGAAUUCCCAAAUUUCUGAUGCACUUUUUGACAUUAGCUCUCCUCCACUUGUUGCCAUUAGCCAUUCUUGCACAUUCGGCAAGAAUCCCUCCAAAAAGUAUUGGCAUUGGUGCCAUUUUUCGUACCCAUGAUGUGGACACUUCAAGAGUAGCCCAUUGAAUCGCUCCCAUGUUUCGAAAAAUUGCUCGUCAUCUCUUUGUGUAAACUCUGAAAUUUCCCUGCGAAUAGCAUUAGUUUUAUGCACUGGGAAAUAUUUAUUCAAAAAUUUCGUUACCAUUUGUUCCCAUGAUGAAAUGCUAUUAGCAGGUAAAGUAUUUAACCAUGAACGAGCUCUAUCCUUUAAAGAAAAUGGGAAUAGUCUAAGUUUUACAUCAUCAUCUGAAAAAUUCUCGUAUUUAAAAGUUUGACAUAUGGCAUGAAAAUCAUUCAGAUGAUUAUAUGGGUCCUCAUUUUCUAGGCCAUAAAAUGUGGGGAGACAAUUUAGCACACUAGGUUUUAAUUCAAAUUAGCUAAAGGACUAAAAUAAUUCUUAAAUGGCCUCUCCUGUCGUGCUUGUAAAUCCAUUCCAAAUUUAUUUUUAAUGUGUUUUUGUGUGUGAAGUGUUUUUUCUAGUUCAAGGUCUAUAGGUUCAAGAUUAGGUAAUAAUGACCUUCGACCAUGUAUACAAAACAAAUAAAAUAAAAAAUAAAAAUGGGAACAAAAAAAAUAAAAAUAAAGAAGAUGGAGAAAUUACGAUACUAACCUUAUUGCGCUAUUACAACCUUACUAUAAAAAUACACAAAAACAAAUACGUAAAAUAAAUUAACUAAAAAUUAAAUUAAUAAAAUAAACAAAAAUUACAAAGAAAAAAUAAAUUGAAAAUUAAAUUACAGAAAUUUAAAGAAGAGAAAAAGAAAAGAAAUACUAACCUUUAAAUGUAGAUUCACUUUUUUUUUUAAUAAAAAAAAUUACAAAAAACAAUUAAAAGAAAUUAAUCACAAAAAUUAAUUCUACGAAUUAAAAUAACUUACCUCCCCGGCAACGGCGCCAAAAACUUGUUGUGCAAAUUUCAAUGUACUCGCAAGCGCACGCAUCUAUUGUAGUAUAGACUAAUGGUGACGAGUGUCGAUCCCACGAGGAGGAGGAUUUUAAUUGUGUAUAGAAUUAAUUUUGUAAAUGGGUGGUUGGAUUUGUGGUGGAAAUGAUUUGAAAUAUUCUAAAACUUAAAUUAAAAUGGCGAGAAUAACUUCUAAAAUUGGAAUUGUAAUUGCGAGAAUAAAAUUGAAGAGAAUUCUAUUAAAAUGACGUACUUGGGUAUCUGGAUCCGUAUCAACAUGCAUCAUGGGCUAAAUAAUCCGUAUUAAUGCCAAUUAAAUCAUGAGGGGGGAAUCCACACCUCAUGAACUACGCUCUAAUCAAUAUGGUGCUAAGGGCUUAUCGUGCCAAAUAAUAAUAACCUUGUACUAGGGAGCCGGUGAAACCAGGGCGGUACUAGACAAGACUAUUAUUAUUUGUCGACGAGAAGUCAAAACAUCCACAAAAAUUAGAGGGGAAGAGAAAAUAAAUUUACCAAAUAAAACCCAUGACACAUGUUGAGACUUCACCUUCAACCCAAGCUUGAAAGAAAACUAGCCACUCAUAAUUGAACUAGGGGCAAAAUGGGAAUUUAUUAAAAUACGUAGAAAAUACAAGAUGGAGAGGGAAUUACAGAAAAUGGAGUCCAAAAAUGGAUUCAGAGAUAUCAAAUUAGGGGGGGAAGGCCCCUUUUUUAUAGAUACAUGGAGUAAAUCAUGGCCAUCGGAUUAAAAACAGUUUGGACGCUCAAGAUUGCGUCACGUCAUCAGUCAACAGUCCACGGUUUGACCACGCGGAUGAACAGUAACACGGUUUGACCCGGAUGAACAGUAACACGGUUUGGUUGAAAAUAAUCCUAUGUGAUGCAUGCACCGUACGCGAGAUUUUUCGUCCACUGAUAUGCUGCCACGUCACCAUCAACAGUACAUAAGAAUUUUAGUCCAACAGGAUCGUGACACCUCAUCAGUCAAUGCCACAUCAUCGGUCAAUGCCACGUCAUCGAUCCGUCUAUGUGAUUAGUGCCGUGAACAGUAACAUAUACAGUACCGUAUACAUGAAUAGUACCGUACAUGUGAAUAGUGCCAUUUUUCCUUUUAUGCUCCUCCUAAGGUUUUCGACCGUCCUGAGUUCAAAAGUGAUGUCCGUUUUGCCGUCUGAUCUCUCAUUUAUUGUGAAAUGACUAUAAUGCCCCUAAAAUACAUAAAAUAUUUAAUUAAAAUAACACACACGUAAUUACAUCACAAGAAGGUUAAAUACAUAAAAGUAAGAGUUGUUAGUAAGACUUGAAAUGUAAAAUGAUAGUUUUCUCCUUUAUAAAUAUGCAUUUUCUAAUACUCAACACUAUCUAAAUCCGUAUCUGGGUCUUUAUGGAUUUUAUAAGGUGAGGCUUUUAUCUCAGUAGGAGGUUCACCAUGUUCAAUGGUCAGGCUCCUAAGAGGUGGAUGUUCAGACUCUAUGAUUCUUCCACUACCAGAAAUGUUCCAUUCAGCAGCUUUCUUUUUUACAGUAAUGGGAUUUAAUUCUUUAAAAGGAUAGGAAAUGUUAUUUUCCAAGACAUAAAUAUCAAACCAUUCGAAAAAUAAGAUAUGAAUUUUAUGCAGGUUCACAAAUUCAUAAUAAACUUUUUGAAUUUCUUUUCUCUGAUUUAAGAAAUGUUUAAAAAACCAAAGUCUUUUUUCUUUAUUAACUUCGGAAUAAAAAUCAUUGUGUAAAAGAGUUUUAUCCAAUUCAAAAUCUUUUUCAAGAACAUUUAUUACAUUUUCAGUAACAACAGAAAAUGUAGGAGAAGUUGGAGGAGAAGGUUCAUUCUCUUCCUGGCUUUGGCGACUAGUGUAGAUAGGAUGGGAAACACUAGUUGCAUAGUCAACAUAAUGUAUGGAGGAGCUAGGUAUGUCCGAGGUGGAAAACCUAGGUUGACUAUUUAUAGGUUGAAAAGGGAGAUUUAUGACAGAGGGAAUUUUUGAAAAUUUCUUUUGUAAAUGAGGAAUACUGGAACUUGAAUCUUUAUCGGAGAAUCUAGAGGAUGUAGAUCUCCUAAAAGAUAGUUUGACUUUACCAUCUGAAUACUGAGUCACAUUUUGUAACUCUGUAUUUGGCUCAAGUUAUUUUGGAAUCACUAGUUGAGUGGCUCCUUCAAGAAUCCAUUCGUCUGGAAGAGUGAUAUCUUUCCAUUGGAUUGGUUUAGGAAUAACGGUGUUGGCUUUAGACAUGUCAGUCUGCAAGAGAAGAGUUUCAUCUCUUUUUGACUGGAAUUUAUACUGCGUAUUGAACGCUGAAAUCAUGGCUUUAUACGAUAUUUUGAAAAUUAAUGCAACUGGAACAGAUCCUUCUAACAUGUGAUAAUUAUGUGUUUUGAUCUGUAAAAUCAUGCUUUUCAAAAUAUUCUUGUCUUUUGAAGAAACCGUUAUGUUAGGAUAACAAUCAAAAGAAAUGGGUCCUUUACAGAGACUAGAUUCAAUACUACUGAGUAAGGAAUCAUCAAAGGAGAUGAACCUCCCAUCUCUGAGGACAGCAAGAAUGAAAGUAUUUAAUCCUUCUUUAGUUAAGGGUUUUAUGCCUACUUGGAUUAAACCGAUAUGAAUAUAAUUGAAAUUUUUUUCUUUUAAUUUCUUUAAAGAAUGUUCAGAAAACAAGUGAAUUGUUUCAAAAUGUUUUGAAAGUGUGAUAUCUCUUUCUUCUGUCUUUAUAACACAAUCUGUCUUUAAAAAAUCAAGUUUUUUUCAUUUUAUAAAUCUUAUCUUUAGAAACCUUUGGUAAAUCCCAAUUGUCAAUUGCUUUAUUAAAAUCUUCAAUAAUGAAUUCUUCUGAAUUCACCACGUUCUUUGAAACACUAGUCUUCUCGGAAGAAGAGCUAAAGAAAGAUGAUGUUCUAUGCAGUAGAGAAUCCAUGCAAUUUAAAACUUAAAUAAAAACCUAUAUGAAUGCCUACAGGUAUGGUUUUACUGCCCUAUGCGGAAAUCCUUAUCCUAAGACGGGACUUACUACCAGUAAAAAAUUCAGCAAACAUACUGAUUUUUAAUAAAAGAAAUAAACAACACAAAUGUUUUACCAAAUAUUACACCUACUUUCCCUUGGCUCUGUUUUCCAGCCUAUACACCAAAAUUCUUUAGAAAAUUAUUCUUUAGCAAGCCUAGCAACAGAUCUAAAGGCUUAUAGAUAGUAUUAGAUCUGGAUCCCAGAAAUAAUACUCUGAAUGGUUGGACGGAGAAGAGAAGAUACAACAGAAGACAGAGAUCCGGUCUCUUUGCUUCUGAGGAACGUAACAAUUUAUAUGGCAGAUCUGAUAUAGAUCAGUCUGCAAGGCAUACAUAAAACUUUAAAUUACUGAAAUUUAAAUGCUUUAAAAUAAAUUGCAUAAAUUAAAGUGCAGAAAUUUAAACAUACAGAAAUUUAAAUUUAUUACAAACUUUAAAAGGAAUUACAAAAGGAAUUACAAAUCUUACAUUGAUUCUUCUUGUGUUGUUUUUCUUUAAAGGAAAAUAUUACAGAAAAAAUGGGAAAUUAAUCUGAAGACAGGAAAAUUUCCUUGUUGUCUUCCGAUUCCUGAUUCCCAGAGAGAGAGAGAGAGAGAAAGAGAAAGAGAAGAAGAAAGAAGGAAAUUCUAAAAAAUCUAAAACAAAUCUGAGGAGUCUAAGUCUUCCUCUCGAUUUAAAUACAAAGACUGGGUCUUUAACUGUAGCGAAACUGUAGCUUCACAACUGUAGCGAAACUGUAGCUUCAUGACUGUAGCGAAACUGUAGCUUGAAACAGUAGCUUUACAAGAGAAAUGCAAAAUUACAUGAAAAUAUAUAAGAGGAAAUUUCGGGUGAAGAGACAUGUGCGCUCUCACUUGUGUCCAGGGGACCACCCAAAAUAAUACAAGUAUAAAGUAAUUUUUACAAAGGGGCAAUACAAUAGAAAUUACAUAGAAUUCUAUAGGAAUUAUAAAGAAGCUACAUGUUUUAAAUGUGGCAAGAAAGGACAUACUGCAAAAUAUUGCAGGAUAAAUAGAAGACUUCAAGAGAUUGAUCUUGAUGAAGAAGUCCUUUCCAAGAUAGCUCCUCUGCUCGUUGAGUCUUCUGACGACUUUAGAAGUAGAAGCGAAAGAAGAAGAUGCUUUUAUUCUAUCAAGUUGUUCUUUAAUGGCUUUAGCGAAAUCUGAUUUAGAUUCUUGAACAAGCUUUUGACUAUGUUUCGAAACCUGAAAAGGUUUGAAAAUAGGUAUAUAUAUAUAAAGUUAGGACUAAAAGAGCUGAUGUGACAUCACUAUUCCUUAUCUUUUUAUAUUCUCUAUUAUCUAAUAUAUUCAACAAUAUGUAACCAUUAAAAUAAUUAAUUAUAAGUCUUAGAAACAUUCAUUUCUUUUAUUAUGCUAGCAAUUAAACUUUUGUGACUUAAAAUACAUCAGUCAACUAAUUAAUAUAAGAAUGAAGACUAUUUCAUCUUCCCUCAAUAAUAUAUAAAGCUGGGACUAAAAGAGCUAAUGUGACAUCACUAUUCCUCAUCUUUUUAUAUUCUCUAUUAUCUAAUAUAUUCAAUAAUACGUAACCAUUAAAAUAAUUAAUUAUAAGCUUUAGAAACAUUCAUUUCUUUUAUUAUGCCAGUAAUUAAACUUUCGUGGCGUAAAAUACAUCAAUCAACUAAUUAAUAUAAGAAGGAAGGCUCAUUCAUCUUCCCUCAAUAAUGCCACUACCAGGGCCUAAUUUUAAUGCCAUAAUCUCAUAUUUAAUUAUACAACCUUUUGUUUAGUGCCUUUUCGCUUCUUCAAACUCUCUAAACACUAAGUAUUUAAGAUUUGUUAUGUUUGGAUAUUUUUUUUUAUUUAACCAACAUCAUCUUUAGAAAGAUUCUUGUGUUUUUAUUGUUUGACUUAUUUGAAUUUUUAGUAUUAUGUGCUUCAUGUAGUACUCUUUUCUUCAUGAGUUGAAUAAUGAUGGAGACAGUUGAAUGAUAAGGGUUAGGCUUUGUAGGAUAUGAGAGUCUGUUAAUACCAAGAAAAAUGGAGAAUUGAUUAGUGUGGAUAUGAUUUUUAUUGAUGAAAAUGUUGUAUAAAAAAUUCAUUCUCCUAUUGUUUUCUCUAAUUAUCUUUUUUUUUUCCAACUGUUUUACACUUAAUGCAACAUUUUUUUUCGUAGGAAAAUCUAAUGCAUGCAACAAUCAGGAAAAAAUUAGUGACAAGAUUUAGGCAAAUGUUGAGUAAGGUUCUUUGUACAGUGUCAAGAAUUUGAAAGUUGUUUCAACUAUAGGCGAGUACAAACCACUUUCAAAUUAGUAUAAGAUUAUUUUCUUGGUUAUAAUUUCGCUUAAGAGGUUAAAAGAAUGAACUGUUAAGAUUCGGAUCAAUGGAUUUCGAUUCGUAUCUCUAAAUUUGAUUGAUUUACGUGUGAAUGAUAACACAAUCCUCUCAAGUAUUUAUUAUAAUUAUUACUGUUUGUUAAUCUUUAAGUGUAUAUUAAAAUUAUUGAUCCUUAUGUUUUAAUAUGUUUAUGUUAUUUUUCCAUGAUAUUACAGAUGUUGUUGGAAGUUUAUGGGGUGUUUGUGACAUUGAGAUCAUUGGAGCUGGUUGGAAAAAAAGAGAUAUAAAAGUUCUGACAUAUUAGUAAGUUGAAUAAAAUCAAGAAAACUAUGAUUAUAUUUUUUUGGGAAAUUAUCAGCUAUAUACCCUUAAAUGACACCCAUAUCAAACGUGUGUGAACACUUUUCAAGUGUAUCACUCGUAUACCCUAAGUUGACAAAACACUUCUGUCAUCCACCAAUUCAUUAACUUCCGUUUGCAAGUGCUGACAUCAUAAAAGUAAUCUAGUCCUUUAAGAUGGAUGAAACUUUGAUUAAAAAAACCAUGUCAUCCCAUUUACCUAGUAAAAAAUGACAUGUCAUAUGAUAUAUAUUGAUAAAAAUGACAUGUCAUAUGAUAUAUAUUGAUAAAAAUGACAUGUCAUCCCAUUUAUCGGAUAAUUGUUAAUAAUUGCUAAAAAAAAAACUGCUUUACAACUAAAUCUACUCCUCUAAAAUUUAACCUAAUUUUUUGAAGAUCUACUCGUCUAAACUCCAAUUGAAAUUUUUUAUGGUAUAAUAUGUAUAAUUGUAAAUAAUACGUUGUUAAUAAUUUUUUAUGGUAUAAUAUGGAUAUUUUUUAUGGAUAAUUGUUAAAACUAUGUACCAUAAUAAUUCAUUUUUUUGAUAAAAAAAUUUAUUGUUAAUAAAAAAAUAAAAAUAAAAUUGUGUAUUGAAAAUUUACGUUAAUUUUUGGGACAUAUUUAUCUUUUUACCUCAUUUUGAAUUUCAAUGGCGAAAUAGUCAAUUUGCCACAAUUUUGUUAACUUUCUAAUGGAAGUUAACGAAUUGGUGGACGGCAGAAGUGUUUUGUCAACUUAGGGUAUACGAGUGAUACACUUGAAAAGUGUUCACACACGUUUGAUACGGGUGUCAUUUAAAGGUAUAUGACUGAUAAUUUCCCUAUUUUUUUUUAGUUAUUGUUUUAUCAUAAGAAUUGAUCAACAGUUAUUACUUAAUUUUUAAUUUUCUUUUUCAAUGAAUACAUCCAAUAUUUGUUGAAGAAAAACUGUUAAAAGUACAAUGAAAAAGGGUAUACGCCUUAGAGAUUAUUCAACAUAUUUACAAGAAAAAUGAAUAAUACUAAAUUCUUUUUUCAAAGCCGCGCGAAACACAUUUUUAUUUCCUAGUUUUUAAUAUAUCUUGUGUAAAAAUCUAACUUUCAUUCAACCAACCAUAAUUAUCAUGCUCAAAUUCUACAUUGCUACAAGAAGUCAAGAAAGAGUUUAAUGGGGGAGAAAAUAUUUUCAUUACCGACAUUAUAAAUGGACCCCGAUUAUAUUUAAUGGAGGACAAAGUAUUUUUCUCACAUUUACAUUAUCUUCGGCGGGACUCCACUUGUAUUCGAAGAUUUUCUUUCAUGUCACAUUUACCAGGUGUUUAAAUUGCCAUUUCUUUUUUGGAAAAUAUCCACCGUCCACCUGAUUUUGUCCACUUUUUUAAAAAUACACAAAUCUUAAUUUUUUUAGCUGCGCUUCACCUGAACUUAUAAUUUUUUUCACAUUUCCACCUCUGUCUGCAAACUGUCAAUAAAACUAACGGAAUUUUUUCCAAAUUACUUUUUAACCCCAAAAAUAAAAAAUUACAAAUUUACCCUAAAUAAAUGCCAAAAUAUUAGCUUUGUGAGUAUUAUAGCCCUAAAUAAAGACUGAAAAUCUUUAAAUCCUUUCAAAAAUUUUAUUUUUUAAACAAAUAUUAUAAAAUCUCGCAAUCUCGCAACACAAAAGGACCCCACAUUUUCUCAGGAACCAAACAGGAACAUACGGAAGAAAGCGAACCUGCCAGAGAACGAUAGGAUUGGAAGUCCGCUCGGCGGGCUCUUCGGCCUCGAGCUCAAUCGGCGGCGGAAGAAUCGGACGCGUGGCGUCCGGAAACCUAGCCAAGCUCGGCUUCACACCACUAGCAUUACCGUCAUUGGCUUCACUAACCGUUGACGUUUUGGCAGUCCCUUUAGAAACAACAGUUUCUUUUGCUUUCUUAGGUUGUUGAUUAAAGAAGAAAGGGAGAUUGAGUUGGAAUUUCGGCAACCGCGAGAGUAUGAUUUUGUUUUCUUGUUUUCUGAGACUGGAAGCAAUUUCUGUGUUUUCCGCCAUGACUACGGUCGAUGACUUUCAGAGUAGAAGAUUUUGGCUUUGGCUUUGCUUUUUUUUUUUAAAAAAGCGAAAAUUUCACCACCUCCCGUUUCUUGCUUGCUUCUACAGCUUCUCUUUCUUCCCCUUCACUUUUAUUUCUCUCUUGCUUAUUAUUAAAUAUUGGAGCAGAAAAUAAUAAGUUUGUAAAGUGUGCGAACAUGUUUUUGGGUUCUUUUGAGUCUUUAUUUUCGCUCUCACUUUGUGUGUCUUGCGCAGCCUUGAAUGCGAAUGUGGUGAGUAGAGACCAGAGAAUAAUUAAGCUUUGAGCUUCGAGUUUAUCAAAGCUUUUGUUUGGGUUCUUGAAACUGAAAUACCUUUUUUUUUUCUUAUUACAGAUCUUAAACGACGUCGUUUUUUAAGCCCAAGUGAAAUUAUCAUUUUAGCCUUAUGACGUCAGCAACGUCUUGAUGGUUUGCAAACGGAGGUGGAAAUGUGAAAAAAAUUAUAAGUUCAGGUGGAGCGCAGUUAAAAAAUUUAGGAUUUGUGUAUUUUUUAAAAAGUGGACAAAAUCAAGUGGACGGUGGAUAUUUCCCCUUUUUUUUCUUUCUGAAAACCUUAUUUUCUAACCACUGAUUCGAUUUCUUUAUGAAUCUGACGGUUUCCCUUGUAUGUGUGUAUAUAUAUAUAUAGACACACAUUGAUGCUUUGAUGGCUCCAAACUAUUUUAGAUUGCAGUCGUAGUUAAAUGAAAGAUCGUCUAAUAUUGCCUGUGAGAUUUUAGUAUCAUAAUUUUGUUCAUAUUUUCAUAGAGAUGUUGAAGUUUCAGGUACAACUCAUUCUAUUUCAAGGUCCCAUCACUUUACAAUAUUAUAUAAUUAGUUCGUAAGGGAAUUUGAGCCUAUGCAGGCAGAACAUGCCAACUUUGCUACUGGCAUUGACCUGAAGGUCAACAAAACUUCUAAUUUAAAUAAGCAUUGACCUCAAGGUCAAUGCCUCCAAGAUAGAUCAUUAGUGAGGGUGUUUAUAUGUAUUCAACUUGUGAGAGAGACCUAAGUCUAAAUGAUAUAAUCCAAUGGAUGCACUUUCGCUCUUGUUAAUCUGUUGCAAGUUACUAUUUAUCUUGUUAGGAAUAUUGUAGAAGGCUCCAAAAGACUCCAGUAAGUUCAGGGUUGCUUCAGGUACAGCUGCUGAUGUUGAAGAAGCUUAUGCUCAGGAAGUUAGUUAUCAUUCACACGUGUGUGUAAGCCAGCAUGACAUUAGUCUGUUAUGAAUAGUACAACUGUCACAUUGUUAUUAGUUGUAUAUUAGAUGAGUUUGUUACAUUGAUAUUGUAUAAAUACCCGCCUCUGUAUACAUUCAUAAGCAAUUAAGAAAUGAAUUAAAAUCUUUUCUUCUUCAUUCAAUAUUUUCUCUCAGUUUCUUGCAAACCAACACUUUACUAUAAAUCUUUGCACGGUAUCACAGCCAUACAAGGAAAAUUUAUAAAAAUAACCAUAAAAGUUUAACAAAUUACAAAACUAACCACACAUAUUUUUUUUAUUAUCAAAACUAGCCUAAUAACAAAAUUUUGGACCAAAGUACCCCCUUCAAUCUCACCCAAGCUCACUAAAAUCUCUCACUCACUUAAACCUCUUACCUAUCGCCAGCACCGUAGAGCAACAUCGGAGUUUAUCGUCGGCGGCGAAUCUCACCGGAAUCACAUCCAAUAACACCAAUUCCACCAAAAUCAUGUCUAAUAGCAAUCAAGAUCUCCGAGAUCAACAGUUGAAGUUCAAAAACCCUAGGUUAGCAAUUUCAUAUACAUGAUUUAUUUUAUUCUUAUGUUGUGUUGUGGUUGUGUGUUGUUGUUGUUGUGGUGGUGUUGGUGGUAGUGGUGGUGGAGGUUGUUGGUGGUGUUAAUGUAUUAUUGGAGUGUGUUACCUAGAAAAUCUUGCAAUGGGUGCUGACCAAUUCGCGAAGAUUCGCACAAUGGGCAGCGCCCAUCGCAUGAAAUUUUGUGCGACAGGUGCCUGUCGCAACAACUUUUGUGCGACAAGCAAGCCAUCGCACAAAAAUUCAGAUUACAUAAUUUGAACUUUUGUGUGCAGGGUGGUCGUCGCACCAUGUUUUGUGAGACAGCUCGCCCGACACUCAAAAAUUCAGAUUUGACAAAAAUUCAACCUAACACAAAAUUAUAAUAUAUGCGGCGACUAUUUUUUAGAGGUCAUAACUUAGGCUACAUGUAUCCAUUUUUGCGUAUAAUAUACCGUUUUGAAGCUUGCGAGGAAACGACUCAAACCCACAAGCUUGUUUGCCAGUCUCCUCUAUGGCCAAAUAAAAAAAUUACCUCAAGUUAAGUGUGACAAGCACUUAUUAUUACUGUUUCUGCGAUAUCCAUGUAAAAUGUGUUGUAUAUUCACUUUAUCAUGCUUUGUAGUGUGUAACCACAUUUGUUUUAUUUUUUUUUAAUAUUUUCAGGUUUAACGAAUUUAAUUAUGCUUCAAUUGUAUUAUGACGGUUGGUGUGAGACGUUGGCGGAUGGACGUAUGGAGUAUGUGAAUGACAAUAAUACAACUUUUCUAAUUAAAAAAGAUUGUACGUUUAAUUAGUUUCUGACAAGAGUUGAUGAUGUUUGAUAGAUAAAUCGUAAUGAAUACAAUAUCACCAUGAAGGCAACUUUGAGGUCUAGAAAUACAAUGUAUCGUACAUGUUCACUACAUAUGGACAUAUUUAACGACGAAAUGGUCAAGGUUGUGUUACAUAUAGCCUCAGAUGUGAUAAAUUACGGAUGCAUCUCUGUAUUUGUUACCACACCUCCUCGAGUUGAGAACCAAAAUGUUGAGCCACCAGUAAAAAUUGAAACUUCCUUCAGAGCAAAUGUCUCUAUCCUCGAUAGUGAAGAAGAUGUAUUACCACAGACACUGCCCUUACAACAAUGUUACUCUCCACUCCAUGACAACAAUGACACCAUUAAUGACAAUGGCAUUACCUUAGCAGAUGAAAAAGAAGUGUUACCAAUAACAACGUCGUUAGAGCAACAUUACUCUCCAUUCUACAAUAAUAGUUUUCGCAAUAAUGAUGAUUCUAUUGAUGACAUCGGCGACACAGAAGUAAAUAAUGUUUGUAUGGAGCCAUAUAAUAAUACAACAGACAAUCAUUUCAAUAGUUUAGUUCAUGAUGGGGGCGUCGGUCAUUUUGAUAUUCCUACUAAUGAUAAAGAUGAGGAUAAGAAUGAUAUUCCUAUUAAUAAUAUAGACAACCAACAUAUUCCUUCAGUGCCCAUUCGAGAAGGAAAACAAUAGUUGACCACCUUGUAAGUUUUGCUCCAAUUUUACCCUCGAACUUGGUUGCUCCAAACUUGGUCAGAAAUUAUAAUUAUGAUGAUAUUGGUGUGGGUAAGUUGUUUGAUGAGAAGAAUGAGUUAAUACUAGAACUACGUAAAGUUUCCUUGAGGGGUAAGUUCGACAACAACACGUUUCAAGACCCAAUGUUCUUCGGAAACAUGUAAAUGGAGUAUUUGAGCAAUAAGAGCUUCGAAUGACCAGAAUGUUUCUUAGUUAGUGAGAAUAGUUGAUAAUGUAUACACUUGUUAUAAUAAGGUAAUGUAAAGUCAAAAUUCAAGAUGUCCAAAGCUCUAUGUAAUGAAUUUGAGCCUGCCUUCGUAAACGUAGCAAAAACAUAUAGACACGAAGAAUUUAAAAAAUAACUUGAGAGGUUGUAGCAAUUCCACACAGGUGCGGUUAACUACUUAGAGAAUAAUAUAGGCACGUGUAAUUGGGCAAGGUCUGAGUUUGAAGAUAGGAAGUAUAAUAUUCUUACCACCAACAUUGCAGAAAGCAUGAAUUCUUUCAUGAGGGAACCGCGCAAAUUGCCUAUAACUCAUCUUGUUGAUCACUUUAGGAAAACAUUACAGCAAUGGUUUUAUGAUAAUAAAAUUAUAGUUGAAUCGAUGAUUACUAACAACGUGGGCAGAUGAAAUAGUCUUUGACAGGAGAACUUGAGCCGAAAGAAUGAUUGUUCGUCCUAUGUCUCAGCAUCGAUUUCAUAUUUUGGGUGGUGGUAUUAAAGAGGGGAUAAUUAAUAUAUGUGACAAGACUUACUCCUGUAAAGUAAUCCAACUUGAUCAGCUUGUCUGUGCACAUGCAAUUACUGCUUGCCUAACUGUACUAGUGGAUUACAUAAGCCUUUGUUCUGAAUUUUACACUAAGGAAUCAUUGGUGACAGCUUAUGCACAACCAAGUAGAACCAGUUGACCACAUGGCAGAUUAGGAGGUUCCUGAGGAAAUCUGAGCAAUGAAAGUUAACCCACCAAUAGAAGCACCACCAUCUGGUCGUCGUCUAGAGCUUAGAAUACCAUUUGUUGGUAAAUAUGUAAACAACAGAAUUGUAAGAUGUGGGCGGUGCAACGAAACGGGCCAUAACCGCAAGAGAUGUAAGAAUCUUAUUGCAUCGAGAUGAAACUAAUUGUAUCGUUCCAAAUACUUAUGUAUUUUGAGCACUUAUUUUUUAUUGAUUGCAUAAUUAUAUAUAACGAAGUAUUUAAUUUGAAUUAUAUUGCAAAAUAAUUAUUUGAAUUAUAUGUAAAAUAGAAACGUUUCGCAUACAUCAAUAUUCAGAUGAAUACAAUAGCCUAAAUUCUGAUAUCACCAUUAAAUAUGUCCACAACAAUCUUCUUCCUAAAGUACUGGCCAUGGAUACCACUAAAAUCAAGUCUAAGUCUGAACAUUAAAUAUAUUAUAAACAUCAACCAAAAACCACCGAAAAGUCUUGUAACUAGGCACCACUCUCCGAUCGAUAAACAUGUCAAAUGCUCUCUUAUUUGAAACCACAACUGAUCUUCAUUGGUUUCUUCAUGUGUGACUAGCCUAAGCAAUAUGUUGUGGAUUAUAACACCAUUGAACGCAUAACUCUCGAAAUCCAUGAAGUGCCCGAAAAAUAUCAUUCUUGAAUAACGAUAAUUGUUUUCCCGUUAACUUACUCUAGAUAGCUUGGACGACUCUCUUAAAUUUCGAUGUCUUUAUAAUACGACCCGAGAAAUGAUCAUCAGAGCCUAACUUCAUCAUGCCUGGAUCUUUUCUUCGUGCGGGUGGAUUACGCUUUGCCAAUUUAUUUUUUCGCCACGUAUCUAUAACAAAAUCAAAUUUUUAUUCGUUAUUUAAAUUUACAAAAAUAUUACAAUAAAAAUUUAAAAUAAAAUUUACGAAAAAAAUACAAAUAAACACAAAUUAUGCAACAAAAUACACAAUCUGUGCACAAUCUUUAUUUUUUUACUACGAGAGCCCCUCGCAUGUAAUUUUGUGUGAGGGGCAACCCGUCGCACAAAAACACAUCAAGUGCUAAGUACAUAGGCUCUGCGUUUUUGUGCAACGAGAUGCCAAUUGCAUAAUGCCAUUGCACCAGAUUUUGUGGGAUGGCUAGCCCAUCGCACCAGAUUUUGUGCGAUGGCUAGCCCAUCGCACCAAGUUGGGGCGAUGGCCAGCCAUAGCACGAAACUCACGCGAUGGGCUGCUGCCCGUGAGCGAGUUUGGCGUGAUGGCUGAUGUUGCCCAUCGCACAAAAUUCGCACGAUGGGCUGUUACAUGUCGCGCAAAUUCUGUCCAGUGGGCAGCAGCAGCCAUCCAACACCCACAAAAUACAUACAUAACAACAACCUCACCCAUCCCACUUGCAACACAACAACCUCACCCACCAUCGCCAUAAAAUACCACAAAUAUUCAAUCUAUCACCACCGCCACCAACAGAACACAAUAACAACACAAAAUCACAAUGCAAAUAAAAAAAAAAAGUAAUAACUCACCUAGGGUUUUGAAUUUUAACUGUUGAUUUCAGAGAUCUUAGAAGAUUUUGAAUGUGAUAUAGCUUAUUUUGCCACUGACGAUGGACUCAAAUGCUGAUCUACACCACCGAUGAUGUGUAAGGGAUUUCAGUGAGAGGGAGAGGAUUUGGUGAGAGAAAAUGGUGAAAAUGAUAGGGGUAGUUUGGUUAUCAAACUUGGUGUUUGGCUAAUUUUGAAUGAAAAAAAAUCAGGAGGUCAAAUUUGAAAAAUGCAAAAGUAUUGUGACCAAUUUUGUAAAUUUCCCCAAUCAUGGCAAAUACAAACACGAAAACAUCAUCUUCAUUAUCCUUCAGCUUCAUGCAACCUGUCAAGCUAGAUCGAGCUAGUUACCUUGUGUGGAAAACACAAGAUCUUGCAUCAAUAAUUGGAAAUGAUCUUGGAGGUUUCAUCAAUCGUGAUAAACCUUGUCCUACUUAAUUUUGACUGAAUCAUAUGAAGAAUCAAACAAAUUUGAGAUCAUUCCUACAAGGAAAACUGAAAAUCUAGAAUAUAUUGUAUGGAAGAAAAUUGAUAAGUUGCUUUAGAGCUGGAUGUUCUCUUCAAUGGUAGACAAUGUGCUGAUAAUGGUGAUGAGAUGUGAGACUUCACAUGAAGUAGGGAAGAGACUUGCUGAGAUCUUUAUGUCUCAAUCUAAGGCAAGUCACAUUCCUCUGUUGAUCCAAAUACGAGCACAAGAAUACAGAGUCCACGUUGCUCAAAGGGAUUGCUAGAAAUGGACUUUAUCAAGUGAAAGGUUUAACCCAUUUUAUCAUUCAAAUAAAUCUUAUGCCCUGUCAUCUUCUAAAUCUCUAUUUAUUGUCAAUUCCAAGUUUAAUCCUUUGUCUACAUUUUCACAAUGUACUGUAGCAAAUGCAAUGCUUUCUUUUGAUGUAAACUCAUUUAAAUUCAAUAAAGAUGUCAAAGUGGCCUUGUUUACUCAUCCUGUCAAAUCUUUUAAUUGCAAUGUAAUGCAUAAAUGAUUGGGACAUCCAACAAUUCAUGCUUGAAACAGGUUAUGAAAAAUCUUGAUCAUACAUUCCACCUAAAUAAACAUAUCACACCUCAUCUUUGUAGUGUAUGUUAGUUUAGUAAAAGUCAUAUGCAACAUUUUGUAGUGCACGUUAGUUUGGUAAGAGUCAUAUGCAUAAAUGAUUGGGACAUCCAACAAUUUAUGCCUUGAAAGAGGUUAUGAAAAAUCUUAAUCAUACAUUAAACCUAAAUAAACAUAUCAAACCUAAUUUUGUAGUACAUGUUAGUUUGGUAAGAGUCAUAUGCAAUAUUUUCCUUCAAUUGCAACAACAAUACAUCUCUUAGAAAUAACAUAUACAUAUAUUCAGGGACAAGCCCCUAUUUUGUCAUCCCAAGGUUACCAAUAUUAUCUGUCUAUUCUAGAUUCACUAGGUUCACUUGGAUUUUUCCCCUCUUUGCAAAAUCCAAAGCCCUACAAACAUUCAAAGAAUUCAAGACAAUGAUUGAAAAUAGUCUAUCUAGUAAAAUCAAGUAUUUAGAAACUAGUUUAGAAAACAAUCUUUCACUCCUUCGAGAGGGAUUCAUCAAGGGGACCCCUUAUCACCUUAUAUUUUUGUGUUAUGUGUAGAACGCCUGAGUCAUGGGAUUAAUAGUGAAGUCAAAAAGGGCGUUGGCAGCCUGUUUGUUUGAAUCGCAAUGGAGUCCCCCUCACUCAUUUGUUCUUUGCGAAUGAUCUCUUACUACUUUUGGAGGCGUCUCUAGACCAAGCCCAAGUUAUUUCUGAGGUGCUUGAUUUUUUCUGUCUUGCAUCUGGUGAAAAAGUCAGCAAAGAAAAAAUCAAUAUUUAUUUCUUUAAAAAUGUUAGAGUUGAUGAUAGGCGUGAGAUUGUUUAUGAGCUUGGUUUUUAUGUGACUGAUAACCUAGGCAAUUAUCUUGGUGUUCCAUUUUUACAUAAUAGAGUUAACAAACACACCUAUAAGGGUGUCCUUGAUAAAGUCCAACAGCGCCUCACUGGAUGGAACGCCCUUAAUCUUUCUUUGGCUGGCAGAGUCAUGCUUGUUGUUGAGGGUUAGAAAAUGUAUAUUUAUAAAGGAGAAAAUUAUCAUUUUAUAUUUCAAGUCUUACUAACACCUUUAAUUUUAUGUAUUUAAGCUUCUUGUGAUUUAAUUACGUGUGUUUUAUUUUAAUUAAGUAUUUUAUGUAUUUUAGGGGCAUCAUGGUCAUUUUACAAUGAACGAGAAAUCAGAAGUCAAAACGGACAUCACUUUUGAACUCAGGACAGUCGAAAACCUUAGGAGGAGCAUAAAAGGAAAAAUGUCAUUGUUCGCAUGUACAACACUAUUCACAUGUACGAUAUUGUCCAUGUUACUGUUCAUGACACUGUUCACACAUACGAUACGAUGACGUGGCAUUGACCGAUAAUGUGGCAUUGACUGAUGAGGUGUCACGAUUUUAUUAGAUAAAAUUUAUAUACACUGUUGAUCGGUGACGUGACAACAUGUUAGUGGACCAAAAAUCGUGCGUACGGUACAUGCAUAUACACAUGAUUAUUUUCGAUCAAACCGCGUCACUGUUCAAGCCGGUUGACUGUUCAAACCGUGUGGUCAAACUGCAUACUGUUGACUAAUGACGUGGCGUAAUCCUGAUCGUCCAACCUGUUUUUAAUCUAAUGGUCAUAAUUUACUCAAUGUAUCUAUAAAAAUGGGGUCUCCCCCCUCUAAUUGGAUAGCUCUGAAUCCAUUUUUGGACUCCAUUUUCUGUAAUUCCUUCUCCAUCUCCAAUUUCUGAUAGUUCAUGGGUUAGUCAUGUACAAGUUGUCCCCAAAAAGUCAAGAAUCACAAUAGUUACCAAUGUUGAUAAUGAAUUGAUACCCACUAGAGUGACUACAGGAUGGCGUAUAUGCAUUGAUUAUAGAAAGUUGAAUUCUGUCACACGUAAAAACCAUUUUCCUUUACCAUUUAUCGAUCAAAUGAUUGAUAGAUUAGCAGGCCAUGAAUUUUAUUGCUUUCUAGAUGGCUACUCAAGAUAUAAUCAGAUUCUCGUAGCACUAAAAGAUCAAGAGAAUACCACUUUCACUUGCCCUUUUGGCACUUUUGCAUAUAGGAGGAUGUCAUUUGGAUUAUGUAAUGCACCUGCUACAUUUCAACGAUGCAUGUUAAGCAUUCUUUCUGAUAUCGUUGAACGAUUCCUUGAAGUCUUUAUAGAUGACUUUUCUGUUUUUGGUGACUCAUUUGAUCAAUGUUUACAUCAUCUAACACUAGUUCUGCAGAGAUGUAUCGAGAAGAACUUAGUCUUAAAUUGGGAGAAGUGUCAUUUUAUGGUAAAACAAGGUAUUUUUCUCGGUCACAUAUUUCGAGCAAAGGUAUUGAGGUUGACAAAGCAAAGGUGGAUCUUAUUUCUAAUAUUCCUCCACCUAAAACAGUCAGAGAAGUAAGAUCUUUCCUUGGGCAUGUUGGUUUUUAUAGACGUUUCAUUAAAGAUUUUAGCAAAGUUUCUACACCCUUAUGCAAUCUACUUGCUAAGGAUGUACAUUUUGUCUUUGAUGAUUCAUGUCUUAUGGCAUUUGAAAAAUUAAAACAUUUAUUGACAUCAUCACCCAUCAUUCAGCCCCCAAACUGGAGCUUACCAUUUGAGAUCAUGUGUGAUGCAUCUGAUUAUGCAGUAGCAGCAGUAUUAUGACAAAAAGUUGAUCGAAUUCCCCAUGUUAUUUACUAUGCUAGUAUGACAUUGAAUGAUCACAGUUGAACUAUUCAACUACUGAAAAAGAAAUGCUAGCAGUAGUGUUUGCAUUAGAAAAAUUUCGAUCUUAUCUCAUUGGUUGUAAAAUAAUUGUGUUCACAGAUCAUAUUGCUCUUAAAUAUCUUCUAAAAAAAACAGAUGCAAAAGCUAGACUAAUUUGUUGGGUGUUACUUUUGCAGAAAUUCAACUUGGAAUUUAAAGAUAAGAAAAGCACAUAAAAUAUUGUGGCAGAUCAUCUCUCUCGUCUCCAUUUUGACACAAUUAUGAAAUUAUUACCGUUGAAUGAGUCAUUUCCAGAUAAAUAAUUGAUGAGUGUGGAAGUAUUACCGUGGUAUGCUGAUAUCAUUAAUUAUCUUGUUACAGGUCAACUUCCAGAGCAUUGGACCAAGCAAAACAAAGCCAAUUUUUUUUGCAGAAAUAAAGAAUUUCUUUUAGGAUGACCCUUAUUUGUUCAAGUAUUGUGCUGAUCAAAUUGUUAGACGAUGUGUCCCAAAAAAUGAAAUUCAUAAUAUUCUUUCAUUCUUUCAUGAACAAACUUGUGGAGGCUAUUUCAAUGCUAAGAAAACAACAACUAAAGUUUUACAAUGUGGUUUCUAUUGGUCAACUAUAUUUCGAGACGCUUACACUUUCUGUUCUUCAUGUGAUAGGUGUCAACGAAUAGGGAGCAUUACACGAAAGAACAUGAUGCCACUAAAUCCAAUUUUAGUGGUUGAGAUUUUUUACGUAUGGGGUAUCGACUUCAUGGAACCCUUUCCCCCUUCUUUUGGCCAUCAAUACAUAUUGGUUGUUGUUGACUACAUAUCGAAAUGGGUAGAAGUAAUUCCAUGCAGAAUCAAUGAUCACAAGGUGGUGAUAGGAUUUUUGAAAAGCAACAUUGUUUCACGCUUUGGAUUCCCUCAAGCGAUAAUCAGUGAUGGUGGUGCCCACUUUUGUAACAAAGCAUUCAAAGCUCUUUUGACAAAGUAUUCAAUCAUUCACAAAGUGGCGACCCCAUAUCAUCCGCAAACCAGUGGCCAAGUUGAGAUCUCCAAUCGAGAAAUAAAGAACAUAUUAGAAAAGACGGUGAGGCCAAACAGAAAAGAUUGGUCAUUAAGACUUGAUGAUGCAUUAUGGGCAUAUAGAACGGCUUUUAAGACCCCGAUUGGGAUGUCACCCUACAGGCUAGUUUAUGGAAAAGUUUUCCACCUACCUGUGGAACUCGAGCAUCGUGCAUAUUGGGCCAUCAAGAAAUUUAACUUUAACAUGCAGCAAGCUAGCUCAGAAAGAAGAUUACAACUAGCAGAACUUGAAGAAAUUCGCAAUGAUGCAUACGAAAAUGCCAAAAUUUACAAGCAGUGAAUGAAAGUCUUCCAUGACAAGCAAAUUAUGAGAAAACCUUUCACUCCAGGUCAGAAAGUGCUUUUAUUCAAUUCUCGCUUGCACUUAUUCCCAGGUAAGUUACACUCUUGAUGGUCUGGCCCCUUUAUUGUUCAUAUUGUUUUUCCACAUGGGGCAAUUGAAAUUAAGGACCCAAAGAACGGUGUCACAUUUAAAGUUAAUGGUCAAAUAUUAAAGUCAUAUCUAGAGUACCAACCACAUGGAGAGGAUACCAAAAUAAAUUUGAGUGACCCACCAGGUUUGAAUUGAGUUUUUUUUCUUUCUUUUCGGUGAUUUGAUUUUUUUUUUCUUUCUUUUUAUUAUUCUUUUGCUAAUUGAAAUUAUUUUUGCAUAAGUGUGUUUGUUUAACUAUUAAGUUUUCUCUUAUCAUUAUUAAUCAUGAGUGCCAUAGCUAAACAAUUCCUUCUGGACAUUCUUAAACCACUUCAACGUGUAAAAUCUCAUCUCAAAAGGCAGAUUUGAUUUUGUAAAACACAUCGUAUUUGGGCUCUGCAACCACCAGAGUUAGUAUCCUAUGUUGAGGAUUUAGAAAGUCAACUCAGAGACAUUGAAAGAAGUGUCUAUAACAUCCAGUUAGAUCUUGAGGUAAAUUCAAUAAGAGGACGAUUGUAAUUUUCUUUAUAUGUUUUAGUUUGUUUUACUUUAUUUGUGUGCUUUAGUUUGUUACCCCGAUGAAGUGGCGGAUAACGGUACUCCGUGACAAUCAAGUCGGUUACUUCAGUUUCCCGUAAUAACUGAUAUUCUGAGGCGAAGAUAUGGACAGGAACGAGAUUUUAGUAAAGCUUCACAAUCGAUUCCCUUCAUUUCCUCAAAAUGCCCCCUUACAAUCUAUAAAGCUCGAUUUGAACGCAUGCGAUUGCUCAUGAGGAAUAACAUACCUGCUGACAUCCGUUGGUUAAUCGAGGCCAAAGUACGUUUGACAGGUGAGUUACCUCCAAAAUUUAUUGCAUACAUGCCUGGUUGUGGUAAAGAAAAUUAUGCAAGAAAACGAAGAGCUCGAAGAAUUUCUGUUGCUUGUCAUAAAUGUGCUAGAAUGAAAUGCAAUAAAAACCCAUGUUCUUUAGGAAUGUUGUCUGAUAACAGGGAAGAUAAGAUUCAAUUCAUUAGGGAUGGCUUGAAUAAGGAGUCAUUGGAUGAUAUCCUUUUGUCUCUUGAAACGCAUCCCAGUGGAUAUGUGCAAGGAGCGAUUCUCUAGUUAUGGCCAUUAUUCCAGAAAGAGCAUGCACGAUAUAGUCUCGGGAAUCUGACUAUAAACGACCAUGUUUGCCAAUUUAUAAGAAAACUGGAUGGGAAGCCUAUCCUCGACCCAUAGAGGGCGUUCAAGCCGUUUCUAGACGUAAAACCAGAGGAAGAUGUGAGCCACAGUCGCAACUACUUGUAAAUAUCCUUUUACUUCAUUGUUGUUUUAUUUUACUAUUGUUUUAUCAUUUGCAUUAUUGUCUUUAAUAAUUUUAUUUUAUCAUUUUUUUCCUUUUUACUAUUUACUUUUUGACUAUUGAGUCAUGUGCUUUACGCAUUAAUUGACACUGACAUGCUACCUCAUACACAGUUGUGACCCAUUGUCACAAAGAUUCUUAAAUAUGAUUUUUUGUCAAGCACUCACAAAUUAUUUUUUAGAAGUAUCCCAAUGGCAGCUACUCCCAAUAGACAAUUCAAGAACAUUUGUAUGCUUUCUAGAUUUAACUAUGGAAAACAUUUAGAGUUCGUUGAGGCAGCCAUAAAUCUUGGUCGAAACAUAGCAGAGAGAAAACUACACUUGGUGCAUGGAAGAGGUAACCGUGGGUUAUCAAAAUUGGUCUCAGAAGCUGCUUUUGUCAGAGGAAGCCAAGUGUUAGGCAUCAUCCCAAGAGCCCUAAAACCUUUGGGCAAUUUUUCUGACUCACCGACUGGAGAAGAGUUAGUCGUCUCAGGUAUGCAAGAAAGAAUAACUGAAAUGCAUAAUCAUACUGAUGCUUUUAUUUUCCUUCCAGUAGAUCUUGCAACACUAGAGGCACUUAUCACACUAGCAUCUUGGGCUCAUCUGUGUUAGCCUAUAUGGCUAUAAAUAUUGAUUUUGAUGAUAACAAACCACAUGUAUUCAUUAAGCAAAGAUUUAUGAAUUGUGCUUUUAUAAUAAGAAAAUGAUGUUAUGAAAUUAAAGUAUUUUGGACUAAAAUGAAAUUCGGUUGUUGGGCAGUAAGCUACUGAGCAUAAGCGGAAUUCCGGAUGUGCAAAGCGGCAAUCCGGAUGUUCAGAAAUUUAAAAUUGUGGCUGUAACGGUAACAUUAAGCGGAAUUCCGGAUGUCCAUAACCGGUAAUCCGGUUACGACCAAAAUGUGCAUAACGGCUAGUUUUUGAGCUCAAAUUAUAUAAACUCAAAUCCUACUCAUUUUGAAGCUCUCCAACAAGCAAAAACAAAAAGCACACGUGAUAUCUUGAGCCUUCAACUUGCAAAACACAAAUUAUUGAAUCAUUCAUUGUUCUUCAUCUUUGAAUAUCUACUCAUUGAGUGAGUUUCAUUGUAACUUUCAUUUCUUCAAUUCAUUUGUAAGAGUUUGAGUGUGUGAGACACUUGAGUGAAGAGAUUGGGAGAUAAUCUCUUUGUUGUAAAGGUUUAUUGACACCUCGAAGUCAAUUGUAAUCGUUAAAGCCUUGGAAAGGCUUGGAUAGUGAAAUCCUCGAGCUUGGAUCGCUUGGAGGCGUGGACGUAGGCGGGGAUUGCCGAACCACGUAAAAAUUCGUGUGUUUGUUUCUCUUCUCCCUUACUCUUUAAUUAUUGUGCUAUUAUUGAACUUAUUGUUUUCAAUUAUUGUUAAGACAUUAGAUUGCUUGUUGUGUGGAUUUGUUAGGAUAAAUUUUAAAAUUCCAAUUCACCCCCCCCCCCCCUCUUGGGCUGCACACUUAUAUUUCAUUUGGUAUCAGAGCUUGGUGCUCUUAUUUAGAUUUAACCAUCUAGAGUUAAAGAUCAAUGGCAACUCAAAAUGAUUCCACAUUUAGGGAAGGGCAGUCCACCACUAGACCACCUUACUUUGAUGGAAACGAUUACCCAUAUUGGAAAACUAGGAUGAGAAUUUACUUGCAAGCCUUAGAUUAUGAGAUUUGGGAAAUCAUUAAUGAUGGUCCUUUCAUGCCUUUGACUAAAAAUGAAAUAGGAGAAGAUAUUCCAAAACCUUCACGGGAUUGGAAUGAAUUUAAAAAGAGAAAAGCUUCUCUAAAUUCCAAGGCCAUGAAUGCCUUGUUUUGUGCACUAGAUAAGAAAGAGUUUCAUAGAGUGUCUAGUUGCGAAAGUGCUAAUGAAAUUUGGCACAAACUUGAGGUUGUCUAUGAAGGCACGAACCAAGUGAAAGAAUCUAAAAUAAGUAGGUACACUCGACAAUAUGAAUUGUUCCAAAUGGAACAAAAUGAAAAUGUGUACUCUAUGUAUACUAGAUUCACGGACAUAGUGAACACUCUAGGAGCCCUAGGAAAGACUUUUUCAAAUAGCGAAAAAGUCAAGAAAAUCAUUAGGUCUCUACCUAAGGAAUGGAGACCAAAAAGGACUGCCAUUGAGGAAGCCAAGGAUUUAAAUGUAUUACCUAUUGAUGAUUUAAUUGGCUCUCUCAUUUCAUAUGAAGAAGAUUUGGCAGCUGAAAAAAGGCAUGAGGAAAAGAAGAAGAACAUUGCUCUCAAGGCUUCAAAACGUGAGAGUGAUGAGGAAAGCGAAAUAGAUGAUGAGGAGCUGGCCAUGUUGGCUAGAAGAUUCAGAAAAUUUUACAAAAAGAAUAAUGAGCAGAGGAAGUUCAGAAGCUACAAGAAUAAGAAAGAGAAGAAGGAGCCAAUCACUUGUUAUGAAUGCAAAAAGCCCGGACACAUACGACCGGAAUGUCCUCUUCUCAACAAACUCAAGAAGAAAGCUAUGGUGGCCACAUGGGAUGAUAGCGAUGACGAAACAAGUGACGAUGAUGAGCAACAAAAAAUGACAAACUUAGCUCUCAUGGCUAUUGGGGAAGAAUCAUGUGAUGAACUUGAUGAGGUAAGUGUUCUUCCCACUUAUGAUGAAUUGCAUGAUGCUUUUAAGGAUUUGCAUGAUGAGCUAAUGAAGAUUGGUAAAAAGAAUAUAUGUCUUAAAAGGAAGAUGAUAGAGCUUAAGAAUGAAAAUGAUUCAUUUAGUGCAAAGAUUACAUGCCUAGAAUUAGAAAAUAAAACAUUGCAUGAUAGUAUUGCAUUAUUUGAGAAUUCUAGCACCUCACAUGAGCACUUAGAGUCACACAUGAAUGACUUGAAAAAAUGAGAAUGAAAUGCUUAGAAAGAAGAGCAAUGAACUAAAUGAAAUUGUGCUAAAAUUCACAAAUGGGCAAAAGAUGUUGGACAAUUUGCUAAACUCACAAAAAUGUGUAUUUGACAAAAGUGGUAUAGGUUAUAAACUGAAUUUGAAACAAAAAUUUUACAAGAGUUAUUUUGUGAAGGGUACAUCUAUUAACAAUAAAAUUGUAUGUCAUUAUUGCAAUCAAGAUGGCCAUAUGAAAAAUAGAUGUGCAGUGAAGAGAAAUGCAUAUUAUGGUAUGAAAUGUGUUUGGGUUCCGAAAGGAACCAUUGCUAACUCUCAAGGACCCAAAAAGGUUUGGGUACCUAAAACUUGAGAUUUUUUCUACAGGGCUCAAAGAAAAAGAAGAAUAAGUGGUACUUGGACAGCGGUUGUUCAAGACACAUGACAGGGAAUUAUUCUUGGUUUUCAAGCUUUACCAAGAUCGAAAAUGGUGGAGAUGUUUCGUUUGGGGAUAAUUCAAAAGGAAAAAUCAUUGGGAUUGGAAAUUUCGGUAAUGUAUCCUCUACUAUCAUUGAAAAUGUGUGUUUGGUUGAAAACUUGAAACACAAUUUGCUUAGUAUUAGUCAAUUAUGUGAUAAAGGAUAUAGAGUUAUUUUUGAUGAAUCAAAGUGUGUUAUUGAGAAUGCAUGUGAUGGGAAAGUCUUAUUUGUAGGAAAUAGAUGUGUUAAUGUCUAUACCAUUAAUAUAGAUUGUGCAUCAACAAACGAGAAAUGUCUCUCCGCAUUGCAUGAUGAUGGUUGGUUGUGGCAUAGAAGAUUAGGUCAUGCAAGCAUGGAUUUGAUUUCAAAAAUCGUGAAAAAUGAUUUAGUAAAAGGUCUUCCAAAAAUCAAUUUUCAAAAAGAUAGAACUUGUGAAGCAUGCCAAUUUGGAAAACAAAUCAAAACUUCCUUCAAAAGCAAGAAUCAUGUCUCCACUUCAAAACCACUUCAAUUGCUUCAUAUAGAUUUAUUUGGACCUUCUAGAUAUGCUAGUUUAAGUGGAAAAUUUUAUGCAUUUGUAAUUGUGGAUGAUUAUUCUAGAUAUACAUGGGUAUUGUUCUUGGCUAAUAAGAAUGAUGCCAUUGAUGCAUUUCGAAUUUUCUAUAAAAAGGUUCAAAAUGAAAAAGGUUAUUCUAUUUCUUGUAUUAGAAGUGAUCAUAGUGGAGAAUUUGAAAAUCAUGCAUUUGAAAAUUUUUGUAAUGACUUUGGCAUUGAACAUCAAUUUUCAUCACCUAGGACUCCACAAUAAAAUGGAGUAGUAGAGAAAAAGAAUAGGUCUAUUCAAGAAAUGGCUAGGACCAUGUUGAAUGAAAACUCUUUGCCGAAGUAUUUUUGGGCCGAAGCCGUCAACACCGCUUGUUAUGUUUUAAAUCGGGUGUUGAUUAGACAUAAUCUUAAUAAAACUCCAUAUGAGCUUUGGAAAGAUAGAAAACCCAACAUUGGUUAUUUCAAAGUUUUUUUAUGCAAAUAUUUUUUUUUGAACACAAAAGAUAAUCUUGGUAAAUUUGAUCCAAAAUCUGAUGUUGGUAUCUUUCUUGGUUAUUCAAAUUCAAGCAAAGCUUAUAGAGUUUAUAACAAAAGAACUUUAGUUGUGGAAGAAUCUAUACAUGUUACAUUUGAUGAGUCUAACCCCUCCUCUACGGAGAAAGUCUUUGUUGAUGAUAAUGCAGAAGAAGAACAACAACAAGUAGCAUCAAAUGACAACCAAGAAGACGCACCACCUGAAAUUCAAGAGGAACAUCAUGAAGAACCAAAUGCAGAGCAAAAUGAAGGUACUUCACAAACACUCCCCAAGGAGUGGAGGUAUGUAUCCUCUCACCCUAAGGAUGUAAUUUUAGGAGAUCCCUCACGAGGUGUUACCACUAGAUCAUCUCUUAGGAACACAUGUGAGCAUGCUGCAUUUAUUUCUCAAAUUGAACCAAAAUCCUUUGCGGAUGCGGAAAAUGAUGAAUCUUGGAUUAUGGCAAUGCAAGAGGAGUUGAAUCAAUUAGAGAGAAAAAAUGUGUGGGAGUUAGUUCCUAAUCCGGAACAUCAAUCCAUUAUAGGUACUAAGUGGGUAUUUAGAAACAAAAUGGAUGAAUCCAGUGUGGUUGUAAGAAAUAAAGCUAGAUUAGUGGCUCAAUGUUACAACCAAGAAGAAGGAAUUGAUUUUGAUGAAACUUUUGCACCUGCAGCAAGGUUAGAAUCCAUUAGGAUGUUGUUAGCAUAUGCAUGUCAUAAGGAUUUUAUUUUCUAUCAAAUGGAUGUUAAGAGUGCUUUCUUAAAUGGAUAUAUUAUGGAGGAAGUUUAUGUAAAACAACCUCCUGGUUUUGAAAAUGAAAAAUUUCCAGAUCAUGUGUAUAAGUUAUCCAAGGCUUUGUAUGGUUUAAAACAAGCACCUAGAGCUUGGUAUGAUAGGCUUAAAAAUUUCUUGUUGGAUAACGAUUUUUCGAUGGGAAAAGUGGACACAACUCUUUUUGUUAAGCAUAAGAACCAAGACAUACUUAUUGUUCAAAUUUAUGUUGAUGAUAUUAUUUUUGGUUCUACUAAUGAGUUUUUGUGUAAAGACUUUUCAUCAUGUAUGAGCCAAGAGUUUGAGAUGAGUAUGAUGGGAGAGUUGAAGUACUUCCUUGGACUUCAAAUCAAACAAAACGAGGAAGGAAUUUUCAUAAACCAAGCCAAGUACGUGAAAGAUCUACUCAAAAGAUUUGGCUAUGAAAAUGGAACGGCAAAAAGCACUCCUAUGAGUACUACCAUCAAGCUGGACAAAGAUGAGAAAGGUAAGGAAGUUGAUAUCAAGACAUAUCAAGGUAUGAUCGGAUCCUUACUCUACUUGACUGCUAGUAGGCCUGAUAUUAUGUUUAGUGUUUGCUUGUGUGCUAGAUUUCAAUCUUGUCCUAAAGAGUCUCACAUGCUUGCUGUCAAACGCAUUUUUCGAUAUUUAAUUGGCACUAUUAAUCUUGGCCUUUGGUAUCCUAGAGGAACUCAUAUUGAUUUAACUUGUUAUUCGGAUGCCGAUUUUGCUGGGUAUAAGGUUGAUAGAAAAAGUACUAGUGGAACAUGUCACUUCCUAGGUCAUUCUCUUGUCUCUUGGUUUAGUAAGAAACAAAACUCGGUUGCGCUUUCAACCACCGAGGCAGAAUAUAUUGCCACAGGUAGUUGUUGUGCACAAAUUCUUUGGAUGAAACAAACCUUUAGAGACUAUGGUAUUAAGCUUGAUCAAAUACUUAUUUUAUGUGACAAUACUAGUGCUAUUAAUCUUUCCAAGAAUCCCAUUCAACAUUCUAGGACUAGACAUAUAGAAAUUAGACAUCAUUUCCUUAGAGAUCAUGUUCAAAAAGGAGAUGUUGUGAUUAAAUUUGUUUCCACUGAAAAUCAACUUGUGGAUAUCUUUACAAAACCUCUUAGCGAAGAGCAUUUUAUAAAGAUAAGACAUGAGCUUGGAAUGAUGAAUGUUGAAUCUUAAUUCAUGUUUUACUAUAUAGCUUGAUAUGUUUGUUAUUAUAUGGAUUUAUGGUUCAUAAAUUAGAUGGCUUGAUAUGCUUGUAAUUUUAUGAUUUUAUGAUUUUAUGUUGCAUGCAUUAAAUGGCUUAUUGAAAGGUUUUAAAUCUCAAAAUGAUUUAAAAUUAAUCACUUUUUAAGGCCAGAAAUAAAAUGGUGUGUGUAGUACAAAUAUAAGAGCUAGCAAAUAUUCCCUUUCUAUUCAUCCGGAAAAAUAUUCUUUCUUAUUGAUUUCUCUCGAGACAAAUUCCGGAUAACCGGAUUUGCUAAGCCUCCUCUCUGCCUCAAAACCGGGUAACCGGUUCUCAAAAUCCGAAAAAUCGAAUUCUAGAGGCAAUUUUCUGUCUCAAAUCGGACUACCGGUUAGCAAAACCGAAAAGCCGGAUUCGCAAGGAACGCUUGCUGGACCAAACCGGAUUUUCAGUUCUGUCAAUUCGGAAUUCCGAAUUCGAGCUGCACCUGGGCAGCAUUCUGAACUUGGUGUCUUCUGGAUCCAACCGGCAAGCCGGUUCGUGUCAUCCGGAAAAUCGAUUUUGCGUGAAGCUUUUGCUGGAACCAACCGGAAUUCCGGUUCAGCUCAUCCGGCAAUCUGUUUUCAAUGUUUCAAGCUUCUGGUCACAACCGGAAUUCCGGUUAGUGCAAACCGGAAAUCCGGUUUAGGGGUUAUUUCACACUGUUCUUCUUCCCUCUUCAAAUGGAAAUCCGGUUCUCUCACUCUCUCUAAAAGCCGUUUGCUUCUCUCUCUUUUUCAAUCGAAAAUCCUUCAUUUUCUAUCUCUUUCACAUCAAAUUGAAUCAAGAAAAUCAUUUCCCAUCACUUCAUUCACUCUAAAGCAUCUUUAAACUUCAUUUUCAACAUCCAAAACUCUAGAUCUCAAAUCAACCUAGGGUUUAUCCGAAUUUUUCUCUCUCUAGAUUUCUCACUCUUAAGCCGUUUUUUAUUCAAAUUGUUUCUCAAAAUCACUUUCAAUCUUCAUCAUCUUCAUUCUCUUUAUCCUUUUUAACCUCAAAUCAAUCAAAUCCAAAUGUCUAGUUCACGGCCAGUUCGAAGAAAAGGCAAAGAACCGGUUCAACAAACCGACUGGCCACGGGAAGCAAGGCGCAUCACCAAUCAAUCCAAUUUUGAGUCCACACAUUUUCAGAACAAGAAACAUCUAGCCAAACGUUUUCAUCAACAGUUCAUGACUCGAGAGGUACUCCAAACCUUUUUUGUUUUACCGGAUUGUUUGAAUCAUCUUAGUAUUAGCAAUAGAACUUUAUUGCAAUUGUUGAAAGAUGUUGGUUGGCUUAAUGCACUUGUUGUUGAGGAAAAUGUAUAUCCUGACUUGGUGAAAAUAUUUUACUCGAAUAUAGAUUGUUCCGCGGAGAAAGAGAAUCGAGUAAUCACCACAGUUGGAGGAGUUUUGAUUGAGUUUGAUGAUUCAGACUUGAACACCAUCCUAGGAUCUUCCGAUGAUGGCCUAGAAAUUUUUUCACCUAGGAAACCUCCUGACAUUGAUGACUAUGUUUAUAUUGAUGCUAUUAAGAAUAUAUGUCGUCGUGUCGACUUUUCCGAUGAAGAUGGUACUAUCCAUUUUCGCAACCUAUGUCUUUGUCUUCAGUCUCGGAUAUUACUUCGUUUUAUUCAGAGUAUUGUCCUUCCUAGAUCAGGCUAUUUGGAUUAGGUCUCUCAUAUGGAUGUCACCUUGAUUGAUUGUAUUCUUAGACAUCGUCCAGUUGACUUCGGAUAUAUCAUUAUCCGAAACAUGCUCAGUAUACCUAAGUUGAUUACCCGCUCCCUUCCAUAUGGUCAUUUCAUUACCCGAAUCCUAAAAUUUUUUGAUGUACCUAUUAAAGAACCAUCGUGUAGACCGUCUAAAGGUAUCAGGGAAGAUGUUAUUAUUGGGUUAGGCUUUGAGUGGAAGGAUGGCACUUGGGUCAAAUACAGUGAAAACAAGUUUACCUUCCUUGCUCCAAGUGAUGAUCGGCCACUUAAUGCUGUGGUUCCAGCCGAUCAGCUACCCAUUUUCUCACUCUCAUUUCGGGGGCAGCGUAGACGCCGAGAUCCUCUCGUGAUAGCUUUAGCUCCUGAUGUCUCUGCAUCCGUUUCAUCACCUCCACGACCUCCUACCUCUGGAGAUGUUACUCUUCAGCAGCUUAUGGAUGAGGUACGAACACUUUCGGUGCGGCAGACUGAGUUUCAGCAGCAGCAGCAGUAGCAGCUCAUUCAUGGACAGCGCCUUCUCUUCGAGCACUUCGGCAUUCCAUAUCUGUAUCCACCUCCUUCACCUCCAUCCUCACCACCUGAGUAGUAUCUUAUACUUGUAUUUGGACACACCUACAUUUCAUUUAUUGCAUUGUGUGUUCUUUUAUUUUCGACUCUAUGGAUGGUUAUUAUGAUUUUCAGUUUAUGGUUUUGUUGUUGGAUGAUAUGGAUUUGUUGUGACUAUUUAUGCUGGAUGUUAUGGAUUUGUUUUGAUUGAUCAUUAUGGAUUAUAUGGAUUUUCUUAUGCUUAUGGAUAUUUGUUUUUUACUAAUGUGCUUAUGUUGCGAUUUUGAUGAUUGAUAGGGGGAGCUUUUAUUAUUUUUUAUGAUGAAGGGGGAGAAUGAUUUAAUAUGUGUUAUGAAAAUAUGCAUGUAUCUAGGGGGAGCAUGUAUGCAGGGGGAGUUUUUGUUAAACAAUUUUCAAAUCAUUUUUUUUUUAACUUGCAUUGAUUAAGGGGGAGCUUUUUCAUAACAAGAUUAAAGUUAUUAAUGUGUUUUGUCAUCAUCAAAAAAGGGGAGAUUGUUAGCCUAUAUGGCUAUAAAUAUUGAUUUUGAUGAUAACAAACUACAUGUAUUCAUUAAGCAAAGAUUUAUGAAUUGUGCUUUUAUAAUAAGAAAAUGAUGUUAUGAAAUUAAAGUAUUUUGGAAUAAAAUGAAAGAAUUUUUAAAAUCUUUGAUAAUGUUUUUAAAUUUCGGAUUUGGACCUAUUUGAAACUAUUUAAAUAUUUUUGGGCCAUACUAUAAUUUCACAAAGUUUGGGCGAAGUCAUAAUUUCAUAAAGUUGUGGGAUUGACAAAGCAUUAUUCUAAAAUUCUGAAAUUGGACCUUUUUGCAAACGUUCAUACGUUUUGGGCCACGCUACAGUUUUAUAAAGUUUUGGGGUCAAACUGUAAAUUUGGGAAAAUAAUCACUGUAGCAGUUACUGUAGCAAGCGGAAAUCCGGAUCCUGAUAAACAGAAAUCCGGUUGUUGGGCAGUAAGCUACUGAGCGUAAGCGGAAUUCCGGAUGUGACAAAGCGGCAAUCCGAAUGUUCAGAAAUUUAAAAUUGUGGCUGUAACGAUAACAGUAAGCGGAAUUCCGGAUGUCCAUAACCGGUAAUCCGGUUACGACCAAAAUGUGCAUAACGGCUAGUUUUUGAGCUCAAAUUAUAUAAACUCAAAUCCUACUCAUUUUGAAGCUCUCCAACAAGCAAAAACAAAAAGCACACGUGAUAUCUUGAGCCUUCAACUUGCAAAACACAAAUUAUUGAAUCAUUCAUUGUUCUUCAUCUUUGAAUAUCUACUCAUUGAGUGAGUUUCAUUGUAACUUUCAUUUCUUCAAUUCAUUUGUAAGAGUUUGAGUGUGUGAGACACUUGAGUGAAGAGAUUGGGAGAUAAUCUCUUUGUUGUAAAGGUUUAUUGACACCUCGAAGUCAAUUGUAAUCGUUGAAACCUUGGAAAGGCUUAGAUAGUGAAAUCCUCGAGCUUGGAUCGCUUGGAGGCGUGGACGUAGGCGGGGAUUGCCAAACCACGUAAAAAUUCGUGUGUUUGUUUCUCUUCUCCCUUACUCUUUAAUUAUUGUGCUAUUAUUGAACUUAUUGUUUUCAAUUAUUGUUAAGACAUUAGAUUGCUUGUUGUGUGGAUUUGUUAGGAUAAAUUUUAAAAUUCCAAUUCACCCCCCCCUCUUGGGUUGCACACUUAUAUUUCAAUCUGCACAUUCACCAGAAACCCAUCGGUUUGUUAAAUGUCAAUAACUUUUAUGAUGGCUUCAUCACAUUUCUUAACCAUGCAAUAAAAAAUUAUUUCAUUCAUUCCACAGCGAAAAAGCUUUUUAUUUGUGCUCACACUGCUAAUGAGCUACUUGAUCUGCUACAAGCUUAUAAACCAAAGCCAGACUCAAAAACCCUUGUGUUGGAGUCUCCAAAUAAUGAUGGUAACAAUAGCCGCAGUAAGAAGUACAAAUUAGAUUUAACUCUCCGAUUGUAAAUAUUUUCUUCUGUGAUUCACCACCCAGGUGAUGUCUUCUAAACUCUACUUCUUUCCUUUAAAACAUUGAGGACAAUGUUUUAUUUUGAUUAGGGGGAGGGAAUAGUUGACAAUUGUGGAAUGCUUCAAUCUUGGUUAAGUUUUUACUAAUUUUUUGUUGUGGAAACUAAUUGUUGCUAACUUUUUGUGUUGAAUAUAGCUGAAUAUGGAGUGUAGUUACUCUAGAAACGCAUCUUCUUCGUUAAAAAAAAAAUCCAAACAUUUUCUUUUUCUUUAUUAAGCUUUGAUAUUCAUUUUUUUUUUACUUCUUCUUUUUAAUUUCUCCUUUAUAAAUAUACAUUUUCAAAUUUUUGAGUCAAAGAUGGCUGAAUAUGGAGUGUAGUGCCUCUAGAAACGCAUCUUCUUAGUUAAAAAAAAAUUGUGUGAUUUGUUUUAACAUUAGAUGACAUGAUGAAUUUCAAAUUUUAGUAUUUGUAUUAUCUUUGGUCUUAAGUGAUAUUACGCCAUAUUUGCUACUCUACAUAUUGAUGUCGAAGACAAAUAUGAGUUGCUUAAAGGAAUGAACAUGUCAUAAUAAGUACCAAGUGAGUUUUCGAGCCUAUCGUUUUUCUUGAAGAGUAAUCAUUUUGCCCAUUCUUCAUACGGCUUAGCAAUUUAUUAUUUUAUACACGAUCUCUAGAUUUCUUUUGAGUUAACCCUUAAAAAAAAGUUGUAAAAUAAAAAAAAAUAAAAAAAUGUGUGUUGCUACAUCUGAAGGCCCAUCUAACUAGUAGAUAUGGAAGAUUAUUUAGAGCUCUAAAAGACGAUGGAAAUGUCAUCUUUGAUCCGUUUAAGCCUUUCUAGCCAUCCCUUUUGUUAAAUAUCCAUAGUUAACCCUUUUGAGCCUUUAAAAAAAAAUAUAUAUUUUCUUUGUCAAACUUAUCAUCUUGACCCACUCCGAUUUAGAGUAUUACCGGAUAUCUUACAAGUUCCACCACCUAUUUAUGUUUGAGAAAAAUGUAAAUAAUUAUUUUGUUCAGUGAAGUUGUGCCAAAUAAAAGUAAAAUAAAAAUAAAAAAUAAAAAUAAAAAUAAAUUGUUGUUAAAAAAAAUAAUAAAUAACAAUAAUAGGUGAAAUCCACCUUGCAACUUCAAAAAAAAAAAAUCUCUGCAUUUUUCUCAAACAUACACUUUGUUUUCCUUAUUUCCCCUCCUUUGUUAGCCAUGUCCCUAUCCUACGUUACGUCCUAAUAAAAGUCCUUGAUUUUAGGGAACUAUAGUCUAAAGUAGAAGCUAGUUAUAUGGGCUAAAAAGAUACAGUGGUGCAGAAUAAAAAAUAAAUAAAUAAAUAAUAAGUUUGGUUGACUAGCAUUUUUGUUUGACUUGAGAUCGUAUUAUUUCUGAGCUGAUGGCAUAUUUCUUUCAUCUUGGUGAGAGCGUGUGACAUUACUUCUUUAUUAUUUUCUCUCAAAUUCAGCAUUCAUUAAAGUGACUAUUUUUAUUGGGUUUAAUUUCCUUGUGAGAGUGUCACUACUUCCAGUGAGAUUUUGGAGUUUGACAUGUCAUUCUUGAAAACAGCUAUGACAAAGUCUACUGGGCUGAUUCAUGUGAAUGGUUGAUGUGGGUGUGAUGUUUCUUUAGACUGGAGAUAAAGCUUAUAAUUUUAUUUGAUUGCUAUCAUUAGUCUGAUUGAAUAAACAAGAUUAUUUAAAAAAAAUUAUUUUGGGUUUGAAUUUUGUUUUCGAUUUAUUUGCUAGGGACUAGCAAUAAGCUGGUUGGGGGGUGUGUUGAGUAUUAGAAAAUGUAUAUUUAUAAAGGAGAAAAUCGUCAUUUUACAUUUCAAGUCUUACUAACACCCUUACUUUUAUGUAUUUAAGCUUCUUGUGAUUUAAUUACGUGUGUUUUAUUUUAAUUAAGUAUUUUAUGUAUUUUAGGGGCAUCAUGGUCAUUUCAUAAUGAACGAGAAAUCAAACGGCAAAACGGACAUCACUUUUGAAAUCAGGAUAGUCGAAAACCUUAGUAAGAGCAUAAAAAGAAAAAUGUCGUUGUUCACAUGUACGGCACUAUUCACAUGUAUGAUAUUGUCUAUGUUACUGUUCAUGACACUGUUCACACAUACGGAACGAUGACGUGGUAUUGACUGAUGAUGUGGCAUUGACUGAUGAGGUGUCACAAUUCUAUUGGACAAAAUUUAUAUACAUUGUUGAUCGGUAACAUGGCAGCAUGUUAGUGGACCAAAAAUCGCGCGUACGGUACAUGCAUAUACACAGGAUUAUUUUCAACCAAACUGCGUCACUGUUCAAGCCAGUUGACUAUUCAAACCGUGUGGUCAAAUCGCGUACUGUUGACUGAUGAUGUGGCACAAUCCUGAGCGUCCAAACUGUUUUUAAUCUGAUGGCCAUGAUUUACUCAAUAUAUCUAUAAAAAGGGGGGCCUCCCCCCUAAUUGGAUAGCUCUGAAUCCAUUUUUGAACUCCAUUUUCUGUAAUUCCUUCUUCAUCUUGUAUUUUCUAAGUAUUUUAAUAAAUUCUUAUUUUACCCCUAGUUCAAUUAUGAGUAACUAAUUUGCUUUCAAGCUUAGGUUGAAGGUGAAGUCUCAACAUGUGUCAUGGGCUUUAUUUGGUAAAUUUAUUUUCUCUUCCCCUCUAAUUUUUGUGGAUGUUUUGACUUUUCGUCGACAAAUAAUAAUAAUCUUGGCUAGAUACUGCCCUGAUUUCACCGGCUCCCUAGUAUAAGGUUAUUAUUAUUUGGCACAAUAAGCUUUUAGCACCAUAUUGAUUAGAGUGUGGUUCAUGAGAUGUGGAAACUCCCCUCAUGAUUUAAUUGGCAUUAAUAAGGAAUAUUUAGCUCAUGGUGCAUGUUGAUACGGAUCCAGAUAUUUCAAUAGAUUUCUCUUCAAUUUAUUCUCGCCAUUUCAAUUUAAAUUUUAGAAUAUUCCAAAUUAUCUUUACCAUAAUUCCAACCACCUCUUUAGAAAAAUUAAUUCUACAUACAAUUAUAAUUCACCUCCUCGUGGGAUCGACAUUCGUCACCAUUGAUCUAUUCUACAAUAGAUUCGUGCACUUGCGAGUUUAAUAAAAUUUGCACAACACUUGUGCAGUCAGUUAUUCAAUCCAUUCUGAUUUACACAAUGCAGACUACAAGACUUCCCUCCACACUUUAUAACCAAAUCGAUCAGUGUUGUCAUCAUUUUAUUUGGAGCGGAAAUGCUGAGAUGAAGAAGAUGAGUAUGGUUAAAUGGGCCACUGUGUGCACGCCUAAGCUUGGGGAGGCUUGGGUCUUAAAAGAAUUGAUGCUAUGAACAAGGCUUUGCUCAUUAAAAUCGGUUGGAGCCUAAUCACCUCAUCAGACAGCAUAUGGGUCAAGGUUUUACGGUCGAAAUAUGGCAUUGAAGAUCAAGUAGUGCCACAAUCUUUGAAUACCAAGUCUGGUUCCUAUAUGUGGAAAGCUAUUGGAAUUGUUUGGAAUAAAGUUUUUUAGGGGAUAAGAUAGAACCUUGGGGACGGUAGAAAAGUUAACUUUUGGUGGGACUGCUGGGCUCUUGAGGACAAGCCUUCGAUUUUUUAUGUUCAGCAACCCCUUUCGGUGGAGUUAAUCAAUAGCACGGUUUCAGAGUGUGUUAAUGGCGAUGGUUCUUGGAACUGGGGACUUUUUGCUAAUUUGCUCCCAAAUAAUGUGAUUCUUCGUACUGCAGCUAUUAAACCCCCUCUAAAUAGUGGUGGCAGGGAUGAGAUUAGAUGGGCACAUUCUAAAACAGGGCUUUUCAUAAUCAAAUCAGCUUAUCUUUCUUUAAUUCAACAAUAAUCCGCUCUUGAUGAUCCUGGUUGGAAGAUUAUUUGGAAGUGGCAAGGUCCACAAAGAAUUAAAAUGUUUUUGUGGCUUGCUAUCUAAAAUAAGCUAAAGACUAAAGCAGAACUUGCUAGACGCCACAUUCCAAUAAAUUCAAAUUGUGAUAUACGUGGUUACCAGCUGGAGGAUACCCUUCAUGUGUUAAAGGGACUAUUAGAUGGCAACUAGAAUUUGGAGAUCUUUAUUACCCAAUGAGAACACGAUCAGUUUCUUUUCUCUUCAUCUUCAAGAUUGGACUCUCUGCAACCUUAGAAAUACUUGGAAUUUUAAUGUUAAUAAUGACUGGCCAUGUACUUUUGAUGUGAUGAUUUGGCAAUUAUGGAAUUGGAGAAAUAAGGUGAUUUUCUCUAAUUCUACAAGUUGCUGUCGAAGUAUUAUCCAUGAUGUCUCUAUUCGGGUUGCGGAAAUUCAGCGUGUUUACUUGGCAAUCAAACCAGCUGGUGUUGCUCGAAUUGAAAAGCGGAUUAGCUGGAGUCCCCCUGCAUCACCUGCGUUCAAACUCAAUACGGAUAGAUCUUGCAAGAGCUCUGAAAUGGCGGGAGCUGGGGGCUUGAUCAGAGACGCUCAGGGUCAGUGGUGUGGUGGUUUCUAUAUGAAUAUAGGGAUGUGUUCUAUCACUGUUGCUGAACUUUAGGGCUUAUAUCAAGGCUUACUUCUCGCUUGGAGAAAUGGGAUUAGAAAUCUAGAAGUGGAAGUUGAUAGCUUAUGUGUAACCCAACUUGUCUUGAAUAAAAUGGUCGCUCCUAAUGAUUUUGGUCCAAUUCUACAUGCCAUUAAAGAAAUCUUGACUUGUGAUUGGAAUGUUAGUCUCCACCAUGUGUAUAGAGAGGCGAAUCACUCUACUGAUUCCUUGCAAAUUUGGCUACCUCUCUCCCCUUAGGUCUUUAUGUACAGGAUUCACCCCUUGUUGGUUUAAAUUACUAGUUGCUUCAUGACAUGUACGGGGUCUCUUACACGCGUUCUGUUCUUCCUUAGCCCUUGCUAAGUGCUCCUCUUGUACCAAAAAAAAAAAAAAAGAAAUACUUCUCUUACAAUAAGUAAUUACUAUAUAUAAGGAGGUUAACUUGUUUAUAUAACAUACGACAACAAUAUGUUUCUCUUCAAGUAGACAAUUUCUAAUAUAAGAGAAACAGUGGGUCUAUUGAAAGAUUGUGUGUUAUUAGGGUUUUGGUACGAGGAAAAUAACAGAGUAAUUGUAAUAAUUUUUUAUAUAGUAUAUUUUUCUCUUGUCAUCCUUGGCGACCGAGUUUUUUCUCCAAUAUAAAAUUUUUCACAUAAAUUCUUGUAUUGUGUGAUUAGUUUUAUUCUUUAUCUAUUUUUUAUUUAUUAUUUGUUUGAUAUUUUUGCUUGUAAGAUCUUGAGUGAGAUUAAAAAUUCCUAACAAGUGAUAUCAAAAAAAGGUUGUUCUAUAAAGCAAUAAUGUCUGCAUAUAAAAUUCCCUAAUAGAUUAUAUCUACUCCAGACUCGUGUUUAGUAAUAGAACAGAAUUUGAUUACAUUAAUAUUGUCUUAUGUUUGGGGUUACAUAGGAUUGGACAAGAUUUAUAUAAUAUUUGAAAUUAUUAAAAUAAAAGUAAAUAAAAAUUUAAUAAAUACUUAGAUAUUAUUGUAAAUUUCAUUACAAAGUUUAUAAAUAUUAUUAGAGUGUAUAUUUUCUUAUUUUCCACCUUUAAUUUAACAAAGUUGGAUAUCUCUCAUAGAGAAAUUACUAAUUAAUUUUUGUCUUCAUUCAAGAUUGCCCCGUAGAUCGAACCAGCGUCAGUUAACAGACGCUACCGUUGUUCUUAACUAAUAUGGAAGCAGCUUUAUUUGGAGGAUAUGUUGUACUUAUGAUUUAGCUCACGUCAUUAACAAAGAAUUUAGUGGUCUAAGUUUUUGCAGUAGAGUAACUAAAUAGCAAUGAUGACCCAGUCAAGUCAAUGUAUAAAUAUUGAAAUGACUAUUAAGGCCUGAGAACGGACCUCAAUUACCUCAAAGUUUUCAAAAAGAAAUUGGACCACCAAAAAACAUAACUACGAUAUAACAACGAUAGUCAUUUCAAUAUUGAUUCUUGUUCAAACAUAACUACGAUAUACACAAAGUCUGUGUUGCCACAAGAACCACUUUUAAUGGAGGAUAAAUUAUUUUUCUUACAUUUACAUUAUCUUUGGUGGGACUCCACUUGUUAUCGAAGAUUUUGUUCUGUGUCUCGUUGCCAGGUGUUUAGGUUGUCAUUUUCUCGUCUUUCUCAAAUUUUUUUUUUUUAACCAUUGAUUCGGUGAAUUUAUGAAUCCGACGGUUUCCCUUUUUUUUUUUUUUUUUGCAUAUAUAUGUACUGAUGCAUGGAUGCAUCUAAUCUAGUGUACAUUGCUGUCGUGGUCAAAUGAAAGAUCUUGUAAUAUUGCCUACAAGAUUUUAUUAUCAUAAUUUUCUUCAUAAGUUCAUAGAGAUCUUGAAGUUUCAGCUGCAAGUCAUUGUUUUUCAAGGUCCCAUCACUUUACAACAUUAUUUAACUACUUCGAAAGGGAAUUUGAGCCUAUGCAGGCGGAACAAGCCAAAUUCGGCUGCAGGCACUCACCUGAAGGUCAAUAUGAACUUCCAAUCUAAAUAAACAGUGACCUCACUCCAAGAUAGAUCAAUAAUUAGGGUGUUUAUAUGUAUUUAACUUGUGAGAGAGAUCUAAAUCUAAAUAGUAGAAACCAAUGGAUGCACUUUCGCUCUUGUUAAUCUGUUGCAAGUUAUUGCUUAUCUUUUCUGAAUUCUCAUUUGCAUCAGAUGUCCUUACUUCGUCUCAGUCUCUUAGUGAUGGAAACACCUUAAUAUCAAAAGGUGGAAGCUUUGAGCUUGGUUUCUUCAGUCCCGGUAGUUCCGAGAAUCGUUAUGUGGGAAUUUGGUACAAAAGUAUACCAGUUAAAACAGUUGUUUGGGUUGCAAACCGCCUCAAACCCAUCAAUGAUUCUUCAGGUUUUUUAACGAUAAACAGGACAGGCAAUCCAGUUUUAACAAGCCCGAGCAUGGGCAUAGUUUGGUCAGCGAGCUUGAGCAAAGAUGUGAGUUCUCCUCUGGUAUUACAGCUACUGGAUUCAGGAAAUCUUAUCCUCAGAGGUGAAAAGAUGGUGAUUCUGAAAAUUAUUUUUGGCAAAGCUUUGAUUAUCCUUCUGAUACAUUGCUACCAGGAAUGAAGGUCGGAUGGGAUUUAAAGACUGGUCUUGAGCGGCGCUUGACAUCAUGGAAGAGCUCAAAUGACCCGUCUCCUGGAGACCUUAUUUUGAAAAUUGAACGACAAGGAUAUCCCGAUGUAGUGAUGUGGAAGGGAUCAACAAAGUUCUAUAGGACCGGCCCAUGGAAUGGCGUUACAUUCAGUCAGCUUUAACGUCAGCUUUGUAUUUAAUGAGGAUGAGCUCUACUACACAUUCAACCUCAUAGAUAAAGCUGUUUUCUCAAGGACUAUUGUGAACCAAACACUCUCUUUACGUCAACGAUUCGUGUGGAGUAAAGCAACUCAAAGUUGGGAGCUGUAUUCAAAUUUGCCAAGAGAUCAGUGUGACACUUACAAUCUCUGUGGUGCCUACGGCAUUUGCAGCAUUAGCAAAUCGCCUAUUUGCCAAUGUUUAAUAGGUUUCAAACCUAAAUCAGAGGGUUAUGUGGAACGGUCUCAAGGGUGCGUACGUACUAAGCCGUUAAACUACUCUCGACGUGAUGGUUUUGUCAAAUUUAAUGAUCUGAAAUUGCCAAAUUCUACUUCCUCUUGGGUUAGCAAAAGUAUGAAUCUCAAUGAAUGCCGGGAGAAAUGCUCAGACAACUCUUCUUGUAUGGCAUACACAAAUUCAGAUAUCAGAGGAGAAGGCAGUGGCUGUGCCAUGUGGUUUGGUGAUCUGAUUGACAUCAGAUACUUCCAAGAUGGUGGGCAGGACUUGUAUAUUCGAAUGUCUGCUUCAGAGCUAGGUAACCGUAUACUUAUUUAUGUCAUUCCAUUAUGAGAACUUAGGAGUACCACUCCAGUUAGACUAGUUCCACAAUUUUAUUGUGCAAUUUAGUAUUGAGUUCUGAUUGAGAAGCUCCUUUCGCAUAAAGCAGCUUCUGGGUACAGCUUCUAUACAUAGAAUUUUGCUGCUAUUUAAAUCCUUUUUUCUUAGCUAUAUGAUUAUUGACUUGCUUUGCUAUAUCUCAAAGCAAGUAAUGUGCUACUCGAUCAAGAUAUGAACCCAAAAAUUUCAGAUUUUGGUUUGGCUAGAGCUUUUGGCGGAGACGAGACAGAAGGAAACACAAACAGAGUGGUUGGAACAUAGUAAGUACUUUUUGUGAUGUGAUCUUUACGAUUCACUUGCACUGAUUAAUGAAAAUUAACUUAUAUAUUUUAAUCUUUUGAAGUGGUUAUAUGGCACUGGAAUAUGCUAGUGAUGGGCAAUUCUCAGUCAAAUCCGAUGUCUUCAGCUUUGGAAUUUUAUUGCUGGAGAUAAUAAGUGGAAAGAAAAAUAGAGGAUUUUAUCAUUCCGACAACAAGCUUAACCUUAUAGGACAUGUAAGUAAAAUGCAUACGACAUUUUCUAACAUAGUUUGAACUAAUAAACUAUAGAUGAUAAAAGAGAUUUAAUAUGUUGUAGGCAUGGAAGUUGUGGAACGAAGGCAUGCCUUCACAAUUAAUCGAUCCGUGUAUUCAAGGCUCAUUCAAUCUUGCUGAAGUGAUACGAUGCAUCCACAUCGGUUUGUUAUGCGUGCAACAACAUCCAAAGGACAGGCCAAGCAUGCCCUCAGUGAUUUUGAUGUUGGGCAGUGAGAUUGUGCUGCCUCAGCCAAAGCAACCCGGUUACUUGGCGGACAGGAAUUCUACCAGACUAGAUUCUUCAUCAAGCAUGUCUGAACCAUCUUAAACUAAUACAAUUACGAUCUCUGAGUUAGAGGGUCGGUAGAGAAUCUAUUUGUGGUAUCAAGCCUUAUUCUACAAUGUCAAGUGCAAAAGCAGUAAUGUCUCAACCGAAUGGAAAGUUCACAUAAAUGAUUGGAAAAAAAAUUAUGAGGAUCCUCCAAUGAUUGCAUGUUGUGGAUCUAAAUAGAAUGUUGACUAAUGUUUAUAUAGAAAUUGUAAAUUAGGGUACCGUGAGCAGUGUUGGAUAAAAAAAAAUGAUUAACCGAGAAUUAAAUUAAAUAAAAGCAAGACGUUAUAAUUUUUUUAAUAUCAAAUAUUUGUUAAUACAUUUAUGAGAAUAUCUUUGGUGCUUUUGGAGUAUUUUUUAUCUAUUCACUAUUUAUCAUGUGUGUAUAUAUGUCAUCAUAAUUAGUAGAAGCAUACACAUGAAAAAGUAGAAGCUCUCUAAGAGCACCAAGAUUUUUCCUAUAUUUUGAAAACGUUGUGCAAUAAACUCAUUAUCAAUACUAUUAAGUACAUCUUUUUCUACAUAAACAACAAAAUUAAUAUUCAUCCAUUCAUCUCUCAUCCGAUUUCAAAGUUGAUUGUUCAUGAACUUAAUUGUGGAAAAUGUUCUCUUUAUUGUGGCUGUGGAAACCGGAAGAAUUAAAACAAAGUGUCACCAACGAAUAUAUUAAUUCUGUAACUGAUACACUUUCAUCUUUUUUAGUCUCAAAGUAUUCUUUUAGCAAAUCACUAAUUCCCUUCAUUCUUGCAAACCCGCCUACUUGUUCUUUUCCUAAUAUAACCCAAUCCCUAAUUUUCUUUUAAGAACAAGAAAGAUAAAAAUUUGUAAUUGAAGAAGUGGAUAAUUAUUAUUUAUAAUAAAUUUGAAUAUAUUUUUUGCAAUAGAAAAAUGGUUGUGGGUUAUUAUUAUUCCUAAAUAAAGUGUGAGUUUUAUAAUUCAAGUUAAAAUUUAAAUUUUAUAGGUUUAUGAAUGUAUAGAGACUAUUUUAAUAUAUUGAUGAAGAUUAAUUAGAAACCCAAAUAAUUUUCUCUUCUAUUUUUAUUUUUAUUUUUAUUUUUAUUUUUUUAGGUAGCUUGAGACUAUUUUAUUUUUAUUUUUAUUUUUAUUUUUUUAAUUUUAAUAUUUACUCUCUGCUCAGAAGUUGCUGUAUCCUUGCUUGGUAAGAUGCUCUGUUCAGGCUUCAAUGUUGUUGGGUUGAAUUGGCAACUGAACUCGAAUCAAUUCUCAUGCAAGGGUUGGGGAAUUUGCUCAACUUAUAAUUGGUAGGUUUAUGCCUCUGACCAAACUCAUUUCGCCUCUCCAAGAUUCUGCAAAAUUAAUUGGUAUUAUCAUGUCGGCGCUGCUUAUAAUUAGUAGAGCUUGCAUUGCCCUGAAUUCAGGCAUUGCUUGAGUAGAGUUGGGCUUGCUGAUUCAUUUUAGUGACAAAUGAAAACAUUAAAAAAAAAAAUCAGGACUUGUUCGUCCAAAUUUACAGAUAUUUUGUUCUUUAAUUAAUUUUAUUAUAAUAAACAAUAGGAUAGCAGUGUUGUUUAACCAGUUGCUUACACCUUGGCAAUAUAGCUUUGUGUUUUUUUUUUCUUUUUUCUUUUUUUUUUUAAUAGUUUGUGAGAUGGCCAGUGAUACGUAUGUCUUUUUAAAAUUUUCAAUUAUUGGGGCAACGAACAUGUUAAAUAAUUUGCGGUGGACAAGGUACCAAUAUUGACUCAAUAUGUCAAAUUUUUAGAAAACUUUAACGUCAAAUGCCUUCUUUCCAUUGUUGUAAGUACAAGUCAAAUUUCUUGCAAAUUUUCUAUGGGUGUGAUGAUUUUUUUUUUUUUUUUUAGUGCAAACGGCUCACCUUUCACAUAUUCAUAGAGAUGUCGAAUUCUCUAUCUUCACCAUGAUUCUAGAUUGAGGAUUAUACAUAGAGAUCUCAAAGUAAGUGAUGUAUUACUUGAUAAUGAGAUGAACCCAAAAAUUUUAGAUUUGUGUGAGAUGGCACUAUUCACAUUAUUUUUUUAAUUUCUUUAAUUAAAAUAACAAAACUAAAUAAAAAUGUAUAAUAUUUAAUAAAAUUAAAAAUUCAAGUAUGUUGCCGCUAGUGCUGAUGAACUACUAGCGACAGUUCGACGGCGGCUAGCCACAGGUGGCUACUGCAUGACAUCAUGUUUUACGCUAAAAUUUGGUAUCAUUAAAAUUCUCAUUGUCGGGGCUUCACAGUAGUGCCAAAACCUUGAUUGUAGAUCAAUGGUGAAUAAAAAUUCCUUUGCCGAUGAUAGUUGACCAUUGCAUAGCCCUAAUAAUAAUGAUUCUAAUGGUAUCAAAAUAUAGUUCAAAUGGUACUAAAGUAGGAUGGUCAACGGUGAAAAUUUUUUGUUUUGAUUAUAAAAUUUUAAAUUAUUAAUUGAAUAUAAAUAAUAAUAGAAUAUAAAUGAAACUUUUAUUAUUAAUUUAAUAUAAAUAUUAAAAUAGAAAUUAUUAUUUUAAAUAAUACAAUGCAAGCUACAUCAAACAUCAUAUUGUAUUACAAUUUAAUACAAUAUAAUAUAAUACAAUACAGUAUGUCAAACGCACCCAUAAAAAAAAAGUCAAAAUCACAAGAUUUAUUUGGUGGGUCUUACCUGCAUUAUCCUUAGUUUACUUUUUGAGUCAAAUAAACAAUAGGCCCUGGAGAAUUUUUAGUUCAUCAUGCUAUUGCUUUAGGUGUAUAUACAACUACAUUGAUCUUGGUAAGGAGUACAGAUUACUUUUUGCGUCAAAUACUAUGUUGGGAUUAAUUUUUUAUAAAAUUAGUCUAUUCCACUGUCUUUAAUUGCAUCCAAACAUACCCCAAUGGUUAACUAUGAGAAAAUUUUAAUAAAGACUAGCAAUUUGUUUACUUGGAAUUGGAAUGGACAAAAAUUGCAAUGAGCUGAAAUCAGAAUAGGCUGGAAUUGAUCACAUGAGAAACUAGAAUCAAAGUAAGUUGUAUACUUGAAUCAAAAUCAAUAAUUUUCCAAUUGAUGUAUUUACUUCUGUCUUGUAAUCCAAAUAAGUUAUCACAAGUCAUAAAAAUGUCCUUAGUUCCACUCUUGCUAGAUGUCAUGAUGAUAUAUGUUUCAUCCAUCUGGUAAGCGAAGGAGUUAUUACAAGUUAAAAAAAUGUCCUUAGUUACAAUUAUGUAUUUUUCUAUGUAAAAUAAAUAAGCAAACAUUUUUAAAGAAAACAUUGGCAUAUUUAUUAUAAUAUUGAGUGUAAUACAAUGAGUUUUUGAGUAAACUAGUUGUCGUUGUUGUUAUUUUAUAUCGAUAAUAACUACUAUUAAUAUUAUUAUUGUAGGAAAAUUAAAGCCCUAAACUUCCUAUUAAUUUAAUUCCUUCUUAUUACCAGAAGGGGAACCAAAGUUCAAAUACCAAGUUUUUGUUCCUGGUAGGACUCGAACCUACGCCCCUCAACUUUCUAGGUAUAGGUUCUCCCAUUAGAUUACAAAAUCGGCUUGUGUUAUUGUUACUACUAAUACUAUUAUUAUUAUAAUUGUUUAUUUUCUUAUUAGUAUAAUUACUUUUAUUAAGAUUACUUAAUUAUGUAAUAGGAAUAAAAUCAAAAUUUCAGAAAUUAAGGGUGGUAAAAUAAUUAGUUUAGAAAAUGAAAAUCACAGUCCCACCUUCCCAUAGAAAUUAGAUUCUCAUUCCCACAUUUAAAUUUUGGUGGGCCUCGCAAAUUUCAUUCACAUUCUCAAAUAUCAAAUGAAAAGACUAGCCAAGCCCUGAGAACUGACAUCGAUCAAUUAGCUCUUCCGUGUUAGAAAUAUAUGUUAUUUGUUUUGUCUUUUUUUUUUAAUUCAUAUAUUGUUAAAAAGUUAAAAUUGGCUAUUUGUUUAUUCAAAUUGAUUGAAAAAGAAGAGGUGAGCCACAUGCAUAAUUGACUUUUGAAGGAGGUAGGAACCUUCAAAAGUCACGUUAAGAGACUAUCAUUUUUCUUACCUAUGAUCGAAGCUUCAUUUGAAGGAUAUGUUGUACAAAUGAUUUAGCUCAUGUGAUUAAUAAAUAUAUACGAUCAUAAUUAAUUUCCGGCUUCUAGGGAAGUUAAAAUCCUUAUUUUUCCAUUUUUGUUUUAAGCAUGGUUUUUUACAAUUUUAUAUUUAAGUUUAAUAAAUUGAAUAGUACGUGUGUAUCAUUUCAUUAUGUUUAUGUUUAUGUCUCUAUCUUUAAUUUUAAGGACGCUAUAUAUAUUAACUCAUAUUUCUAAACAUGAGUUUCUUGCAGCAGGGUUCGAAUAGGAUGAUGAUGGGAACAAGAAGACAUGAUUUCUAUUAGAGCAUAUUCGACUGAUUUCUAAAAUUAUACCAAUUAUAAAUUCAUUAUUAGUUAGAUGAGAAAUAAGAAAUUUAAUUCUAUAAAUUAACUAAUGUACAACAAAUGAUUUACAAGGAUGGGACUUGACUAGCUUACAGAAUCUGUAAGCUACAGACUGCAGCAUCAGCCGUUGGAUGUGGUUGGAUGUGGAGUGAGAAACUAAACAAUACAAAAUCGGAUGGUGGGAUGACGGGAGAUGUUUGUUACAGAAGCUGUACCAUAGACAGGUCCUACAAGGAUGACCCAAGUAAACUAUCAGUCAAAGUCAAUGAAUAUAUUAAAAGCAAAAAAUUCUCCGUUGAUAAUAACCGAUUGCAACUUAUAGAGAGAUACCAAAAAUAUAAUUAGUAUUCAAUGUCCUUUCUGAAGUUCCACACGUAAUUUAGCGAUUUCCCAUACAAGUGGGGCUUAUCUGCUCAUCAUUGCUCUGCUCCUUUUUGUUUUUAUUUUUAUUUUUACUUUUUUAACUGCUGCUCGUAAUUGCCGGCGGGGUUUUUCGAAAUUAUUGAUUAUUCUUUCCUUUGAAAUUAAUAUAAAAAAACAGCUCCAUAAUUUUUCUGUGUAAUUUAAAACUAUUGCAUGACGUUUUCUAUUCGCCCAUCCAUUAUUUAAUUGAUAACGGCCCAGCAUGCAUAUGGCUAGAAAUUCUCUUCUUAAUUCUAUUCUAAUUAAAUUUCAUGUAAAUGUUUCUCAGUUCUCAGUGUUUUCGGAUAUAUUAAAGACCAUAAUAACAAUAAUAAUAAUAAUAAUAAUAAUAAUAAUAAUAAUAAUGUAUUACAUCUCAAAUUGCCUUCGUUAUAAUAUUUGGUCCUAAAAUUAAUAAAAAUAAAAAGUUGUACAAUUGCAGAUGAAAAUCAUUUACCGGUAAUAGCUGUACCAUUGCAUAACCCAAAUAAUAAUUAUUUUAAUGAUAUCAAAAUCUAGUUCAAAUGGAACUAAAGUACGGCGGUGAAAUUUUUUAUUUUAAUUAUAAAAAUUUAAACUAUUAAUUGAAUAUAAAUAAUAAUAAAAAAUAAAUGAAUCUUAGAUUAUUCCUACAAUUUGGUGGGUCCCGACAUUAUGGGGAAGUGCACGUUGCCACAAGAAGUCAAGAACGACUUUGGUGGGUCCCGACAUUAUUCCUACAUUUUAAGUCUUCGGCUCAUUUAUUUCCCAUUUUCUUUUUCUUUUUCAUAAACAAAAUUUCUAACCAUUGGUUUUUAUUUCUUAAAUAGGACGGUUUGACUCCAGAAGCAUUGACUUUCAGUUCAAUGCCAUUAAAGAUGGAUCAUUUUUGGAAAAAAAAAGAUGGAUCAUUAGUCACGGUAUUAGCAUCUAUAGAGUUUGUUAGAGAGAGAUCUAAACCAAUACACAAAUGGGUGUACUUUCAGGUCAGUGCCCUCCAAGAUGGAUUAUCAGUCAUGGUGUUUAAUUAUAUUUAUUUAAUUUGUUAGAGAGAGCUCUACGCCUAUAGAGUAUAACAAAUGGAUGUACUUUUGUUUUCGUUCAUCUGUUGUAAGUUACUGUUUUUCUUGUCUGAAUCCUCUUUCGCUUCCGACACCAUUACUUCAUCUCAGUCCCUCAGUGAUGGCAGGACCUUAGUUUCAAAAGAUGGAAGCUUUGAGCUUGGUUUCUUCAGUCCUGGUAGUUCCAAGAAUCGUUACGUGGGAAUUUGGUACAAAAAUAUGCCAGUUAAAACUGUUGUUUGGGUUGCAAACCGAAUCAACCCCAUUAAUGACUCUUCUGGGUUGUUAGUUGUAAACGAGACGGGCAAUCUUGUUUUAACAAGCCAGAACAAGAGUGUAGUUUGGUCAGCAAACUUGAGCAAAGAAGUCCGGACUCCAGUUGUAUUGCAGCUACUAGAUUCAGGAAAUCUUGUCCUAAGAGGUGAACGAGAUGGCGGUUCUGAAACUUAUUUAUGGCAAAGCUUUGAUUAUCCUUCUGAUACAUUGCUACCGGGAAUGAAGCUCGGAUGGGAUUUGAAGACUGGUCUUGAGCGGCGUAUAACAUCAUGGAAGAGCCCAGACGACCCGUCUCCUGGAAACUUUACUUGGGCAGUUGAACGACAAGAUAAUCCUGAGUUAAUCAUGUGGAAGGGAUCAAGAAAGUUUCACAGGGGUGGCCCAUGGAAUGGCCUUGUCUUUAAUCAGGAUGAGCUGUACUACACCUUCGACAUGAUAGAUAAAGAUGUUUUCUCAAGGAUUGUUAUGAACCAAACACUCUAUGUACGUCAACGAUUCACAUGGGAUAAAGCAACUCAAAGUUGGGAAUUGUAUGCAAAUGUGCCAACAGAUCUAUGUGACACUUAUGCCCUUUGUGGUGCCUAUGGCAUUUGCAUCAUUAGCGAUAUGCCUCUUUGCCAAUGUUUAAAAGGUUUUAAACCAAAGUCAAGGGGAUAUGUGGACUGGUCUCAAGGGUGUGUGCGUGAUAAGUCGUUAAACUACUCUACACAAGAUGGCUUUAUCAAGUUCACUGAGCUGAAGUUGCCAGAUGCUACUUCUUCUUGGGUGAGCAAAAGUAUGAAUCUCUAUGAAUGCCAGGAUAAAUGCUUAGACAACUCUUCUUGUUUGGCAUACACAAAUUCAGAUAUCAGAGGAGAAGGCAGUGGCUGUGCCAUGUGGUUUGGCGAUCUGAUUGACAUGAGAAGCUCUUCAGAUGGUGGGCAGGACUUCUAUAUUCGAAUGUCUGCUUCAGA
rnacentral:lncRNA from 1 species